rnacentral:lncRNA from 1 species
AUCUUCCGGAGUUUAAGAGAGAAGAGAAUUGUAUUGUUGUUAGAUGAUAUAUGGGAGCGGCUUGAUUUAACAAAAGUGGGCGUUCCACUUCCCGGACCAAAAAAUACUACCUCAAAAGUCGUAUUCACAACCCGUUUCUUCGAUGUUUGUGGUAGCAUGGAAGCUCACAGGACGUUCGAAGUGGCAUGCUUAUCAGAAAAGGAUGCUUGGGAACUGUUUCAAGAAAAAGUAGGAGAAGAAACUCUUAAGAGUGAUCAUGAUAUCGCUGAGCUAGCCCAAACCGUGGCCAAGAAGUGUGGUGGUUUGCCGCUCGCACUUGUUACUAUUGGUCGAGCUAUGGCCAGCAAAAAGACAGCCGAGGAGUGGAGACAUGCAAUUGAAGAGUUAGGAAGAUCAGCUUCAGAGUUUCCAGGUUUGGGAAAAGAGGUGUAUCCUGUUUUAAAAUUCAGUUAUGAUAGUUUGCCGAAUGAGACGAUUAGAUCUUGUUUCUUAUAUUGUUGUUUAUAUCCUGAAGAUUAUGGCAUUCUUAAAUGGGACUUGAUUGAUUGUUGGAUUGGUGAGGGAUUCUUAGAGGAAUCUAACAGGUUUGGUGCAGAAAACCGAGGAUACUACAUUGUGGGCACUCUUGUUCAUACGUGUUUACUAGAAGAGAUAGAAGAUGAUAAAGUAAAAAUGCAUGACGUUGUUCGUGAUAUGGCUCUAUGGAUAGCUUGUGAAACUGAGAAGGAGAAGAUAAACUUUUUGGUUUGUGCAGGUGCUGGAUUAAAGGAGGCACCGGAUGUUAAAGGAUGGGAAAAUGUGAGAAGAUUGUCAUUGAUGCAAAACCAAAUUAAAGUUCUGUCAGAGGUUCCUACAUGCCCUCAUCUCCUCACUUUAUUUCUUGACUUUAAUAGAGAGUUAAUGAUGAUCGCGGGUGGCUACUUCCAAUUUAUGCCUUCUCUCAAAGUUUUGAAGAUAUCAAACAUUGGGUAUUUCAACGUUUUGAAAUUACCUUUGGGGAUGUCAAAGUUGGGUUCACUAGAACUUCUCGAUAUUUCACAUAGCAGCAUAGAGGAGUUACCAGAAGAGUUAAAGUUGUUGGUAAAUCUGAAAUGUCUGAAUUUGAGGUGGACAGAUGUGUUAAAUAAAAUUCCACGGCAACUAAUAUCAAAUCUUUCAAGGGUACGUGUGUUGAGAAUGUUCGCUACUGGCUAUGAUCGUUUUCAUGAAGCAUCAGAAGACAGCGUUUUAUUUGGUGGGGGUGAAGUUUUGAUACAGGAAUUGCUCGGUUUGAAAUAUUUAGAGGUAUUGGAGUUGACCUUGGGAAGUUAUCAUGCUCUCCAAAUUCUUUUGAGCUCAAAUAAGUUAAAAAGUUGUAUUCGAUCUCUUCUCCUCUUCGGGUUCAGAGGUACAAAGUAUUUUAUUGAUGCUACGGCUUUCGCAGAUCUAAAGCACCUCAAUGAAUUACAGAUUCAUGAUUGUAGGGGGUUGGAAGAGUUGAAGAUUGAUUACACAGAGAUAGCACAAAAAAGGCGGGAACCUUUUGUUUUCCGCAGCCUUCGUCGUGUUACUAUGGUUUCGUGCCAUAAAUUGAAAGAUUUGACAUUCCUCGUUUUUGCUCCAAACCUCAAGUCUAUUUCGCUAGGCGAUUGCGAUGCUUUGGAAGAAAUAAUCAGCGUUGGAAAAUUUGCUGAGGUUCCUGAGAUGAUGGGACAUCUAAGCCCUUUCGAAAAUCUCCAAAAUCUUGACCUAUCGUAUUUGCUGGCUUUGAAGAGCAUCUACUGGAAGCCAUUGCCUUUCACUUAUCUGAAAGAAAUGGUGGUAAAUGGGUGUGAUCAACUUAAAAAGCUUCCACUCGAUUCCAGCUGUGCAGAAGAGCGUAAAUUUGUUAUUCGCGGAGAAGCACACUGGUGGAACUGCCUUGAAUGGGAGGAUGAAGCCACUCAAAUUGCUUUUCGUUCCUGUUUCCAGCCUUAUUCCUGAGUGGUGGUUGCAAAAUUUGAUUUCUGGUGUGGUCUUUUAUUCUCUGUUUUUAUUUAAGUUUCUUUUCCUUUCCUUUUCCUUUUUUUUUUUAAUUUCUCCUGCAAAUCACAAUUAAACAUUGAAUUAUAUGGAAUUAAUGCUUUAUAAAUUUGCCGGCACUGCCUUUUUUUUUUUUUGUCGGAGUGAUACUCUAGCUUUUGACUUUUGGUUGUCAAAUUCUGCUCUGCCUUUUUAAAUUGAUGCUUUAUUUAUAUUUUCUUAGUGAUUUAGUUUCCUGUCAAAAGACGAACGAGAAGAACAUUUGAAUUAAAUAAAUGCUCGCAAAUUUGCGGUAAAAAGAUGUAAUUAGCCGAGAAAAUAUUAAAUAUAGUAGCCCUCUUUACAGAAAAUCAAGUGGAAGUUAAUUCAGCAAGUUAUAUUCUUGAUUAAUUCCUUUUCUGAAGUUUUUAUUUUCUAUGGUCAAUUAUACCUUCAUACUAAAAAUUGCUGCUAUUGGGUGUUGAGUGUUAUGCUAAAAUUUUGCCCUAUUUUGGGCCAAUAUUUUAGAAGUGAAACAUACUUCAGAGUUGAAGUAAACUUUGAAAAUAGAGAUAAUGAUUAAUUUAGAAGAGAUGCAAGUAAAAGAUAUUCUAAAAAAAAAAAAGCAAUAUGUCCCUUUGGAGGGCAAACUUGUCAGUUUGAAAAAGUUACAUGCUUUGGAUUGAUAGUUGCAGGAUAUUUGUUUUGUCACUGUGUAUUAGGUGCGUUUGGAAUUGAAGUGUUGUAGUUUUUAAGUUAUAAUUGUUGUAAAAAAAAAUUGUAACUAUAAAACAAAAGUUAAUAAUAUAUAAUAAAUUUAAAUUUAAAUAAUAAUUUUAAUAAAAUUAUUAAAGAUAUAAUAGAUUAUUUAUUAUACAAGUGAAAAUUAUAUCAACAUAUCUUUCAAGUUACAAUAGUUAUUGAUUACUAAACACUUUACUGUUGUAACUUUUAAGUUAUAGCUAUUUAACCUCAAUUCCAAACGCAUCGGAGAAGUCACGCCUAGUGAAGAAUGUUAUGAAAGAGCAAAGGAUAUUCCUAAUCGAGCUCUAUUUGAUUAUGUAUCCAGUGAAUGGAUGUGUUGUUGGAAGAUAUUUGAGUGCAUUAGUUCAUUUGUGUCGGUCAAUGUGCUUUUAAUGAUUUUUCCACUUGUUUGUUGUAAAAGAUUAUUGUAAAUUGAAAUGAAUUGGAUGUUGUAAUAUUUUCUCUUUAGUGGAAUUUCACCUUGUAUGUAUUCAGUUGUGUUGUCUAAAAUUUUACAUUCGAAUAAGUUUUCACCUAAAAUAUUAGCAUGAGUUGUGGCCCUUGAAACUUUGGUCAAAAUUAUUGUUAUUAUUUCUUACUAGAUGUAAACUUUUUAUUAAACCUCGUUAACAUAAUUCUUAAUUAAAAGUAUAGGUUAGUGUCGGUGCAGAAUUUGCAACACCAAAUCCUGCCUAGGCAAGUGUCAAAAGUGCAAAAUAAAUGAAGAGAAAGCACGAAUACAUGAUUUAGAUUAGGAUAGAAGGAAACUUAAAUCCUAGAGAAAAGGAUAGCUAUAUCCCAAGAUUUAAAAAAAUAGUCAUGUAGAUUUUUAAGAUUUCAAUAAGCGACUAAGAUUUUCUUUUGACAAAUAAUUUCCUUUAGCUCUAUUAACAAAAAAAAUAAAGACUCAAAUAUUUUAUAAUAAAUAAAAUAUAAUAUUAAAAUAUAUGUGAUAAUAUAGAAAUUUUAAAUAAUUUCAAUCCAAAUAAAUAGUUAUGUUUUACAAGCUAUUAAACAUAUUUUAUUAAAUUAAUAUAAAUGUUUUAUAAAAUAGGAACAUAAUAUUAAAAUAAAUUUACAAAAUUUUUAAGAAUUUUGAAUGUAAAAUAAUUUUAAUAUAUUAAUACGUGAGAUUUUUUUAUUAUUAUAAAAAUUAUUUAACUUUAAGAUUUUUUAAAAUCCUUACAAUAAGUAUAAAUAUAUUAUUUACAUUUAAAAAUAUUUAAAUAUUAUUAACCUACAAUUAUAUUUGCAUUUAUUAGAAAAUUUUAAAGUCAAAUAUUUUGCACUUCUACAUUAUUAGAAUUAUUGAACACAAAGAAAGAAACAUAUAUGCUUUAUAGCUUUAGAAAUUGUUUUCUUUUACAUCUGGAAACAAAGAUGAUGAUUAUUAUAAGGAUAAAAAAUGGAUAAAGAAUAUUAAUGAUUAACGAAAUCUCUGUGCAAAUUGAUUUUAGUAGAAAAAGAGUGAGAUGAAUGAUUUCUUUUACAACUAGAAACAAAGAUGAUGAUUAUUAUAAGGAUGAAAAAAAGAUAAAGAAUAUUAAUUAUUAAUGGAAUCUCUAUGCAAAUUGAUUUUAGUAGAAAAAACGAGCUAAAUGAUUUAGACAUUCAUUCUGUGUUUAUUUUUGUGAUUAGCAUUAAAAAUUGUUUAAUUAUCAAACGAUAAUAAUGUUAUUUUGUACUUAUGUUAUAAUUUAUAUUUGUGUUUAUGUAAUAUAUUAGAAAUUAUUAAUUAUGUUUUAAAUAUAUCUAAUUUUGAGUAUAUUUGUGUGUUUAUUAGGAAAAAUAUUAAUUUUAGAUAAAUUGAGGCUCCAAACAAUUAAACGGAGGUCAAAUUUGGAUUCCGGAGGUUUGAAAACCUUAAGAUCAGUCAAGAUCGGCUUAAAAUUAGGUUUGUGUAAAAAGAGUUGACUUUUUCUGCUGACCGAGCACUGAUUGGAUGAUGAAAUGAGCUUACAAUAGAUAUGAGUGCAUGGGAUAACUGGCAAUUUUGACUAAAUCUCAACCGUUCAUGAUUCAAUGGCCAUGAUUGUGCCAUGUGGUAGUGGUUGAUGAAGCAAGUUGUAGGAUCUGAAUCUUUGUAUACGGGUCGACCUGAUCCGCCCAUUAACUCGCCAAAUCACAACCGUUCUUUGGCCAAAUCGGACGAGUCAAACGAUGCCACAUGUGAAGUUGACUUUUGAAGUUUGACCAGCCAUUGGAUCUUGAUCUAAAGGUUGUGAGAGCAUGAAGCUUAUGGAGCUUAUGAUGGACCGCAAAACACUGGAUUAUAAAUUUAUUUUUCUAUAAAUAGAGCCUCAUUUUUAUGUUUUUAAUUAUCUCUACAUCUCUCUUCUUCUCAAAUUCUCUCCAUCUCCCUGUAAUAUUUUGUAUAAUUAUUUUAUUAAAUAAAUUUAGUUUUAUUUUCAAUUUUAGUUGUUUUUAUUACUUUUAAUUAUAAGUAAUUAAAUUUUAAUAUUUCUUUUUAUUUCAAUUAUGCUUAACUAAAUAAUAUUAGUUGGGGUAAGGUGAAACUCUUAGGAAAUAAAUAUGAUUUAAUCAAAUUUUAUUUUUAAUUUUAUAAAUUAAAUUAUUUUCUAUUUAAUUUUAUACAUAUUUUAUAUUUUAAAAUUUUGAUUUAUUGUAGACAAACAAAUAAAUUUGGCACAAUAAAUUCUUAAGAUCUUAAUAUAAGGUAUGGUAAAAUGGUAUUUUGACUUAUUGUAGACAAAUUAAAUUUUGACACAAUAAAUACUUAAUCCAUCAUAAAAUUAGAGGGAAAAUAAUAAUAAUUUAUAUAAUUAAUCUUUUGGGCAAUAAAUUUAAAAAAAUAGCAAAAAGAAUUUAUUGAGUUUUAUUUACUACUAAGAGUGGAUCCACAAUCCUAACUAGAUCAAUUUCAUAAUUUCAUUUAAAUUAAGUUGUUUUUAUUCAAGUUUUUAUUUCAAUUUUUAGAUAAAAUAAAUUAAAUUAAUUAAAUCUUUUCUCUGUAGAUCGACCUCAGACUCACCGAGGACUGACCAAGGUAUAAUACAACAAGACACUCUUAUAAUUAAGAGUUUAAAAUUACUUUUAAGUUGUGUCAUUUUGGAUUGGUGAAUUAGAAUUAUUGACAACGCUAACUUCAUCUUCACAAUUUGCAAUCCAAUAGCAGCAAUUGUCACCGAUAAUGAUAUCUCCAAUGAUAAUGACGAUUUUAUUAUUAUUAUUGAUAAAAAGUAUUAUAAUUAAUUAAUAUAUUAAUGUUAAUAUUAUUAUUAUUAAGAUUAACAAUAAUUAUUAAUAAUAACAAUUUUUUGAAUAAAAAUAAUUACAAUAAUUUAAAUAUAAAUUAAUAAUUAUGACAAUAAUUAAUUAAUGUCUUUUUAAUAAUUUACUGAUUAUCACAGUUCAAGUAAACAAAUUAUUAUGAUUCCUAUUCUCCAUUUCCAUUUCAGCUCACUCCGAUUCCAAUCCAUUUCGACUUCUGCCUAAAAAACUCACCAUUAGUGCUAUAGUAAUAUUUCAUAUAGAGAAAAGUAAAAUCUACACCUAAGAUUAAGGUAAAGGACUUCAAAACUCUCUUUUGAUUAUAAUACCUUUUGUCCUAAUUAACUUAAAGAUUUUGAAUCUAAUAUUUUAUAAUAAAUAAAAAUAUAUUCCUAAAAUAAAUAUAAUAUCAAUAUUUAAAGUAUGUUUUAAUAUUUUACAAUCUAUCAGACACAUUUUAUUAUAUUAAAGUAAAUUUUAUAAUAAAUACAAACAUACUAUUAAAAUGAAUAUACAAAAAAGUUUAGAGUAUUUUGAAUAUUAUAUAAAAUAAUUUUAAUAUAAUGCGUGAGAUAUAUUUUAUUAAUUUAAAAUGCUAUUUUACCUAAAAAUUUAUUUAUGAUAAAUUAAUAAUUAUAUUUUUAAAAUUAUUUUAAAUAUUAUAAAAAAUUUAAUAUUAUUAGUGUUUUAGAUAGAUUAAAUUAUUUUAAAAUGCCUUAAUUGUUUUUACUUUUAACGUUACCGGCCUUUCUUAUAUUUUAUUGCAGCUAACAAGAAAAAGCCAGAUCAUAUUCCACAAAAGCAAAAGUGACAAAACAACCAGCUGGAUUCUUUUAUUAAACUACAAAUUAAAGGAUCCCAUUAUCUUACAACUAAUGUAAGAUACAUCCCUCACAUAAAUAGUAUAUAAACUCCACAUAUAUACUGUUCAUGUGAGGAAAUGUACCUUACAUUAAGAUAGUGUUUGCCCAAAUUAAAAUAGAUUUUUUCGAUGAACUACAAAUUAAAGUGGAUUCUUUUGAAUAUAGCUGGGGUUAGGGUAGGCUCUUUUAUUUAAGGCAAGUCUAGAGUAGUCAAAGACGAUUAGGCUCUUUUAUUAAACUACAAAUUGUAUAGUCUUUUUCAAAUUGUUCAGAUGCUUAUAAAUUAGUGGCCCCUUGUAAAUUUAACUGGAAGUGCCAAUCAGAGAAAAGUUCAAUUCUAAAUAAUUGUUCCGAUAUUUAUAAAUUGGUGGCCCCUACAAUCCUCAAUAAUUGUUCCGAUAUGUAUAAAUUGAUGGCCCCUACAAUCCUCAAUAAUUGUUCCUAUAUUUGUAAAUUGGUGGCCCCUUAGAAAUUUAACCGCAAGUCUGCAAGUGACAAUCGGAGAAAAGUCAUAAUUUACAAUCUUCCAAGGGAAGUAGGGAACCAGGGGAUAUACAAAGAUUAAGACAUGUCAUUCAUUUUUUUGGCUGCAUUCCCUUUCGUGUUCUUAAUAAUUGAAGACAGGUUGUUCAUUACAUGCUUACUUUUCAAAUGUGGAGCCGCAGCUAAUGUCGCUACUUUAAUUUGGGAUUAAAUUAGGGAAACAUUAUAUUGUAGUAUGCACUAACUUGAUGUUUAUCUAAACUCCUUAAAUUUAAGACAGAUUAUGGCAUAAAUAAGAAUAUAACGAUAACAAAAGAGUAUAUAAAAUAUUUAGAGUAUUUUGAAUAUUAUAUAAAAUAAUUUUAACAUAAUGCAUGAGAUAUAUUUUAUUAAUUUUAAAUGCUAUUUAACCUAAAGAUGUAUUUAUGAUAAAUUAAUGAUUAUAUUUUUGAAAUUAUUUCAAAUAUUAAAAAAUUAAUAUUAUAGACUAAAUUAUUUAUAUUAUUUUUUAUUUAUUAAAAAAUUUUUAAGUCAAUCUUUUUAAUUACUAUUCAAAGAAUAUAAUGAUUAAAAAAAUCUUUAUGCCUUCAUUAAAAAUUUAAAAAUUUACAUAACGAUUUCUAUAAAUAUUUAGGGUAUAUAUGAAGCACGGUGGAGAAGCUUUAUUUAAUAUUAUUGAUUUAAAUAAUAUCUCAAUUAAAAAUGUACAGAGAAGAAAUUUCGGUGGGUAUUUUAGUCUUUUCAGCAAUUAUCAUGACCAGAUCUGCCUUUGGCCUUGAAACGUCGGUCAGAAAAGUUUUAAAGUGCUUUAAUUGUUUUUAAGGCCGCUAAUAACUCUGCUCGUGCAAGUUGAGGAUAAAUGUUAAAUUAAUUACAAAAGCAAAAGGCUAAUUUAUUGAAGACAAGUAAAGCAGUCACGAAUGGUACAUGCCUAAUCUUUUCUAUAUUUACAGAAACACAAUUUUUUUUCAAUCCGCCGCAGCUUCUGUUAAAAUUAUCUUGGUUUCUCGUAGUUGAUUUCUAUUAUCCCAAAAAAAAAAAAAAGGUAACUGUUGAUGCCGAAAAAUGAUUUCAACAGCUGAAUUUAUUUUUUUUGGAGAAUUACAGUGUGAAUCCAAGCUCAAACGCAAGUCUGAUCGCAACUUUCUAUAUCUGCUAAUCAGAAAACACAGUUAGGAUACGCCGGUGGGGUUUCGGCUAGACCUUCCGAUACUUAAGUCAGAAAUUAUGUAUAAAAGGAGAAAAAUGAGAAUGAAGAAUUAUGAAUGAGUUAAAGUCAAGUAAUUUUCCGGUAGAGGGGUUGAAAAUCUUGUAGAAGCUUUGGUUGAUUUUGCUAACCCCUUCACCUGAUGCGCUCUUCAGUUUAAAUAGACUCUUGGUCGUGUACGGUUACCUCCUUAACUUCAGAAGUUGCAAGUGGUUGUCAGUUGGAGGUGGUUUAAAUAGAUCGUGGCACACAACUUCCUUAUAAAUUAGGCCACGUUCUCUUAACUAGCAAUUUUCCAUGUCAAGCUAAUUCUCAGGUCGGACAAGAGAAUUUCAAGGUCGGAUUACUUCACUUUCAGAUUAGACAGAUGAAUUUCUCAGUCGCUCAUAUAACGUUAAGGUUGUAUUCUUAAACUAAGUCAUUCACAUAGAUCUUAGGUCGUACUUAUAAACCAGGUCGCCAACAUAGGCUCCAGGUUGUACUUAUGAGGUUAGCUCAACAACAAUAAGUUUUGAGUAGAUUAGGAUCGACUAUAUUUUGAGACACUACCAGAAAAAUCCAACCCAAACACCAGUCCCCUAAUUUUCAAUACUGGAAAGUCAUUGCCAGUGUUGGAAACUAAUGGAAAACAUUUCUCAAAACCCAAUACCAGUCCCCUAGUUUUCAAUACUGAGAAGAUAUGAACGGUAUUGGAAACUAAAAUAAUUAAGAAAGAGCAAUAUAGCCACAAGCAAAAGAAAGACGGUGUAGAGCGGAACAAUGAGCAAAGAGAAGAGUAAAAAGAAAACUUCAGGUGUGGACCAAGAAAAUAACCAUGACCAAAUGCCUCGAGGUGAUAGAGUCGGGGUUGAGGGUGAGGUCUUCCUAACUAGUAGGGUUGUUGAAGACCAAGAGAGAACUUCCUAAAUUUAAUUAUUACAAUGCUUGCCCUUUUUUGCAAUAUGAACUUGUGUAGACCGUAUGCUACUGAACUUUAUUUUGCCUUUGUAAUCGGAUAAUUAUUAUGCUGACCUUGCCUUUUUUACUCUUUAUUUACUAGGGUUGGUUAUGAAUUGCAUUCCGUAGACUGAGCCCAUUUAAGACUCUGUUGAGGUCAAACAAAUAGAUAUGGUCAACUUUGGUAGCAAUAACACCAAGCAAUGACCUUGAAUUCACCAAGAUUCUAUCAUUUCGAUAUCAAUCUUGAUAAGGAAAAUGUUGACCUCACGAAAAUAUCAACUUCAACAAGAUAAAUUGUUGACCUCAACAAGAUAAAUUGUUGACCUCAACAAGAUAAAUUGUUGACCUCAACAAGGUUAAGUGUAGAGCUAAAAUGCCAACCUCACGACAAGGAAAAUGUUGACCUCACGAUAAGGAAAAUGUUGACCUCACGAAAAUGUCAACCUUAACAAAAUAGAUUGUCGACCUCAACAAGGUUAAGUGUAGAGCUAAAAUGCUGAACUCACGAUCUCACGACAAGGAAAAUGUCAACCUCACGAAAAUGUCAACCUCAACAAGAUAGAGUGUUGAACGCAAUAAGGUUAAAAUGUAAAGCUAAAAUGCCGACCUAAAAAAAAAUUGAAAAUUGGAGAACUUAAAUGUUAAGCUUAUGAUCAACCUCAACAAGGCAAUGACUGACCUCAAUAAAAUUGAAAAUUGGGCAACGACCUCAACAAGGCAAUGGCCGACCUCAACAAGGCAAUGGCCGACCUUAAAAAAAAUUAAAAAUUGUAGAACUUAAAUGUUAAGCUUAUGGCCGACCUCAACAAAAUUGAACAUUGUAGAACGUAAAUGUUAAGGCUAUGGCCAAACUCCACGAGGCAAUGACCAACCGCAAUAAAUAGAAAAUUGUAGAUUUUAACUUAUGGCCGACCUCAAUAAGGUAAUGGUCGACCUCAACAAAAUUAAACAUUGUAGAACGUAAAUGUUAAGGCUAUGGGCAAACUCCAUGAGGCAAUGACAAACCUCAAUAAAUAGAAAAUUGUAGAAUUUAGCUUAUGGCUGACCUCAAUCAGGCAAUAGCCGACCUCAACAAAAUUGAACAUUGUAGAACGUAAAUGUUAAGGCUAUGGCCAAACUCCACGAGGCAAUGAGCAACUUCAAUAAAUAGAAAAUUGUAGAACUUAGUUUAUGGCUUACCUCAAUAAGAAAAUGGUCGACCUAAAUAAAGUAAAGGCGAAUUUCGAUAAAAUUGAAAAAUGUAGAUCUCAACAAGAUAAAAGUUAAGGCUAUCUAACCACAAGGUAAUAGCUGUCUUCAAUCUCAAAAAGGCCGAAUUACAAUUAGACCUCAACAAGGUCAAAAUGACAAUCUCGAUCUCAAUAAGAUUUGAUAAAUUUUUCAGGUAGGACCUCAACAAGGCAGCAAUGUCGAUCUCAAUCUCAAUAAGAUUGGAUGAAUUUUUCAGGUAGAAUCUCCACAAAGCCGAAAUGCCGAUCUCAAUCUCAAUAAGAUUGGAUAAAAUUUUCAGGUAGGACUUAAAUAAGGCCGCAAUGUCGAUCUCAAUCUCAAUAAGAUUGAAUGAAUUUUUUUCAUGUCAGACCUCAGUAAAGUCGUCAUGUCGAUCUCAAUCUCAAUAAGAUUAGAUAAAUCUUUUCACGUUGGACCUCAAUACGGUCCAAAAAUGCCGAUCUCAAUCUCAAUAAGAUUGGAUAAAAUUUUCAGGUAGGACCUCAACAAAGCUGCAAUGUCGAUCUCAAUCUCAAUAAGAUUGGAUGAAUUUUUUCACGUUGGACCUCAGCAAGGCCGCCAUGUCGAUCUCAAUCUCAAUAAUAUUGGAUAAAUCUUUUCAUGUUGGACCUCAAUACGGUCCAAAAAUGCCGAUCUCAAUCUCAAUAAGAUUGGGUAACUUUUUCAUGUUGGACCUCAAUAAGGUCACAAAGUUGAUAUCAAUCUCAAUAAGAUUGAAUAAAUAUUUUCACGUUGGACCUCAAUACGGUCCAAAAAUGCUGAUCUCGAUCUCAAUCUCAAUAAGAUUGGGUAAUUUUUUCACGUUGGACCUCAACAAGGUUGCAAUAUCGAUAUCAAUCUCAAUAAGAUUGGAUAAAUUUUUUCACGUUGGACCUCAAUAAGGUCCAAAAAUGCCAAUCUCAAUCUCAAUCAGUCUGGAUAAAUUUAUUUCAUAUUGGACCUCAAUCAAGUCCAAGUGUCGAUCUCGAUCUCAAAUAAGACCGGUCACAAGUAGAUAAGAAAUAAAGUUGCACUUUUAAAUAACCUCAUUGAUACUAAUAUAACAGAAGUUAUAGAAUUGAACGCAUAACAAAUUGAAAUAACAAAGAAACAAACUUUCUUAGCAUAUUUAAAGAAAAUAAACAAACAAUAUUUAAAGAAAAUAAACAAACAAGGACAUCAUAAAUAAGAUAUAUCUUAACUGAUAGUAUUUUCGCAGGUGCUCUGCAUUCCAUGCCUUGCCAACGACCCUGCCAUCCUGAUAACUUAAUUUAUAUGCCCCAUUAUCAAAUUAGGGUAGCACUUUAUAUGGUCCUUCCCAGCUCGGCCCUAGAACUCCAUCAAUAAAUCUGAAGCUCAUUGGAGAUGUCAUCCAUCAUUUUUGUUCCCACUCUUACCACCCUGCUCGGAUCAACCUCACUUAUCGGCAUGUUUCAUUUCUUCAUUAGGUCACUGUUGGCACAAUCUAUUCUCAGCUCGUGGGUCGAUACUCGUGAUCUGCAUGGAUUCUCUUGCAGCUGUAGCGUAACAACUUCGAGCUAUUUGUUGCUGGCCCCUCAUCACUCCAACCCCAUAUUGAACUCUAAACUUCACACGUUGCAUGUGGGUUGAGCUCACGGCUCUUACUAUCCUAUUGAAAGGUCUACCCAAAAUAAAUUGAUAAGGGUUGGGCUCAUCAACUACCACCCAUGUCACCAUCACUGUCUUUUGUAGUGGGUUGGACUUUAUUAUCAGUGGCAAGUCAAUCAUCCCAAGGGGAAUCAACUCAGCUCCGCCAAACCCUUUUAGUGAUGUUCUGACGGGAUCAAGCCUAAGGUCCCCUAUUUGUAGAUCUUCCAGGGUUUGCUUAAACAAAAUGUCGACUGAGCUUCCUCCAUAUAUAAGAGCUCGGUUCAAAUCCUGCCCUACCAAGGUAACCUUCACUAUGAGCGCAUCCUCAUGUGGAUGUGCGACCGCUUCCUCGUCCUCGUCUGUGAACAUGAUCGGCACCCUUUGAACCCGUUGCUUCUUUGGUAUUGAAACAUUAAAAUUCAACUUAUAACUUUCUAAUGACUAUCUACUAUAAUUUCUCCUUGAACGAUUUGAGUCUCCUACUAGGGUCGGCCCUCCCAUAAUCAUCAUCGCUACAUUAUCUCUGAUGUCUCCUCUUCUCCCACCUAUUCCUUGGUCAUUCACAUACUCCUUUAGAUAUUGAUUUUGCACUAGCCACAAAAUCUGUUCUUUCAAGUCUAUGUAAUCUGCAGUUCCAUGUCCGAACACAAUGUGAAACUCGCAAUACUUGUGGUGAGCACUUCUGCCCAGACUUCUUACAAUUGGCUUUGGCGGUUUAAGUAGCCCCUUCUUUUCUACUACAACAUAUAUUUCCGCUCUGCUUUUGUUCGAUGGUGUGUAUCUUCCACUCUACUCUAAUAAGUUCACCCCAUGGUCAGAUCUCGAUACUCUCUGUUCUAUAGGCAGUGGCAACCUAUUGUAGUCUCUUGCUCGGUUCUCCCUUUAGUUCAUCUCAUAAUUAUUUCCUCUAUCUCGGCCCCAUCCCAUUAAUGAGAUUUAUCUCAUUUCACGAUUUCUUUCCCAAUCUCGACCCGACCUUUCUGGUCAUCUGUAAUUGAACAACUCUCCGCCGUAAUGACGUCUAUCAUCCGAGUUCCUCCUCGAGCUAUACUCGAGGUUAUCACUUGACCCUCUCUCUGCUCUUCCAUUCUCCUAUUUUCUUCCUCUGCAUCUUCAGUUUUCAUAUCUAAUUUUGUCUAGUCGUACGCCUCAGCGUAUGUUGUUAUCCCCUUGUUAUAUAAGCUAUUCCAUAAUCGAUUGAUUCUCAACUCCUUCUUUAAUCCCUCUAGAACAUCUGGAAGAUCAAAGGCCCCUAGAUCGGUAACCUCUCUAUGAUACCUGGUCACAAAACUCGUCAAACUUUCAAAUUCUCCUUGGACCAAUUUUGUCAAGCUGCUCAUAUCCUGCUCUGAUAUGCAUGAACCUCUAAAAUGCAUAGCGGAAAGCACACAUAACUCCUUGAAAUUUCCUAUGCUUCUAUUCUUUAAUCUCCGGUACCAUUCCCAUGCUUGUCCAUCUAGAGUUAAGGGAAAAAUACGGCACCUUUGAAAAUCAUUCAAACCUUGAAUUACAGUCAUCUCAUUAAACUUCUCCACAUGAUGAUUUGGGUCAGUUUUUCCUUCAUACACCAAGACUUGAACCACAUACUUGGGUGGCAAAGUUACUGCCAUCACUUCAGGUACCAAGGGGGACUCGUCAUCGAGUAACAGCCUUCCUACCACUUUCUUGCCCUCUGUUUUCGCCUCUAAUACCUCUAAGGUUUUUUGAAAUUGCAGCAUUCGUUGCUCAAGCUCAUUUGCCCGUUGGGGUCUCUCAGCUCUUCCCUCUCUCUUUCUUGAUUCAAGUCAUUGAUUCUCCCCCUCAACUCAUUCACUUGUUCUCCUGCACUUCUAUUCUUUUGUCGUACCCCAACUUGUGGUAGUCCCAUUCCGCUCUGCUGUUCACCAUCAAGCUCUUCCCUCUCUCGCGCUCCACUACAUUUUGGAUCACUAGCUCGAACGUGAGCCUCUCUGACUUGGGCAUCAACCAGCCCCCGAUCAUCUUCUCAAAUCUCGCCAUUUGCCUCUCAAUCCCUUCUCUCCAUCUCUUAUCUGCCGUGGCAUUCAUUUCCUCAGCCAAUUGGCGCAAGGUCUACGUAUCUUCAUCCUUAUCAUCUAUCACUAUUUUGUAAUCCGAUAGCUUCUCCUUCUAAAUCUUCAAACGUAUGGCUUUUCGCACUGAUCCCCACAGAUAGCGUCAAGAUGUUGAUGCUGAAAAACGACAUGAACAGCUGAAUUUGUUUCUUUUGGGGAAUUACAAUGUGAAUUUAAGCUCAAACGCAAGUCUGAACGCAACUUUCUAUAUCUACCAACCAGAAAACACAGUUAGGAUAUGCCGGUGGGGUUCCGGCGCAGACCCUCCGAUGCUUAAGUCAAAUUAUGUAUAAAAGGAGAAAAAUAAGAAUGAAGAAUUAUGAAUGAGUUAAAGUCAAGUAAUUUUCCAGUAGAGGGGCUAAAAAUCUUGUAGAAGCUUCAGUGAAUUUUGCUAACCCCUUCACCUGAUGCGCUCUUCAAUUUAAAUAGACUCUUGGUCAUGUACGGUUACCUCCUUAACUUCAGCCCGCUUUCUUCAGUAGUUGCAAGUGGUUGUCAGUUGGAGGUGGUUUAAAUAGAUCGUGGCACACAACUUCCUUAUAAAUUAGGCCACGUUCUCUUAACUAGCAAUUUUUCAUGUCAAGCUAAUUCAUUGGUCGGACAAGAGAAUUUCAAGGUCGGAUUACUUCACUUUCAUAUCAGACAGAUGAAUUUGUUAGUCGCUCAUAUAGCGUUGGGGUUGUAUUAUUAAACUAAGUCAUUCACAUAGAUCUUAGGUCGUACUUGUAAACCAAGUCGCCAACAUAGGCUUCAGGUUGUACUUAUGAGGUCAACUCAACAACAAUAAGUUUUGAGUAAAUUAGUAUCGACUAUAUUUUGAGACACUACAAAAAAAAUCCAACCCAAACAGUAACAUUUUGCAAAUCUCAAUCGACGGUGCUAUUUUCAAUCGUUGCCUGGAUUGCUUUCUUGGAAAAGCAGCAUCUAUAAGAAACCUGCAAAAAAAUGUUGUAGCCUUGGAGACUGAAUUGGGAAAACUAAUCGAAGCAAAGAACGAUGUGGUGGCGAGGGUCGUCAACGCUGAAAGGCAACAAACGAUGACAAGGCUGAACAAAGUUCAAGGCUGGCUUUCGAGGGUGGACGCUGUUAAAGCUGAAGCUGAUGAAUUGAUAAGACAUGGCCCUCAAGAAAUUGAGAAACUAUAACUUAGAGGCUACUGUUCCAAGAACUGCAAGUCAAGCUAAAAGUUUGGCAAAAAAGUGGCUAAAAAGCUAAGAGACGCCGGGACUUUAAUGGCCAAUGGAGCAUUUGAAGUGGUAGCUGAGAGAGCUCCAGAAUCAGUAGCGGAUGAAAGGCCUAUCGAGCCCACAGUAGUAGGCCUGCAAUUGCAACUCGAGCAUGUUUGGAGAUGUCUUGAAGGAGAAUCAGUCGGAAUUGUUGGCCUAUACGGCAUGGGCGGUGUCGGUAAAACUACACUAUUGACCCAUAUCAACAACAAAUUUCUUGAGAGUCCAACUAAUUUUAAUUAUGUGAUAUGGGUCGUAAUGUCAAAAGACUCGCGACUUGAAAACAUUCAAGAAACUAUCGGGGAGUAGAUUGGUUUGUAAAAAUUUGCCAAUUUACACAGCAAACAAUUUCCACCCAAUUAAUGUUUUUUAGAAAAUUGUAAAAAUUUGGAGUUAUGAAAAUAGAAACUAUAUAAUAAGAAGAAAUAAUUUAAGAUUUUAAGAUUUAUAUAUAUUUUAUAAAUAAAACAUUAAAAGAGAUGCUUGUUAUUACGAUGAAAUUUUAUGAGUAAGAUGAUUAACUUUAAUAUAUGAGUUUGUAUUUUAUAAAUUAAUCAGAGGUAUUUUAGAAAAUAAAUUCAAAAUGGGAGUUAUAAGAGUUUUAGAGUGGUGUUAAAAGCUCAACUCUUUUGAAUUUUACUGCCCAAUUAUAUAGUACAUUAGCGUGAUUGUUAUGUAUUCAUUUUUUUCAGAUACAACAAACGAGCUGCGUAGUGCUCAAAUAACAAAAAUUAAUAAUUUCACACACCCAUAUACAUAUAUGUAUACAUAUAGAUACAUAUUAUAUUUAAUUAAGCAAAAGAAAGAACCCCCUGUACGACGCCAGUGAGAAGAGAGAGAGAGAGAGAGAGAGGAAGAGAGCUUUUUGUGUUAUAUUUCAUAAUUUUUAUUUAAUUAAAAAUAUUUGUAGUUUGGAUUUGGGCGCCCCAAAGAAUUUCUAAAUCAAAACCUUAAUUUUUAUUAGGUCUUGAGCCUAUUCUCGAAAUAGAUCCUAUUAUAUUCUUAGGUGGUGUUUGGUUUUAAGAAAAUGGAAGAGAGGAGAGGUGAAAAAAGAAGAUGAACGGAGAGGUGAUGAGAGGAAAAGAGUGUAAAAAUUAAUUGUUAUUGUUUGGUUUCACAUUAAAUUUGAAAGGAAAAGAAAUUACAUAUUUUUUAUUUGGACGAAUAUACCCACUAUUUUAAUGCUAAUAUUGUUAAUAAAUUAAAAAAUAAUAAAACUAUGAAUUAAUUUAAUCUAGAAAUUACCUAAUUAAAUUAAAAAAUUAUUUUUUAAAAAAAUACAGCAUUUGGCCAUGGACAGCCUCCACGUUGACCACCGUUGACUGGCGAAUUUGACUGUCGUUGACCGUCAUUUUUCAUCGCGUUAAAUGCAUAAUAAUAAUAAGAAAUGAAUGAUUUAUUCAUUGGAAGUGUUAAUUUUGCAGAAAAUACACUAUAUAGUAGGAAAUAUGAGAGUUAAAAUUUUCCCAAGCAUUUAAACAAGACUUGAGGUAAAUAACAAUGUAUAUUAGCAUUUUUAAUCUCAUAGCAUUGUAGAUGGACUCAUGAGGAUUCCAUUGAUACCGGUUUUGAUGAAAAAGUGCGUCUCCGGCGAAACUCCGACGAGUCACUUUACUGUUUUUUCUUUUUUCAAAUAAGUUUAUCCUAUUAAUUUAAGAAAAUAAAUAUAAAUUAUUUGUACUUUAAUUUAUUUAACAUUGAUUUUGUUUAGAGGAUAAUAUUGGAAUUUUUGUGUUUAAAUAGAUAAGAAAUUUAAAAUCUUUAGUCAUUGAUAAGAAAUACAAAUUCUUCAAAUUGAUGGAAAUUCAAUUCCAUUAAACUUGGUCCAAGUAGAAAAGAAAUCAAUUUUUUUUGGCUCUCCCCACUUCCCUACCCCUAAGCAAACAUGGCCUUAUGGUUUUUGAGAACUCAUACCAAAUUCAAAUUAAUCAGGAGCCCACGGGUCCCGGGGCUCGCGGGAAAGUUGCCAUCCCUACCUUCAUCUGACGGAAAGUCCCUACAAACAAAUGUUUCUUUAUUUAUUUAUUUUUAUAAAAGAAAUUUCAGUUUGAAUGUCUUUUGGACGUUUCCAAUUGUCAUGAUUAGCCCUUGAACCUUUGGUCAAAAAAGUAUUAUCACGCGUUGAUUGUUUGUAUCGCAAAUGCUAGUGGCAUUUGAAAGUUGAUAUAAUUAAUUACAAUCUACAAAUGUUUAACAAAAAAGUGGGAUGGAUAUGGCACAAAAGUAAAGCAAGCAGGAUUCGUUGAAAAAGCUAUUUUGACACCUACUUCGGUUAUAAAAUUUUCAAAAAAAAAAAAAAAUUUUGAUUAAAAGUAAAUUGUAUAGGUUCAACUACCGUGCACUUGGUGCAUGGGACAUGUAUUUUGUCUAUAUAUAAGUUACCCGUCAGAUAUAACAUAGAACUUGCUUCAACGGCAUAGAUGUAUUCUCUUUAGUUUUUAACAUUGACAUCUAUGUUGUUUUUCAAAAAAGAAAAAUAGUGAAAGGUUUGACACAUAAUUUUAGAUUAUUUUUAAAUUUUAUAUUUUAAUCAAUUGAUUUAAUUUACUGUUAAAAUUAAUGACAGUAUAAGCGUAAUAACUUGAAAAAACUUUUUAAUACAUAAUUUUUUUUAUUUUUUGAAAAUAAUAUAAUAUCAAUUUAAUCUAUAAUAAAUAAUUUUAACAUAUAAUUAAAUUUUAAUUUAUCAAUAAUAAUAUGACCAAAUGACAAUGUUAAAGAAUUUCAUUAUAAUCAACUAUGAUUUAGUAUUCAAAUAUAAAUAAUAGAAAUAUACUCUAAGUGUAAAUAAUAGAAAUAUAUCAAACUUAUAUGUUAAAAUUUCAAAACUUUUAAUUUUUUCACUUUUCAGCAAACAAGAGGGAGUAAUUUACCAAAAACAAGGGGUAUCGUACACCUGGGGCACCAUAGCUUCCUCCAAAUUGUAUAAAAAAUAGAAAUAUUUUUAGUCUCCAAAUUGUAUAAAAAAGUAAAAAUAUUUUGACUAAAAGUAAAUUGUGCGUAACUACUUUAAUAUUUUAUUUCUUUCAUAACUUUAUCAAAAUCUUGUCAUCAAAUAUUUUAUCAAUGUAACGCUGUAAACAGCAAAUUAAAGUUUAAUUAUUUAAUUACAACUGGCAAAAGAGACGUUUAAUUAUUUAAUUACAAGCGGGAUAGUCUCUUUUGUUGAAGGAAAUUAAAGUUUAGUUAUUUAAAUCGAGCACGCGUAAUCUUUUCAAGCACAAACAAAAGAGAUCAUAAUUCAAAGUUGAUGUUCUCUUCACAGCAGCUUCUAUUCAUCGAACUCCAUCGUUAAAAUUUCCUUGGUUUUUCCUGGUUGAAUUCUCAUCCAAAAUAUGGGUAACAUUUUCCAAAUCACAUGCGACGGCGCUCUCUUUAACCGUUGCCUGGAUUGCUUUCUUGGAAAAGCAGCAUAUAUAAAAAACCUCAAACAAAAUCUUGCAGACUUGGAGACUGAAUUGGGAAAACUAAUCGACGCAAAGGAAGAUGUGAUGAGGGAGGUCAACGCUGCUGAAAGGCACCCAAUGAUGAAAAGGCUGACCAAAGUUGAAGGCUGGCUUUCGAGGGUCGAAGCUGCUAAAUCCGACGGUGACAAAUUGAUAGCAUUUGGCUCUCAAGAAAUUAAGAAACUAUGUCUUGGAGGCUACUGUUCCAAGAACUGCAAGUCAAGCUACGAGUUUGGCAAACAAGUGGCUAGAAAGCUAGGAGAUGUCAAGACUUUAAUGGCUGAAGAAGCUUUUGAAAAGGUAGCUGAGGAAGUACAACCACCUUUGGUAGAUGAGAGACCCACCGAGCCAACCGUAGUAGGCUUCCAAUCACAAUUUGAACAAGUCUGCAAAUGUCUUGAAGAAGAAUCAGUCAGAAUUGUUGGCCUAUACGGCAUGGGCGGUGUCGGUAAAACCACACUAUUGACUCAUAUCCACAAUAACUUUCUUCAGAGUCCAACUUUUAAUUGUGUGAUAUGGGUCCUAGUGUCAAAAGAUCUGCGACUUGAAAACAUUCAAGAAACUAUCGGGGAUCUGCGACUUGAAAACAUUCAAGAAACUAUCGGGGAGCAGAUUGGUUUGUUAAACGAUACAUGGAAAAAUAAACGAAUUGAACAGAAAGCUCAAGACAUCUUCAGGAUUUUGAAGGAGAAGAAGUUUUUGCUGUUGCUAGAUGACUUAUGGCAGCGGGUUGAUUUAACAAAAGUGGGCGUCCCUCUUCCUGGCCCGCAAAAUAAUGCAUCCAAAGUGGUAUUCACAACCCGUUCCGAAGAAGUUUGUGGUUUGAUGGGAGCUCACACGAGGUUUAAAGUGGCGUGCCUGUCAAAUAUCGAUGCUUGGGAAUUGUUUCGGCAGAACGUUGGAGAAGAAACUCUGAACAGUGAUCCCGAUAUUCUUCAACUCGCCCAAGCAGCAGCCAGAGAGUGUGAUGGUUUGCCACUAGCACUUAUUACCAUUGGCCGAGCUAUGGCUUGCAAGAAGACACCUGACGAAUGGAUUUACGAUAUUGAGGUGCUAAGAACAUCAAGUUCUCAGUUCCCAGGUUUGGGAAAUGAGGUUUAUCCUCUUUUAAAAUUCAGUUACGAUAGAUUGCCGAGUGACACAAUUAAAUCAUGUCUCUUAUAUUGUAGUUUAUAUCCAGAAGAUUAUUGCAUUUCUAAAGAGAAAUUGAUAGACUGUUGGAUCGGCGAGGGAUUUUUGACAGAAAGGGACAGGAUUGGAGAACAAAAAGAAGGAUACCAUAUUCUGGGCAUUCUUCUUCAUGCCUGCUUACUGGAAGAGGGAGGAGACGGUGAAGUAAAAAUGCACGACGUGAUUCGAGAUAUGGCAAUAUGGAUAGCAUGCGACAUUGAAAAGGAGAAGGAGAAUUUUUUUGUUAAUGCUGGCGUUGGAUUAGUUGAAGCACCCGAUGUCACAGGAUGGGAAAAGGCGAGGAGAUUGUCACUGAUGCACAAUCAAAUUACGAAUCUAUCAGAGAUUCCUACAUGUCCUCAUCUCCUUACUUUUUUCCUUAACAAAAAUAGGUUUCAGAUGAUCCCCAAUGACUUCUUCCAAUUUAUGCCCUCCCUCAAAGUUUUAAAUCUGUCAUACAGCAAACUAACCAGCUUACCAUUGGGGAUUUCAAAGUUGGUUUCACUGCAACAUCUUGACCUGUCAGAAUCCGACAUAGAAGAGUUGCCAGGAGAGUUAAAGGCAUUGGUAAAUCUUAAAUGUUUGGAUUUGGAAUAUACAGGGAAUUUAAUUACAAUUCCACGUCAACUAAUAUCUAAUCUUUCAAGGUUACAUGUGUUGAGAAUGUUUGGUGCUGGUCAUAAUGCCUUUGAUGAAGCAUCAAAAGACAGCAGUUUAUUUGGUGGGGGUGAAUUCAUAGUAGAGGAACUGCUUGGUUUGAAAUCUUUAGAGGUGAUUAGCUUCACCUUGAGAAGUUCUCAUGGUCUCCAAAUGAUUUUGAGCUCGGAUCAGUUACGAAGUUGCACUCGAGCACUCUCAUUCCAAUGCUUCAACGAUUCGACAUCGCUUGAAGUUUCAGCUUUGGCAGAUCUGAAGCAACUUAAAAUGUUGCGGAUUGCAAGGAGUGAAAUAUUGGAGGAAUUAAAGAUGGAUUGUGCAGGGGAAGUUCGACAGUUUGUUUUCCAUAGUCUCAAUAAGGUUGAAAUAUACGGUUGCAGUAAAUUGAAGGACUUGACAUUCCUUGUUUUCGCUCCAAACCUCAAGUCUAUUAAAGUAACAGGUUCCCAUGCUAUGGAAGCAAUCAUAAGUGUGGGUAAAUUUGCAGAAGUUCCAGAGGUAAUGGCAAAUUUAAACCCAUUUGCAAAACUCCAAAAUCUUGAAGUAAUUGGUGCGAUAAAUUUGAAGAGCAUUUACUGGAAGCCCCUGCGCUUCCCACAUCUGAAAACAAUGAGUUUCUUUCAUUGCAACAAGCUUAAAAUGCUUCCACUUGAUUCCAAUAGUGCAAGAGAGCAUAGCAUUGUUAUUCGUGGAGACAGAAUGUGGUGGGCACAGCUUCAAUGGGAGGAUGAAGCCACUCGAAAUGCUUUUCUUCCCUGUUUCAAAUCUUGAGCAGAGAUCACAUUUGAAUAAUUUCUGGUGCGUGCUUUUUCUUACAUUAUUCUUCUUGUUAAUUUCCUUCAUGCAGACAUCUGCACCUAAUAACUCGUUACUUCAAAUAUUCUCUAAAUUAUUUGAGGGUACUCGCCCCUGCACAUAAUGUAUAUUUAUAUCUAAUUAAAUUUUUUAAAAAGUCAAUAUUAUAUUUUUUAUGUCAUUAAAUAAAGUCUUGUUAUUUUAUCGAAUUAUAUUCAACUUGAAAAUAGUUCUAGCUUUUAGAUAUAAGUUAUGUAAGUACAAGUUCAAAGUGUAUCAGCAUUAAAUUACUCAUAUUCAAUCAUUUAUAAUCUGAUGUUGAAAAAAAAAUGUCAUUCAAUCAUAUGCAUUUAACUAAAUUCAAAUAUAAUCUAAAUUCAGAUACGUUAAAAUUAUUUGGGAAAAAAAAGCGCCACAACUCUAUAUUGUUUAUUGAGUAAACCAGAUAUUAACUCUAUCAUGAACGUAAUAGCCUCCAGCAUUUUUUAUUAUCUGUUCAAACCAUAUUUUAUUAUUUUAAUUUAUUUAUAUUCAUUGCAUUUCAAUUAGGUCAUGUUUUCUUUUGUUUUCUGUUUUAUAUUCUUUGAUCAUUUUGGCAACAUGGAGUACUAUGAUUAAUCAUUUUGUACUGGUCUCAAAUUUCAGUCGGAUUAUCUGCGGAAAAUAUCUCUGAAGAUGCUUUCAAUGGAGUCCAGUACUCAGAAUGCGAUGCCUAAUCCUUUGCAAUCCAACAAUGCUAGCAGGAGCAACGAACCCCCUCAUCCAGGUAGUGACGUGGAAUAGUAAAUGCAGCUUCACUUUCAAUUUGUCUCUGAAACCGCUCCCUAUAAUCAAUCCUAGCAUUCUUAUGUGUUCUUAACUUCUGCAGCCUGAAUAUUUCUUCCUCGACAAUCAAAGUCAUAACAGUAUGAUUGGCUGGAGUAGCUUUCCUCCAGACCCCUCAUUAUAGUUAUAAAUAAUUCCGAUAUUUGAUAUCAUGAUCGGGGAUUUCAGAGCUUAGAAAAUAUGAUUUGUACCCAUAUGUGUCUGAUCAUGAGAAGUUUGAAAAUAUACAUCAAAAACUGUAUGGAUUGGAAAAAUAUAAUCUUAUUAUGGUGUGUUAAAUCGUCAUUUGAUGAACGGAUUUGGGAUACAUUAUAAUAUGAUGUCAUUAUUAAUUAGGGUGUGUUUUUGGAAGUGCUUAAUUAUAUUCGUUUAAUGUGUAUUUCUUUUAUCACUUUUGAAAAGAAUUCUUAAAUAUUUAAAUAUUUCAAUGUUUAUAUCUUAACUUCAAAUAUAAUAAAAUAAAAUAAAAUAACUGUUCUCCAAUAUGAGGGUCCGAACUAAGGGUCUACGUCAAUAACAUGAAAUAUAAUAAUUUUUGUAAAUUUUUCUUAAAUUCAAAAUAAAUUUUGUUACUGAUUCAAAUGUUUAACAAAAUGUGGCAGCUUAUCUGUAAUUGCCACAUCAAUUGAGAUUCAAAUUACUACUCAAAUCCUGAAAUUCCUAAAGGUCCCUAACAUUAAUAUUUUAUUAAGUCAAUAUUGAAGUUGAACUAUGGGGUUCGUCGGCUAUUUCACACUAACAGAGGAAUCAUUUUAUCUUCUACAAAGGGUUCAGUUUUCUUGCACUGUAUGAUAUGAAGUAAUAUUGUCAUAUGUUGUUCUGAAUUAAUUUUUUUCUUCUCUCGUGCGAAUCAGAAAGAAAUGUUGUAUUUAAGAUGUGGAAAGUAUAAGAUCUUAGGAGUUUUACAGUGUAUAUAUAUAUAAAUUUUUUUUUGACAAACAGAGAAAUUCAGUCUAGAAUAUGAGAACAAACUAAAAGCUACGAAAUACAUUGGCAUUUUUGAGAAGUAGGAUAAAUAUUAUUUUUUUUUUUGAAAAAAAAAGGACUUGGCACCUCAAUGCUUUAAUAACCUAAUGUUAUACUUUUGGUUUGAUUUUUCUAUGUACUCUCUUCCAAUGGUCAAUUUAGGCUAUGUUUGGUAUUGAGAUAUUAUAACUAAAAAAUUUUAGGAUUUAUCACUUAAAAGAUAGAGUAGCCGUGGGAAAAAAGAGAGAGAGAGCUGAAAUUAUGAAAUAAAAUUAUUAAUGUAUUGUAAAUAAGAUGUUCAAAUAAAAAAAUUGACAAAAAUAGUAAAAAUACAAUACCAAACAAGAAUUUAUUUAGGAUACCGAUUCCAGGUCUCUAAAGAUUUGUUUUUAUGCUUUGCAGUUAUUUUCUUCUAGCUGACUGAUGAAUUAUUGUGAAAUUGCUAUGAAAAUUACUAGGGAAAUUAUCAGUCAUACACUCUUAAAUGACACCCGUAUCAAAUAUGCUACAACAUUUUUCAAGUAUAUCACUCGUAUACUCUAAGUUGACAAAACACUUCUACCGUCCACCAAUAUGUUAACUUCUAUUAGAAAGUUAAUAGAAUUGUGGCAAAUUGACUAUUUCGUCCUUGAAACUCAAAAUGAGAUUAAAAAAAAUUUACCCAAAAAAUUAAAGUAAAUUUUCAAUACAUAAUUUUUUUUAAUUUCGUUAUUAACAAUACAUUUUUUUAUUAAAAAAUAUGAAUUAUUAAUGGUACAUAUUAUUAACAAUUAUCCAUAAAAAUAUCCAUAUUAUACCAUAAAAAAUUAUUAACAACAUAUUAUUUACAAUUAUACAUAUUAUACCAUAAAAAACUCCAAUUGGAGCUUGGAGGAGUAGAUCUUAAAAAAUUUAGGUUAAAUUUUGGAUGAGUAGAUUCGGUUGUAAAGUAGUUGUUUUUUUAUAUGUAAUUAUUAACAAUUAUCCAAUAAAUGGGAUGACAUGUCAUUUUAUCAAUAUAUAUCAUAUGACAUGUCAUUGCUUAAUAGGAAAAUGGGAUGACAUGUCGUUUUUAAAAAAGACUAUAUUUACCCUUAUGAUGUCAGCACUUGCAAACGGCAGUUAACGGAUUGGUGAACGGUAGAAAUGUUUUGUCAACUUAAAGUAUACGAGUGAUAUACUUGAAAAGUGUUGUAUCACGUUUGAUAUUAGUGUCAUUUAACGAUAUAUGACUGAUAAUUUUCCAAAUUACUACUAUAACUUAUGGCAAAUUGGCAAUUAAAAAUCAUAAAAGUCUUUCCUCUUGAAUGAGAAAGUGGGUUAUUUUCGUUUACUAUAUAUAUAGUGUCACAAUCAAGAUUAGCAAAGGUUUGUUCACAAACCACCAUCUAUGAAACUAUGAUGACAAAUAUUAUUUGCUAUUAUCAUGUCACUGCAUUACUCUAAUGCCAUUAUUUGCCUAAUUAAAUAUUCAUGUCGGUUUUAAGAUGAAUUUCAAGACAUUUAACUAACCAUAUCUAUUGUAUUUUAUUAUGGUGCUCUAGCUAGCUGGUUGCCAGCUUUGCCUUUCAAUGGGGUUUGAUUAAUUACUCUGCAUAUAGACCAUUAUAUACUAGGACGGCCAAUGGUUAAUGUAAUAUAAACACAAUAAAUUUUAAUCAAAUAUGAAUUUUCUGAAUAAUUGUUUCUUUAUUUUAUGAAUUUUAUUUAAACGAUAUCCCAAUUUAAAAAAAAAAAAGAAAGAAAGAAAAUCAGCGCGUUUGUCUCCUCCCCAUUGUCAUGAUCAACCUUGUUGGAAACGUUGGUGAGAAAAGUAAUACUAUACGUUAAUUGCUUUUAAUAUUUUAAUCGUUGGUGGCACAACCGCACAAGAAAGUAAAAGUUGUUAUAUAUAUAUAUAUUUUAAAUAAAAGUUUAGCUUUCAAUAAUUCAACUUUGAAAAAGGUACAAAAGAUGUGUAGGACAUUCGUUGAACCACAUUAUUGGUUGUACACUUUCUAAAGCUACUUUGGCUAUGGAAUAGGCCAUGAUUAUGAAGCCGAGAAGUAUGUUGCAGUGUGGGGUUGUGUAGUUCCUUUUAGCUUCUUCUUACAAAUUAAUGCUGACAGAAAAAGCAAGAUCAUAUUCCACAAAAGUAAAAGUAACAAAACAACCAGCUGGAAUCUUUUAUUAAACUACGAUAAACUACAAAUUAAAGUGGAUUCUUUUGAAUACAAGUGGGAUAGACGAUUGGCUCUUUUAUUAAAGGCCAGUAGUCAAGAAUCGAAUAUCUCGAUUGCAUAGUCUUUUUCAAAUUCUUGUUUUAUUAUUUUUCAAAACUAAUUUUUUAUUAGUCUACAAUUAUUUAUAAUUAUAUUUUCAUUUAGAAUACAGUUCAAGUCAAAUCUUUUGCACUUCUACCUAACUCGGGCUAAUACUAGUCCACUCAUUAUUCAUGUGAGAGAGUUGUAAGGUACAUGCAUGUAACUUCUCUAACUCGAAUUAUUCCACACAGAGAAAUAAACAUAGAUGCUUUAUAACUUUAGAAAUCCGAUCUCUUACAGUUGGAAACAGAGAUGAUGAUUACUAUAAGAAUGAAGAAAAAGAUAAAAAAUUGUCAAUGAUUAACGAAGUCUCUAUGCAAAUUUCUCUAUGCAAAUUGAUUUUAGCAGAAAAAUAGUGAGUUGAAUGAUGUAGGCGAUUAGUGGUAAUAUUUCAUAGAGUUAGAGUAUUGGCAACCCUUCAAUCUUCUCAUGAAUCCCCUUUUUGAGUUAUAGUUAUUUUAUUUCGAAAUAUCCUUUUUCUUCUUUAAUACACUUCUAAUUUUUCAUUUAAUUUUUUUAUUGUUAAACUCAAAGUAUUAUUGUGAUAUUUUUCGUUUCUUUUGUAAUCUUAUUAUAAUUAAAAAAACCAAAAAAAAAGAUUGGCUAUGAAAUUUGUUGGAAAAAAUCUAUGUGCGUUUAAUUUUUGUUUGUCUUUGACUGUAAUUUAUUUGAAGUGGGGUUUUAUAAGCAUAAUGAAGGGAUCAAAGGAUGCCCAUAACUUCACUCUAUUUUAUAUGGAGAAAAGUAAAAGGUACACCUAAAGUUAAUGGAAAGUACUUCGCAGCUUUCUUUUGAUUAUAAUAUCCUUUAAUUUAAUUAACUUAAAAAUUUUGACUUUAAUAAUUUAUAAUAAAUUAAAUUAUAAUCUUAAAAUAAAUAUAAUAAUAUAUUUUAAAAUAAUCUCUAUAUUUAAAAUUUAUUUAUUUUCACAUUUUAUAUAAAUUUUAUAAUAAAGACAAACAUACUAUUAAAAUAAUAUAUAAAAAAUUUAAAAGUAUUUUGAAUAUUAUAUAAAAUAACUAUAACAUUUUUUAAUACAUGAGAUAUAUUUUGUUAAUUUAAAAUUCUAUUUAAUCCAAAGAUUUAUUUAAGAUAAAUUAAUAAUAAUAUUUUUGAAAUUAUUUGAAAUACUAAAAAAUAUUUUAAUAUUACUAGUCUAUUAAAUAAAUUAAAUAUAUUUAAUAGACUAGUAAUAUUCUGAAAAAUAAUAAAAGAAGAAUUAAAAAAAGACUAGACAAUAGAGAUAUUCGAUUCUUUUAAAGCAAAUCGUAAUAUUCCACAAAGGAGUAAGAUCCACAAAAGCAAACAACCAGUUGGAUUCUUUUAAAGUGGAAUCGUUUAUUAAACAACAAAUUAAUGUUCAAAUAUUUAAAUAGCAGUGCAUUAGACGAUUAGACUGUCUUAUUAAAGGCGAGUAUAAAGUAGUCAAGAAUCGAAUAUCUCUAUUGUCUAGUCUUUUUUUAAUUCUUCUUUUAUUAUUUUUCAGAAUAGGUUUUGGUGAUUACAAUGGGUUAUUAUUCAGAGUUAUUGUUAUCUUCCGGGUCAAUUUCUGUUCAUCGAAGUCGUUAAUUCAAAUUUUAGAACUUUUAUCAAAAGAAUGUUUUUCGUUAUCUUUUUUAUGGUCUAAUUCCAAUUGUAAGAAGUAGUCAUUUUAAAAUUUGGGUCUUGAAUCGAAUUUCAGUGCAUGAAUUAAUAUUAAAAAAAAAUCACUACACACAGUUUAGGCUGCAGACUACUUUUUGCAAAUUUGACUCUGAAAAUUGGAGAAAUUAAGUAAUUUAGAAUGUUUGCAAAGAAAAAGACUAACAUACUUCCUAUUACACUAAAUCUCUAUUAUCAUAAUGUUGAGACUAAACUAACUUAAAUACGUUUUAUUUGAAAAGCUAUAUUAAAUGCAGCCUAAUUUUAUUAACCUGAAGAGCUAAUAGAAGUGUAGUUAUAAAAAUUAUAUUCUGACUUAAUUAGUACAAGUGAUAUAAAGGUUAAGUGUGCACUAUAUUUAAUAAUUAAUUAAUGGAGCAUGUUAAAUAAAAUGAUAAUUUAUAUUUAUAUAAUGUUAGGAAUAUGUAAAGUCUAAGUCCACAAGUUGCAUUAUCUUUAAUAUUUUCUCUCAAUUAAAUUCUAAAAAUACUUUACAAUUAUUUAGUAACAACUGUAAAUUAAGAAUAAAUUAUUGUCCCAAACAACAUUAAAAAAUAUUUUAUUCCAUUUGAAUCCUUUAAUUUUUUUUACAGUAUAUAGAUAAUUAUUACUAUGUGAAUGUAAGUUUCUUAAGAUGGGACCUAUAACAAUUUAGAACUUAUUACAACGGGGAGUUUAUUAGGACCAAAAUUUUUUAUGAGUACAUAAAGUUAUCUUGUAUAGAAUAUUAGUAUAUAGAUGUUUUACUGUAAUUAGUCUAGAACAUUUAAAAAAAAAAAACAUAUACCGUCCCUUGGAUGUAGCUCUUGGGUGACCAUGAAUGUUCUUUGUUCCACAUACGNNNNNNNNNNNNNNNNNNNNNNNNNNNNNNNNNNNNNNNNNNNNNNNNNNNNNNNNNNNNNNNNNNNNNNNNNNNNNNNNNNNNNNNNNNNNNNNNNNNNACCCUCUAUGGGAAUAAUCUAUUUAGUUAUAAAAAAUUAUGAUCCCAAUUUAGACUAGUUAUAAAUAACAACAAAUUCCACUUUGUAAUAAAUUAUAUUUUUUCUAUAUCUUAUCUUAAGAAACUUAUCUCUACAUAGUAAUAAUUAUUUGUAUAGGUAAGAAUGGAUCAAGAUCCUCUCCUGAUCUGAGCACUCCUGAUCUUUUACAGAUCUUAUACCACCUGUGUUUUACUGUUAGUGGAUGAUUAUGAUUUGACUAUUUUUUCUUUUUAAUUUAUUAAUCACCAAUUAUAUUAAUAAAAUUUGCUCAGAUGAAGAUCAGAUCAAGAAAGGAUCCUGAUCCAAUAAGAAUACAUGUUAUAUUAGACUAAAGGAACUUGUCUGCACAUAACGAUUAGACAACGAGCGAAAAUUAUUAAAGCGAAUGCAAAUAAUUAGAAUUUUUUAAGAUGACUUUGUAUAUUCACAAUAAUAAUUGAUAGAUACAUGUACCAACGUUUUAAUAUAUUUGACAUCCUCCAUUAAUAAAUCAUUGAUGUAAUAUAGACUUUAUCUCUAUAUCCUCACACUACGGACAACUAAGUCAUAAUAAUAAUUUUUGUAACUACAUCUCUAUUACUUCCUCAUAAUAAUAAGUUAAUUUGAUCUCUACAUUAUGACUAUGGAGAUUUUAUUGUAUAGGGACACCCAAUAUAAAUAGUAUCCCAACUAAAAUUGUCCCAAAAAAAAAAUCGCUAAAGGAUAAUUAUAAUUUUUUUUCACUUCUCAAACGUUGGUGGCAGUUGUAAGCUAAGUUGUCAAAUAUAUUAAACUACAAGUGCUGCCACCAAGUGCGAUGCUCUUUUCUAAAGAGAAGUACAGUGGGUCCCGAAUAGGACGUGCUUAAAUCUGUUUAAAUUUUUCCAGUAUAACUAACAGAGGUCAUUACUAGAAUUAUAUUACUAGCCUAUUAGAUAGAAAAAAUUAGUUAUAUUAUUUUAUAUUUAUUAAAAAAGUUUAAAGUUAAUCUUUUUAAUUACUAUUUAAAAGAUAUUAUAAUAAAAAAAUAGUGUCUUUACUAAAAAUUUAGAAAUUUAUUUGACCGUUCUCUAAACUUUAUUUAAUAUUAUUGAUUUAAAUAAUAUCUAAAUUAAAAAUGUACAGAGAAGAAAUUUCGGUGGGUAUAUUAGUCUUUUACUUUUAACGUUAGUGGCCUUCUUAUAUUUUAUUACAAAUUAAUCCUAACAAGAAAAAGCUAGAUCAUAUUCCACAAAAGCAAGAGUGACAAAACAUGAAAACAACCAACUGGAUUCUUUUAUUAAACUACAAAUUAAAAUUGUUUUUUUUAAUAAACUAUAAAUUAAAGCGGAUUCUUUUGAAUACAGGUGGGACAGACUUAAGCUCUUUUAUUAAAGGCAAGUAUAAAGUAGUCAAGAAUCGAAUAGUCUUUUUCAAAUUCUUGUUUUAUUAUUUUUCAAAACUAAUUUUUGGUAAUUACACUCGGGUCAUUAAUCAUUAUUCAGAGUCAUUGUUAUCUUCGGAGACAGUGGGUAAAAGAUAAUUACUGGCUGUUUUUCCUUCAAAAGUUAGUGGCUCAUGUUUGCAAGUGUGAAUGUGCGAUGCUCUUUUUCCAAAUGCAAUUACAGUGGGUCCCGAAUCGGAGGAUAAAAAUCCUUUUAGUUUUUGUAUUUUAAGAUUAGUAUAUAUUUAGUCUUUAUAUUUUUAAAAAUACCUCGAAACAUUCAUGCCGUUAAAGUAUUGAUACCACUACCAUUACUUUUCAUUUCUUUUAACUUAAUUUUACAAUAUUACCCUUUUAUAAUAAUUUUUUUAGACAUUAAUAAAAAAUAAUUAAAUCACUAAUUUAACUCUAAAAAAUAAAAAAAUUAUAUUAAUUUUUUUGCAAGCACCGUUUGCACACUUGGUAGGUUGCAUACAAUUUUUGAUAAUUAAAAAUUAAUAUAAAUUUUUAUUUUUAUUUUUAGGGUUAAAUUGAUAAUUUAAUUAUUUUAUUUUUAUUAAUGUACAAACAAAAAAAUUAUUAUUAAAGGGUAAUAUUGUAAAAAUAAGCCAAAAGAAAUGAAAAAUAACGGUAGAAGUAUCAAUACUUUAACGACAAGGAUGUUUCUAGAUAUUUUUAAAAAUAUAGAGAUUAAAUGAAUACUAAUCUUCAAAUACAGGAUUAAAUAGAAUUUUACCCCGAAUCGAACGUGCCUAAAUCUUUUUAAAAUUUUUGCCGUACAACGGACAGAGGUCAUUACUAAAAUUUCUCUUCCACAGCCCACAUCAGCUUCAGGAAUCAGUUUAUCAAACUCAAUCAAUUUUCUUUCUUAACAAAAUUCCAAAGAUGUGUAGCAUUUUUCAGAUCACAUGCGAUGGUGCUUUUUUCAAUCGUUGCUUGGAUUGCUUUCUUGGAAAAGCAGCAUACACACGUAACCUCCAAGAUAAUCUUGUGGCCUUGCAGACUGAAUUAAUGAAACUAAACGCAGCAAAGGACGAUCUGAUGAGGAGGGUCGUCAAUGCUGAACGUCAACAAAUGAGAAGGCUGGACGGAGUGCAAGUGUGGGUUUCGAGGGUGGAUGCUGUUACAACUGAAGCUAAUGAACUUAUCAGAGACGGCUCUCAAGAAAUUGAAAAAUUAUGUCUUGGAGGGUUCUGUUCCAGGAACUGCACGUCAAGCUACAAGUUUGGGAAACAAGUGGCUAAAAAGCUACGAGAUGUGGAGGCUUUAUUUGCCGAAGGGGUUUUUGAGGCGGUGGCUACCAAGGUGGUGCCUGAGAGAGCUCCAGAGCCUGUAGCAGAUGAAAGACCUGCCGAGCGAACAGUAGUAGGCUUGCAAUCACAACUUGAACAAGUCUGGAGAUGUCUUGCAGAAGAAUCAGCGGGAAUCAUUGGCCUAUAUGGUAUGGGCGGUGUUGGUAAAACUACACUAUUGACCCAUAUCAACAAUAAAUUUCUCGAGAGUCCAACCAACUUUGAUUGUGUGAUUUGGGUAGUAGUUUCAAAAGACCUGCGACUCGAAAAAAUUCAAGAAGAUAUUGGGAAAAAGAUAUGUUUGGUUGAUGAUGAUUUGUGGAAGAGUAAAAUUUUUGAAGAGAAAGCUGUAGCCAUCUUGCGGAGAUUAGGAGAGAAGAGAUUUGUAUUGUUGUUAGAUGAUUUAUGGGAGCGGGUUGAUUUAACAAAAGUGGGCGUUCCACUUCCCAGACCAAAAAAUACUACCUCAUAAGUCGUAUUCACAAGCCGUUUCAUCGAUGUUUGUGGUAGCAUGGAAGCUGGCAGGAAGUUCCAAGUAGCAUGCUUAUCAGAAAAGGAUGCUUGGGAACUGUUUCAAGAAAAAGUUGGGGAAGAAACUCUUGAGAGUGAUCAUGAUAUCGUUGAGCUAGCCCAAACCGUGGCCAAGAAGUGUGGUGGUUUGCCACUCGCACUUAUUACUAUUGGUCGAGCUAUGGCCAUCAAAAAGACAGCCGAGGAGUGGAGACAUGCAAUUGAAGUGUUAAGACGAUCAGCUUCAGAGUUUCCAGGUUUGGGAAAAGAGGUGUAUCCUCUUUUAAACUUUAGCUAUGAUAGUUUGCUGAAUGAGACGAUUAGAUCUUGUUUCUUAUAUUGUUGUUUAUAUCCUGAAGAUUAUGGCAUUCUUAAAUGGGACUUGAUUGAUUGUUGGAUUUCUGAGGGAUUCUUAGAGGAAUCUAAUAGGUUUGGUUGUUAGAGUGCAAUUUAUGCACUAGUUUUGCAUUAUUUACUUCCCUUAAUAUCAAUGUUUUGCACUUAAUAAUAGUGAUUUACUUGUGUUUUACUUUUGUAGGUGCAAUUCUAUUGAUUGAUGAUAAAAUUGAGCUAUAAGAUGAUGUUUAAGGAUGAUUGUUCUCUUGAAGAAAUUAUGAGCGUCAGAAGAACUUUGUUGAUAAGGCGUGGGCGCGUGCUGUCAACUGCGGACCUGCAGUUUUAGUUUAACGUGUUUUGUAUUUUUGGUUAUUUUUGUAAUUACGAAUUUAAUAUUUCAGAUAUUAGGAUUUUAUUUUAAAUAGAAUUCUAAAAGAGAAGAGAGAGAAAGUAUUUAAGGGAGGAAUCUAUUGUGAAAGGGGGAUUUUGGAUUGGAGAAAAAGAAACCCUAGAUCUAAUUUUUCUCUUCUCUCUAUGAGGAACUAAACCCAUUUUUCUGGUUGAAGGUUAAUGAAGCUUUGAUUCAUCACUACUGUGAGAUCUUUCUUGUGCUUUAAUUGUUUUAUUACUUUUUGGGUAUUUGUUUAUUCUCUGAAUUAUUUUCAUGAUUAUGUUUGUUAAUUAGGUAAUUGGCCACUAUUUAAUUAUCAACUUAAUCUAUUGUCAAUUAAAGGAUUCAUCGUAUGAAGAAUUUAAUGUUUGUGACAAAUAACAUAGCAGAGAGUUGUGUUGUGAGAAUAAACAAUCUAAUUUAAAUGAAUCAUCAUAUGUGUUGAUUAGGAUUUGGGUCUCUCUGGUUUUUCAGGCUGUCAAUUGAUUAAAUUCUAUGAUCGUAUCUAGGGUUGUCUAUUGAUUAGGGAAAUAACCAACGGUCGUACCUUGGUUAUCGACUAGUUAAGGAGAGAUUGGCUAUUAGAGGGUCUCAGUAGCUAUAACCGGUCUAUUCAUGAGUAAUAAUAAUCUAUAUUUGAAUCAAUGAUCAGUAGUCGAAUCAAGCUGAGUUAAUUCCUUCAACCAGAGCUUUCUCCAAUUUGAAUUACAACUUUAAUUUGCAUUCUUGUUAUUUUAAUUUGAUUUUUAUUAUUGUCAACAAUUCCCCUAUUUUACGUUUUACGUUUCAAAAGGAUUUAAUUAAUUACCGAUCUCUGUGGACACGACCCUGCUCAAUCACUAUACACAAUUUAUUUAGAGUAGGAAUUUACUUUUGUUGGCUUCGACACCCAUCAUUGGUGCAGAAAACCGAGGAUACUACAUUGUGGGCACUCUUGUUCAUGUGUGUUUACUAGAAGAGAUAGAAGAUGAUAAAGUAAAAAUGCUUGACGUUGUUCGUGAUAUGGCUCUAUGGAUAGCUUGUGAAACUGAGAAGGAGAAGAUAAACUUUUUGGUUUGUGCAGGUGCUGGAUUAGAAGAGGCACCGGAUGUUAAAGAAUGGGAAAAUGUGAGAAGAUUGUCAUUGAUGCAAAACCAAAUUGAAACUCUGUCAGAGGUUCCCACAUGCCCUCAUUUCGUCACUUUAUUUCUUGACUUUAAUGGGGAGUUGAAGAUGAUCGCGGAUGGCUUCUUCCAACUUAUGCCUUCUCUCAAAGUUUUGAAGAUGUCAAACUGCUGGAAUUUGAAAUUUCUUGUUGGGAUGUCAAAGUUGGGUUCGCUACAGCUUCUUGAUAUUUCACAGAACGCCAUAGAAGAGUUACCAGAAGAGUUGAAGUUGUUGAUAAAUCUGACAUGUUUGAAUUUGAGGGGGACAGGCCAAUUAAAUAAAAUUCCACGGCAACUAAUAUCAAAUUUUUCAAGGUUACGUGGGUUAAGGAAGUUCAUAACGUGUGCAAGCAGUCAACUCAAGGUUAGCACGUGGGAGAAUUUGCUGAGCUAAAGUUAGUUAAAUAAGCAAUGCCAGCUCAACAAAUUCAGUCAAGGUUUACUGAGAUUUUAUUCCUAUUGUUUUCUUUUCUGUUAACAAUGUAUAAAGGUGUUCUUUGUACUCAUUUGAUCAUUAAGAAAAAAAGAAAUAAAAUCUAGAAUAUUCUCUGAAGUUUUCUCAGUAAAACAGAGUAAAUUUUCUCAGUAACUAAACAGUAUAUAUCAGUGGAAUUUACGUUUUAUAACAUGGUAUCAGAGCCAAACAGUAACCAGCAAACAAUGAUGAGAAAUCUAGCAAUCAAUAAUACACAUCAACACACUCAAAUCAAUUUCUCUUUCACGAAUCCAAUUAAACUAGAUCGAUCAAACUACCUGCUCUGGCGUUCACAAGUUCUGGCUUCGAUUAGAGGUAAUCGACUAGAAGACUUCAUAACUAGAAUCAAAUCAACAUCUGAAGAAAAUAUUUUGUUAGCUGGAGUUGAUGGAUCUACACAACAAAUUGAGAAUCCUGAGUAUCAGAUCUGGAGAUCACAAGAUCAAAUUCUUCUUGGUUGGCUACUGUCAACCUUAAGUGAAGGUAUCCUUAGUCUUGUUAUUAACUGUAAAAGCUCAUUUUCUUCAGCUCAGAUAUGAACUGAACACUCUUAAAAAGGAGUCUCUUAGUAUUGAAGAUUAUUGUGUUAAAAUGAAAGCAAUAGCUGAUAAGCUUGCUAGUGCUGGUAGCUCGAUAACAGAAAAGGAUCUAAUGCUAACCAUACUCAAUGGAUUAGGAUCAGGAUAUAGUGAUAUUGCUACUUUCAUAACUGGUUCACGAAUGGAAUUUGAUGAUACUUAUGCAUUAUUGCUCACUCAUGAAACUAGGUUGGAACAAGAUCAUGAUGAUAAGAGUAUGUUCAAUGCUAACUAUGCAUAUACUAAUGCAUUUCAUCCUAAGGUUUAUUAUGCACAGCCUAGAGGAAAUUUUAAGAGAGGAGGUUAUUAUGGUGGUAGGAAUGUUUUCUCUGGUAGAGGGAAUAUGAAUUUUUCUCCAAGAAUGUUUAAUGGAGGUUUUAGAAGUGGUUUUGGUAGAGGAUAUUAUGUUGGUAAUCCUUUUAAUGGUAAUAAUUCUUUAGCACCAAAGAAUUCAUCAUCUGUUAUCAAGAAUGGAUCACAGAGAACUUUUAAUAACAAUCCAGGGGACUCAGUAUGUCAGAUUUGUCUCAAACUUGGUCAUACUGCUGAUAUUUGUUGGCAUAGAUUUGUUGAAGAUUAUGUGCCAAUGCCAAGGGGUUUUUAGAAAAGGAAAAGCACCCAGAGCAGCAUCACUACUAGAAAAAUAGCUUUUACUGAUACUUGUCUUGUGAUACUUUUCUAAAAAGUAUCAGCAAUUACAUAUAUUUGGGCCAUUUUCCGUGUUUAACAAACAAGUGUCACAAAUUACUGAUUCUAUGAUGUUUGUAUAUUAAACAUCAGAGAUCGUCGACACUAAGGUAUCAGAAACAACAAAAAAAAAUAAAAAAUCUAUUUUUGUUUUAGUUGCGACUCGAACCUAGGACCUCAAAACUAAAGUGCUUUAUGUUCAACCAACAAACCACCAUGCCAAAUUCAUAAAUUAGUUUGUGUUGAACAUGUUGAAAUUAUCAAAUUAAAUUAAUAUAGAAAACAAAAAUAUAAAAGCAAAAGAAAAAAACCCUAAAUCAACAUAAACAUAAAAUUCCCUAACUCCUAAAUCCAUGGCCAGCCGCCUCAUCUCUCUGGCGAUAUCCUUCUUCUUCUUCAUACCUCUAAAACUUCGAGCCCUAAAAUUCAAGGGUCCAUGUCAUAAGAAAUCCUACCACCACUGCUCAAAUUCUAACACCCAUACCAUACGAAACCCUAAUGAUCUACAUUAUGCAAAACAUCCACCAUGCCGCUAUGCCACAAGCUCACAAGACCCGCUUUAGAUCUCCACAUUUUGCUCACCCUACUCGAGUGCACACCGCCCCUCUCGCUUCGACUUCUCGGGAUUUCUUGUUAGCUGAAGUUUUGUUUUCUUCCGCUAAUUCGAUCUUCGAAAGGUCUCGGAGCUCCAAGUAACUAAGUAAGCUCGGUUUUCUUCUAUUCUCUCAGAUACUUGCUUACACAUUCCUUUUUUUUUCGUGUUAAAUUUUGUUGUUUCGUUGUGUUAUAUGGAUCGAUGAGAGUCACAGACUUUGACGAGACAAUGACGAUAUUGUUUUGGAGUUUCGUUUCGUAGAUCUGUGAUAGAGUCUCCUUUUUCAGAUAUUUCCUUUCAUUUACCAUAUUUGCACAAUUUGUUUUGUCAUUAAAUUAUUUGCGUUUGAAUGUACAAUUUUUGUUUUCGUUUUAUAUUUUCAAAUACUGUUUCUUGGAGCGAAUUAGUGGAGGAAUUUUUGGUUGAAGCAGAGGAUGGAUAACUUUUGUAUUUUGAACUUUGUAUGUUAUUUAUUAUUUGAACUUGAAGCUAAAAGGUGACCAAAUUUUCCAAAGGUUAGGGUUUGGUUGGCUUAUGUGAAAAUGCCGAACGAAUGUGUAUUAUUCAUACUCCAAUAUUGUAGGUGCGUCAAUGCACCUCCUUGCGAUGGUUGCAGCAACGAAACUGUAGGUCAAGGUUUGGGUACCCCAUUUCCUUCAAAGAUCCAAUAUGGAGCAACUCGAGUCGAGCUUUUUCGGUCAAUUUAAACAAAACCUUUACUCCUAAUUUAUUGUCUUUUGCUUUCUGUUUGUACCUGUAGGAGUUCAUAUUUUGUAAUGUUCCGUAAGUGUCCAAUAACUGGUUAAAUUAUGACUUAUGCUAGGUGAAGAUUUUGUGUUACAAUCCCCUUCAAUAGGCAAUCACUCUUUUUGUAAAUGUUCAUGGGUAAUUGCUUUGCCUUUGCUUCUGUUGUACUUUUGUUUUUGUGGGGUUUUAGUUAAUGGAUGUUGAGUUAUAUUUCAAUCAGUUUGAUUUCUCUGCAUAUUUUUCAUAUUUUAGUAUUAGAAGAGGUAUUUAAUCAAAUGAAGACAAAAACAAUUGUCGGCCAACCAACAAACUCACUUUAGUUUGUUGUGAAAUGAUUUUCUCUCUCUCUCUCGAUUUUCACUGGUUCUGUGGUUUUUUCCCUUCCACAAUGUGAUUUAGUUCUGUUCUAUUUAUGGAUGUUACCAACAUUUUAGCUUUUAAGAAACAGACAAAAAGAUUCUGAAGUUUGUUUCUUGUUUCUUACUCUGAAUUUCCAAGGCAUCUUAUUUGGAGAAAUGCAUUCUGAAUGGAGAAAUUUCUCCAAAUUUAUGAGAUGUGGUUCUGUCUUGCUGAAUGAACAUUGUAUUUCCUUCAAUGGUUUGCGAGCCAUUAAGUUAUUUGAGCAAACAAAAUUAGCAAUAUGGAAUCCUGUUUCUACAGGAUUAUAGUUGUAGGACUCUAGAAUUUAGUCUAGGUAAUGUUUUUACCAUUGUAAAAAGUAUCUGACAUUGGUGAUGUUUAAGCAUAUGUGUCAUUUCUUUUGGGCUUCACUUUGGAUCCUUUUUUUCUUUUUUUACAAACAAUGGAUGGUUAAAACCUAAGAGACUGAUUGAUUUUUGUUUUAAAUCCAGUGGUUAUGCCUUGUAAACUUUUGAGUUGUAUCAAUUUCUUUUCCUGGCCUAACUUGGCUAAAUUUAUGCUAUAUAAUUGAAUUCUACAAAUUUUGGCUAUGUAUGAUGUAAAGGUCAUAAGUCUUGUAUCUUCAUUUGUUCACCACAGGCUUGAUACUUCACAACUACCAUAAGUUAUGUCAUGCCAUGUCUUCUUUAGCAAUAUUGUGUGGCUUUGAGUAGUAUUAAUGUUUUUGUUUGUUAAUUCACGACUUAAUGGAACCAUUUUCCUUAUAAUCGAGAACCUUCGUGCGAGUGUUGUGGAGAAAUCUUAUGAUUCAUGUGUAGGUGUGUUUGCUUAAUGUGAUGACUUUUAUUAUGUGUUGUAGUUCUUGUGUCUAUAAGAGGAACCUUUGCUCCUAUGUCUAUUUAUCUCCGACUUUCAGUUUAGGCGUAAAUAGGUUACUCUUCUUUCUUUCUCAUUUUUUAAUUUCUAUGUUCUCCUAUGUCUAUUUACAUGGACUGCUUUGCUGCUUCUCUGCAGUGAAAACAACCCUGGUAAUUUACAGGAGCUUUUUUCACUUCAGAACAAUAGCAAGACAUCCCCUGCAGAUUUUUUAUUGAUUUUGCAUAGAUUGGUUUGUUGCUUUGGGUUGGAAUGCUACUGGAUAUAUGUCAGAAUUAUAGCGCUAUUGGAAGAUGGUGGGUUGUUGCAUAUGAGUUGGAGUGUUCCUGGGUAUGUAGCUAGAAUUAGAGUGCUGUUGGAAGAUGGUAUUGCUACUGGAAGUUUUGCUCAAAAACUUGUCGUUGGAAUACUUGCAUUAAUUUUUGGAAAUUUUAUUGGGUAACUUGGCUAGGUGGCUGAAAUUUUAAUUGCUUUUGUGUAUUGAAGCAUUUGGAUUGUGUAAUAUAUAUUGAUAAUAUUUAAAUGUUAUGAAAGGUUUUGAUAAAUAAAUUGAUUUUUGUUCUUAUUUCUCACAGCCUUUUAAUUCUAUCAACAAAUCAAUGGGUAAUGUCAUUUUGUAUAAUUAUUUUUUUAAAUAAUACAUAAAGUAGUGAUACUAUAGUAACAGUAUCACAAAUACUAAUAUAGUAUUGUAAUAUUUUGAUACCAUGGUGUUAUGAUUUUAAUGAUACUAUAGUAAUAGUAAUUACUGACACCACUUACAAGUGUCACUAUUUUUCUGACUGCCAGAUUACUGACACAAUUAGCAAGUGUCACUAAAAGUAAUUACUGACACUAUUCUAAUGUCAGUAAAGACCAUUUUUCUAGUAGUGCAUAUCUGUCAAAUUUUGAUGGUUCUGUUUCAAAUCCAAACUUUGAAGAUUAUGAGAACUUCAACUAUAUGCCUUCAGCUUAUAAUCCUAUGUCUGGCAAUAGCUAUUAUUCUGGUUUUGAUGCUUGUACUCCUGGAGUAGCAUUUAUGGCUAACUUUGAAGGAGUUGCUAAUGAUGAAUGGUACUUGGAUAGUGGGGCAACUCACCAUCUGGACAACAACAUGGAGAGCUUGCAGAUCAGUGAGGAGUUUAAGGGUACUGAUUAGCUCAUAAUUGGUAAUGGUCAAGGUUUGUUUAUCACUAAUGUUGAUUUUGCAUUUCUGUCACAAAGAGCAUCAAAUUACUUAUCUGCACAUUCCAGAAUAGCACUUAAGGAUAUAUUACUUGUUCCAUCAAUUACCAAAAAUCUACUAAGCAUUUCCAAAUUGACAUCUGAUAACCCUAUAACUGUUGAAUUUUGUGGGAAUGUUUGUUUUGUGAAGGACAUGAAUAGACAAGUUCUGCUGCAGGGACUUGCCGAAAAAGGUCUAUACAAGCUGCUGCUGAGUUCUAAUUCCUCUUCUUCAUUUCCUUCAUCUCAUCUUUGUCAUACUCAACUAAAUAAUUAUGUCUCAAUGUUGUCUAGCUUUCAAAGCUUUGAUAAUCCUUCUAAAGUUUGUUAUCAUUCUGUUUUCAAUAAAUGCAAAACCAAAUAUGAUGUAAUGACAUUGUUACAUAGAAAAUUUGGUCAUCCAAGUUCAAUGAUUCUGAUGCAUUUAGCUAAGUCUUGCAAGCAAUUAAAAAUCUCUCAAAAAGAUAUUCUAUCUUGUACAAAUUCUUUGUGUGAGGCAUGUCAGUUAGGCAAAGUUCACAGGCAAAGUUUUCCAGCAACUGAAACAAAAACAAAAGGAGUAUUAGAACUGAUUCAUACUGAUAUCUAGGGACCUUCACCCACUGUAUCUAGAAAUGGAUACAAGUAUUACAUUAGUUUUGUGGAUGAUUACACUAGAUACACCUGGAUCUAUCCACUUAAGCUUAAAUCACAAGCAUUUGAAGUUUUCAAACUGUUCAAGGCACAAGUUGAAAAUUAGUUUAAUACCAAGAUUAAGGAAUUACAAUCUGAUCUGGGGGAGAGAGUUUAGAGUAUUCAGUAAUUUCCUAAGUCAAAAUGGAAUCAAGUUUAGACAUUCAUGCCCUUAUACUCAUCACCAGAAUGGUCUUGUUGAGAAGAAACAAAGACACAUAAUUGAAUUAGCAUUAACACUCUUAGCUCAAGCUAAUCUCCCUUUUCAGUUUUGGUGGAAAGCUGUUCACACAGCAACAUAUCAUAUUAAUAGGUUACCAACACCUGUUCUUAAGCUUUUAUCUCCUUAUGAAAAGCUCUUUAAACACAAACCAGAUUAUUCAUUUCAUAAGUGCUUUGGUUGCCUAUGUUAUCCAUAUAUGAGAGAUUUAAAUAAACACAAAUUUGAUUUUCACACCACCAAAUGCAUCUUCAUUGGCUAUAGUCAUUCUUACAAGGGUUAUAAGUGUUUAACAAGCUCAGGAAAAAUUCAUAUCCUAAGGCAUGUUAUCUUUGAUGAAAAUACAUUCCCUUACUUAACAAACAAAGUCUUUCAUUUAUCCGAGAACAGUUCAAAUUCUGAAAUAUCAGUGUCAAACUUUUCCCAGUAACAAAUUUAUCAUCUCUCCACAUUAUCCUUAACUGACAGCAGCUUGGAAGAUCUUCAAUCAGCAAGUUCAGAAAGCAAUGAACAAGUACCUUCUGUUUCUGCACACACAAAUAAUCUGCAUCAACAAGAGCAUUCUCAAGAGCAUUCCUCAUCAACUAUACCAUUAUCACCAACACAACAACAAACUGAAUCACAACCACAAAAUGAACCACAUCUAUCUACUUCCUAGCACAUAAAUCAAACUCAAACUAGAAACCUUCCUUCACAACCAUCACAUUCAAUGGUAACCAGAUCGAAAAUAUGGAAUCUUCAAGCCAAAAGUUUACAUAACCACCUUAACCAACAAAGAACCCAGUACUGUUCAAGAAGCUCUAAGUGAUCAGAAUUGGCAUCAAGCUCUGAAAGAUGAAUAUGAAGCUUUGCUUAGGAAUGAAACAUGGUCACUAGUACCAUUUUCAGAGGUAUACAAGGUUGUUGACAGUAAAGGGGUUUUCAGAAUUAAACAAAACACAGAUGAGAGUGUAGCUAAAUACAAAGCCAGGUUAGUUGCAAAGGGUUUCCAGCAAACUAAUGGUGUUGACUACUUUGAGACCUUUAGUCUUGUGGUAAAGGCCUGCACAGUAAGAAUUAUUUUUAGUUUGGCUGUGAUGAACAAGUGGAAAAUAAGGCAAGUGGAUGUCAAUAAUGCAUUCUUAAAUGGAGAAUUGACUGAAGAUGUUUACAUGUAUAAGCCAGAAGGUUUCAUUGAUGAGAAAAAGUCCAGUUAUGUAUGCAAGUUGAAGAAAGCCCUGUAUGGCUUAAAACAAGCUCCUAGAGCUUGGUAUGAUAAGUUGAAAAACCGUCUGAUAAGUUGAAAAACUGUUUGAUAAGUAAUUGGGGUUUUCAAAAUUCCAGAGCUGAUACUUCUCUCUUCUUCAAAGAGAUUCAAGGCUCAAUAAUACUUGUGCUUAUAUAUGUGAAUGAUAUACUUAUUACAGGGCCUGACAUUGGAGAAUUAGAGAAGUUUAUCUUAGAAUUCAGUAAGACAUUUGCUUUAAAGGAUCUAGGAAUACUAUCAUACUUUCUUGGGAUAGAAGUCUCUUAUGCUGAUGGUUGUAUGUACUUAUCUCAGAGAAAGUAUAUUAAUGAUCUCUUGUCUAAAGCUGAUAUGUUGAACUGUAAAGGGUGUGAUACUCCCAUAGCGAUUGGACUGAAACUUCAAAAGGAGGUUAAAGGUUGUUUAGGUCAGUAUGUUGAGGAUGCAACCAGUUACAGAAGUUUGGUUGGAGGCUUGCAAUAUCUGGUGUUAACCAGACCAGAGAUAGCCUUUGCUGUGCACAAACUCAGUCAAUAUGUGACAGCUCCAACAUUGCAGCACAUAAUGGCCUGUAAACGAGUUCUAAGAUACCUAAAGGAAACCAUGGAUUAUGGUCUAAAGUUUUCAGCUGGUGGAGAAAUGGAAAUCACAGGUUUUAUAAAUGCAGAUUGGGCAUGCGAUAUUGAUGACAGAAAAUCUAUAGGUGCAUACUGUAUCUAUUUUGGAAAUAAUCUGGUGUCAUGGUCAUCUAAGAAGUAGUCUGUGGUGAUAAGGUCUAGUGCAGAAAGCGAAUACAGAGCUUUGGCUUCUGCAAGUGUAGAAAUAGCAUGGAUUCAAUCUUUGUUCAGUGAGCUAAAUAUAAGAUGUGUCUCAGUACUUAUCAUCUGGUGUGACAACAUGAGUGCAACAAAGUUAAGAUAAAAAUCUAGUCUACCAUUCACGUACCAAACACAUUGAACUGGAUAUGCAUUUUGUUAGAGAUAAGGUUUUAGCAGAGGAGCUGAAAAUUAACUUCAUUCAAAGUGAAGAACAGAUAGCCGAUGUCCUAACAAAACCUCUCACAUUCAUUCAUUUUAAUUAUUUCAUAAACAAACUCAAUGUGCAGCCAUGCCCCUUGAGUUUGAGGAGGGCUGUUAAGGAAGCUCAUAACGUGUACAAGCAGUCAGCUCAAGGUUAGCACGUGGGAGAAUUUGCUGAGCUAAAGUUAGUUAAGUAAGCGAUGUCAGCUCAGCAAAUUCAGUCAAGGUUUACUGAGAUUUUAUUCAUAUUGUUUUCUUUUCUAUUAACAAUGUAUAAAGGCAUGCUUUGUACUCAUUUGAUCAAUAAGAAAAGAAGAAAUAAAAUCCAGAAUAUUCUCUGAAGUUUUCUCAGUAAAACAGAGUAAAUUUUCUUAGUAACCAAACAGUACAGAUCAGUGGAAUUUACGUUUUAUAACAACGUGUGUUGAGAAUGUUGGGUAUUGGCCAAUUCAAUUUUCAUGAAGCACCAGAAGACAACGCUUUAUUUGGUGGGGGUGAAGUUUUGAUACAGGUAUUGCUCGGUUUGAAAUAUUUAGAGGUAUUGGAGUUGACCUUGGGAAGUUAUCAUGCUCUCCAAAUUCUUUUGAGCUCAAAUCAGUCAAAAAGUUGUAUUCGAUCUCUUCUCCUCCACAAGUUUAGAGGUACAACGCCGAUUAUUGAUGCUACGGCUUUCGCAGAGCUAAACCACCUCAACGAAUUAUUUAUUAAUAAUAGUAUUGAGUUGAUAGAAUUGAAGAUUGAUUAUACAGAGAUAGUACAAAAAAGGCAGGAACCUUUUGUUUUCCGCAGCCUUCACCGUGUUACCAUAUUUAGGGCCCGUUUGGGAGUGAGGUGCUGUAGCUUUUAAGCUGCAGUUGCUGUGGAGUAAAAGCUAUAGAUGUGGAAUGGAAGUUGAUGGUGUUUGGUAAAAGUGUUGUAGCUUUUAAGCUGCAACUACUGAUGGUGUUUGGUAGAGUGGAUGAAUAUUUGUAAUAAUUAAUUUUAAAUAACAUUAUUUUUAAUUGUUAACAAAUCAAUUAUUUUUCAUUCUUCAAAUUAUUAUAUUGACAUACAAUUACGAUUUAUUCCGUUACAAAUUAAAUUAAUAUUUAAUAAAUCAAAUUUAUUUUUUUGCACAAGUUGUAAUAAAUAAUUUAUAAAACACAUCAUGGGGUCAAUUAUAAAUAAUUUUAAAUAACUAUUAUUGACAAUGCCAACCGGGCAGUGUACAUGAUAUGCUUCUCCAAAUUGCUUCGGUUUGUACCUGAUAUGAUUAAUCGAGUAUUAUUUACAAUACCAAAUAUAUCUAAUAAAAAUCAUACAACAAAACAAAAUAAAAUUAAAAUGUAAUUAAUUACAAAAUUUGUAUAAAUAUUUCUAUUGUUGUGCCUCCAUUAAACUUGCAGCAAUGCCAUCUUUCAAGAUUAUUAUAUCUUGAGUUGUGCUAUCAAUUGUUUCAUAACUUUCUUCAUGAGAUGCAAUAUGUUCGCUAAUACUAUGACUUGGUUCAUCCGUCAUUUCAUCAAAAUGAUCAUUAUUUUGUGAAUAUCUUCUGAUAUAAUUAUGCAAGGCCAUGGUAGCAAUAACUAUUUUCACCUGCUUCUUGAAUGGAUAGCUUGGCAUACUUCGUAAAAUCUUCCAUGUAUUCUUCCAAACCCCAAAAGUACGCUCAAUAACACUUCUCAAGGAAGAGUGCUUGUAGUUGAACAAUUCUUUAUAACCCAUUGGUUGGCUACCUCUACGAAAUUCAGGAAGGUGAUAUCUUUCACCCUUAUAUGGUCCUAAGUACCCACAUAACUCCGGAUAUCCUGCAUCUACUAAAUAAUAUUUUCCUAAAAAUAAAAAGAAAAAUACAAAAUAAAUAAAACAAUCUAAUCAAUUGAAUAUGUAUAUAUAAAAGAAAAAUUAGAAACACAAACCUGGAGGAGGGUUUGGAAAAUUGAAUGCAGGAUUCGUAAUAGUUGUUUGAAAUACCCUUGCAUCAUGGGCACUGCCUUCCCAACCAGCCACUGCAAAUAUGAAUUGCAUAUCAAAGCUACAUACAGCCAUUACAAAUUCUUUUCCCACCAUUCCUCACUUGCAUCAACUGUCCUCAACCUAUGAUUCCACCCUAAACCAGUUUCUUUGCCAAUCAAAUUCUUCCACAAUUUCCAAUCAGUUCUAAGAGAAUCCCAUUUAUUUUUCAUUUGAGUUCUGUUGUAAUCUAAUCCAGUUUCUUUAGUGAACUCCUUAAUCAAAUUUUCAUAUCCUUGGGAAGUCAAAUGAGUCCCUGGACGAUGUCCGGCAUCCACCUCUUUAACGCAUAAGUCACAAAAUACAUCUAAAGUCUGGGGGUUCCAAGUAGCCUUACUAGUUGAGCUAUUAGACACAAUUUCAUACACUUAAACCUAGGAAAAAAAAUAUUUCUUUAUCAAACAACAAUACAGAAAAAAUAAGAAUAUAGAAGUUAAGAAAAUUACUAGAAUCUUGUUAUGGAUGGUGGAAGGAAAAAUAAUUCGAUAUUAAAAAAUUAAAAAAAAAGACAAACCAGAACAAGUUACCUUAGUUGUUACUUUACUUGAAAUACUUUUCCAGCAAACAAUAAUGAUCAUAGCCCACGAAUAGAAACAAUUACAAGCAAGUCAAUAAAGCAACAAAAGACAAACCAGACUAGGAAACAAAGAAAUUCAACUAAACAAUCAUUAGGUACAAACUGCAAUUGCAUUUAGCCUCACAAUCUCAAAUUUGCUACGUGCUUUGAUAUUUCCUGUACUAUUCUUUUGGCCCAUCCUAAGACAUAUACAAUUGCAAUUGCAACACUUUCUCCCUUCUUUUUUCUGUAAUUCGUAUGGCGACUUACGUAUAUAUAACCUAAUUAAUUGAAUUAAAUUGAUGAUGGGUUAGAAAAUCAUUAGGCUUAUUAAUUAUACGCGUCAAAAGAAUGGUCGGCCAAUAAUUAGGUGUCCUGCUUAUACUCCUGUAAUUUAGUCAUUCUCUAGUAAAUAUUAUUAAAUAAAAAGAAACACAAACAAUUAAGCUUAUUGGUAACUGAACUGGUGCCCAAAAAUAACAAGAGCAGGAGAAAGCAAACACACCCAAGAAUUUGACAAACUUCAACUUGAAAUCCAGAAUUUGACAAACUUCCUUUUGUUUACUGAAGCAUAGUAUUUCAUAACGAAGGCAUGCAUUUUAUUAUUUAAUGUCUUGUAGAACUGGAAACUCAAAUCAAACAGGGGUUGUGCAUGUUUAUAAAAAGCAACUACAAAAAUAAAAACUACAAUAAAAACAAUGGUUACAAGCAAAUAAAUCACGCAUGACCCAUCACCCAUCAAUUUAUUCUAACAAAAGCCCCAACAUUUUAUGAAUGAAAAGGAAGAAAAUGAAAAAUUGCUUGAAAUAGAGUAAAGGAGUACUCAAAAAUGAACAACAGAUAGAGGAAAAGGCACCACUGACAGAGGCGUAUGAGAGUGGCCGGUGUCGGAAUCGCGCCGAUGAGAAUUUCGGUGUCAGAAUCGCAUCAAUUGGAACUCCCACAGUCGGAAUCGUGCUGAUGAGAAUGGGUGUUUAGGGUUUGUUUAAAAAAAUCGAUUUGAAAUAGAACUCCCACUGACAUGACUGUUUGAUAAAAUGAAAAUGGAAUAAUAUAUAAAGUUAAUUUAGUAAUUAAACUUGCAGCUGGGAAAAAAAAUCUGUCAAGUUGUCAAAACACAACUAUAAGUGGUACCAAACACUUUGGUGGCUGGGCUGCUCACCACACUCCCAAACGGGACCUUAGUUGCGGUAAAUUGAAAGAUGUGACAUUCCUCGUUUUUGCUCCAAACCUCAAGUCUCUUUGGCUAUUCGAUUGCGGUGCUAUGGAAGAAAUAAUCAGCGUCGGAAAAUUUGCUGAGACUCCUGAGAUGAUGGGACAUAUAAUCCCUUUUGAAAAUCUCCAAAUGCUUAAUUUAAUGGAAUUGCCGGAGUUGAAGAGAAUUUUCUGGAAGCCAUUGCCUUUCACUCAUCUGAAAGAAAUAUCUGUGGGUUAUUGCCGUAAUCUUAAAAAGCUUCCACUCGAUUCCAACAGUGCAAAAGAGCGUAAAUUUGUAAUUCGUGGAGAAGAAGACUGGUGGAACCGACUUCAAUGGGAGGAUGAAGCCACUCAAAUUGCUUUUCGUUCCUGUUUCCAACCUCGUUCCUGAGCGGUGGUCGCAAAAUUUGAUUUCUGGUGAGUGCGUUUUUGUUAACGCUUAUGUUUUUAUUCCAGUGUGUUUUUCUUCUGUCUUCUGCAAAUCACGAUUAAAUGUUGAAUAAUAUGGAAUCAAUGCUUUAUAAAUUUUCCGGCGUGGCCAUUUCCUUUUCCCUUUUUUUUUUUGGGGGGGGGGGGGGGGCGUGGUUCGAUUGAUGCUCUGGCUUUUUACUUUUUGUCUUCGAAUUUUGCUCUGUUUUUCAAAUUGAUGCUUGAAUAGUUGAAUUCAAUUAAUGCUCACAUAAAUUUGUUUAGUUGCCGUAAAACGGUAAAAGGAUAUAAUUAGAUUGAAAUUCGCACUUCUAGAAUGAAUAGAAUUACAAUAGAGAAAAUAUUAAGUAUACAAGCCCUCUUUACAGAAAAUCAAAUGAAAAUAAAAUUUUUUGGAUAUUUGAUUUUCUAUGGUCUACUGUAUACGCUUUAUAAAUUCCUCUGCUUUAACGAUAACCAAAUCCUUUUUUCAAGGAUUUUUAUUUGGGGUAUUGAUAAUAGUCCACCAACAUAGUGAACGCUUGGAUGCUGCUUAAGGAUCUCUAAUCAGUAGCUGGAAGCAAAUGAGAAGGCGGUCGCUACUUUGUACAAAGCCAUGCAGCAAUUGCUAUUCAUUUUCAAACAAAGUUGAGAUGUUAUUUUCAGAUUUGGUUCCAGAUUUUGUAUGAAUAUCGUUGUUCCAUUGAGUUGUAUAUGAAUUCAAAUGUAAAAUAUUCUUUGGUUUUCAAUUUUGAAUUCAAUUUCUUUUUCUUAAGCAUGUUGUGCAGAAAUGAUUUCUACUAAAUCAUUUUUGAUAAACUAUUUAAAUUAAACAACUGGAAUAAGAACUGUAAGGAUUUAUCGUAAGCAGACUAAUAUGAUAAUUCUGAAACUAUCAUUUUUUUUUUUUCAAUUUGUUGCAGGGAAAGCCAAAUUUUGCGUUUUUCAGUUUUAUCUGAUAUGGGCUUUAUUUCCUCUACACUAGCUACCUAAAGAUUUAUCAAAUUGCUUCUCUUCCCUGCUUCAAAUAUCUUCAUGGCAUCAUAGGAAAAGAGAGUUUGGGUUGUAUUUAUUAUAGUUUUUAUUUUUUUUUUUGUUAUAAGCAAAUUUAUUUUAAAUACUUUAGUAGUAACAGUUUUUAUUGAAUAAUAAUGAGGGAUGAUUAUUAUAGGUUCAAAUAGUUGUUAGAACAUUAUAAAAAGUCUAUUUACUAUCAAAUGUUUUAAAUUGAUGCAACGUGAUAAUUGUCUCAUAUAAUUUUUUUAUAAUAUAUAUGUCCCAUAAUCUUAACAUGAAUAAAUGAAUUUCAACGGUUAAAUUUGACACGAUUAUUAAAUAGAUCAUAUCUAUAUUAAUUCGAUUUAAAAUCUGGUCACAUUUGGAUUUAGAGUUUCUAACAUGAUAACUUGUUUUAUGACAUGAUUUACUAAUCAAUUAAUAGUAAAUCAAAUGUCAGUCAAUUAAAUAUGUGGUACAUUUGUCAUAUUUUAAAAAUUAUUUAUUUAUAUUUGAAAUGAAUUUGGUGCNNNNNNNNNNNNNNNNNNNNNNNNNNNNNNNNNNNNNNNNNNNNNNNNNNNNNNNNNNNNNNNNNNNNNNNNNNNNNNNNNNNNNNNNNNNNNNNNNNNNAUAAGACGACGCGACACAAAUACAACCAACAAGUCAACCCAAAUUGCCACCUUUUACUAUCUUCUUUGUGUUAUUUCUCUAAAAAUUUGUGCCUUCUCUUACACUUUUAAAUCUGAAGUGUUUGAACUGGAGUACACAAAUUAUCUCUCUACAAUUCCAAAACAACCAAUUUGUUACUUGGUAAAUCUUAAUCAAUGGCAGGAAGCAAUUGAGAAGGCGGUCGCUACUGUGUACAAAGCCAUGCAGUAUUUGCUAUUCAUCUUAAUAAUUGUUAAGCUUUGGUAAAAUUUUCAAACAUAGUUGACAUCAUGUUGUUUUGAGAUUUGGUUCAUGAUUUUGUAUGAAUAUCGUUGUUCCGUUUGAGUUGGAUGUGAAUUGAAACCUAAAUAUUCUUUAUUUUUCAAUUUUGAAUUCAAUUUCUUUUUCUCAAGCAUGUUAUGCAGAAAUGAUUUUUACGAAAUCAUUUUUGAUGAAUUAUUUAAAUUAAACAAUUGGAAUAAGAAUUGUAACGAUUUAUCAUAAGCAUGCUAAUAUGAUAAGUUGUUUUACGAACGAUUAAUUAAUCAAUUAAUAUUAGAUUAUAUAUUAGUCAAUUAGAUAUGUGUUACAUUUGUCAUAUUCUAAAAACUAUUUAUUUAUAUUUCAAAUAAAUUUGACCAGAGGUUACGUAGGUAAUACUACAUAAUUUCUAAAGGAAUGUAAAAAUUUAAAGUUUUAUUAAAUAGGUGACUCAAUAAUAAAUGGAUUUCUGCAAGAAUUGAGAUUCUUGAGAUAAUUAUUACAUAGGGAAUUUUGGUUAGUUCAAUUUUGACAUGGUAAGAAGACGACACGGCGCAGAAAACCCAAAUUGCCACUUCUACUAGUAAUAAAAGAUACCUGUUUGAAAAGUAAUUAUAAACUAUCUUCUUUGUGUUAUUUCUCAAAACUUUUGUGGCACAAUGUUAUUUCCCUGGAGAAAAGUACGAAAUACCCCCUUUCACGUCGGCAGAAGCAAAGCAAAGCUAUGAGCUAUCUCUGUAUACUUGAAACGCCAUUGCUAAACGAUUCUCGAUGAUGGGUGCCACUGGGUCAGUGUUGUCUCUGAUUUACAUGAUUUAUUAGUUGUCCAGAUGCCAGAGAAACCAUGGUGGCAUUGAAGUUGCCCAGAUGGUUAGUUUUCUGAUCAUUUUUUUAUUCAAUUAUUUAUUUUUUUAGAAAAAUGUGAGAAAUAUGUAGAAAUGUUGACAGCUAUGAUUUUGAAACUUUGCCUAAAAUUGUUAUCAUCACUUAUUUAAAGAGAAAUCCUAGAAACAUGAAAUGAUUAGUAGCCUAAUUCAAAAUUAGACGUGAUUACAACAAGAGAAAAGUGGAGAGAACUUGAUAAUCGAGUGCAUUUAGAAUUUAAUUUUUCUUUUAGCUGCCGAUCAUUAAAUUUUCGAUUUCAGAAAAUUAUACCUAGAAUAUUUCAAGGAUAUACUAUGAAGAUUAUGAAGGUUUGAUUACAUGUCACUAUCAAUUGCCCCAAUCAUUUGUAGUAAAUUAAUUGAUCAUUUUGAUGCAAAUGAUUCCCUACUAAAAAAUUUAAGUCAAGGCUGAAUUGCAUAGUAGUUAGUCGCGCUUGCACUUCAAAUUAAGUAUUGUAUUUUCUGCCUGGUUUGGUUGAUUAAAGUGUGUGCAUUUGCUUUUGAACGUUGUAGUAUAGAAAUCGAAACAUUUGUUUUUCGCUAAGCCCAGAAGCAAAGUUCUUUGUACUGUACUCAUCACUUCUCUUCAUUCUCUUUGUUGAAAUUUUUUCCAAACAGCGGUUUCUUCGAAUUUGUGCCUUCUCUUCCACUUUUAAAUCUAUCAAAGAACCGUUACCUGAGAAGAUUGCCAUCAGGAAUUUCUAAAUUGAUUUCACUAUAAUACCUUAAUCUUUCAGAUACUCCCGUCACUGGGUUGCCAAAAGUGCUAAAAGCCUUCGUAAAUCCUACGUGUUUGAACUGGAGUACAAAUGUUAUCUCUCCACAAUUCCAAAACAACUGAUUUGUUACUUUUCAAUGCUACACGUUCUGCGAAUGUUCAGUUGUGGUUAUCUUGCUGAAAUACCAGAAAAUAGGGUUCUAGUUGGCGGUAGUGGAUUCUUGGUUGGGGAAUUGCUUAGUUUAAAACAUUUAGAUGUAUUAAGCAUCACCUUAAAAGGUUUUUCUUCUGUCCAAAAACUUAUGAGCUCCCAACAGUUUCAAAGCUGUACAAAAUGUUUGGAGCUUAUAGACUGUGAUGAUUCAAAGUCGUUUGCCUUGGCAGAGUUGAAGCAUCUUGAAAAACUAGGUUUUUCAAAUUGUGGAAAUUUGGAAGAUAAAUUACAUUUAUAAACUGUGGAUCGCCCUUUAUAAGUAUUAGGCUUAUCCCAUACUCGAGCAAUGUGGAAUACCUUUAUAAGCAUUAAGCCUCUCCCAUACAAUUUCUGUACAUGACUUUAAAAGUGGUUGAUGACCCGUUUUGUAAUAUCAUAGAGGGAUCAUGAAUUCCUUUUCUUUUCUGUGGCUAGGCAACACUUUUGGGCCAAAGUAAGGAAAUCUAUUUUAGGUAAUGUAAAAACCAGUUGUGGGAUGUAAUAGUUUAUUAUGCACUGACAACAACUUUUUGUAUAAUUGUCAGUUUAAUGAAUACGAGAGGAACUCUGUUGGCAAAUUCAUCCAUGAUAGAUGCUAAAAUUAUACCAGUUGCCUUAACUAAUUUUUCUCAACACUGGUAUUGAACAGGAAAAUGAAUAUGCAAUUUGUAUUUGUGCCAUUGUGGAGAAUUUGGAUAUUCUUAGUUUUAGUAACAAGGAGAGUAUUUGCCUCAUCUUUAAACAAUGAAUCUUUGAGAAAUGAGGACUGGGUGAUUGGCAGUGUCAGAGUGUCUUCAUGUAAAUGUUCAUUUAUUUGUAUUUUGAACUAUUAUUAGAAUCUUUAUAUGCCAAAUUAGUAAUACAAAUGUUCAGAUGAUUUUUCCUGGUGAUCAUUUCAUUCUUGAGAGCCAUGUACAAUACUAGGAUACCAGAGAAACCAAGGUAGCAUUGAAGUUGCCCCAGUGGCUAGUUUUCCGAUCAUUUUUUAUUCAAAUUUUUAUGUUUCAGAAAAAUGUAAGAAAUUUAUAGAAAUGUUGAUAGCUAUGAUUUUGAAACUUUGCCUAAAAUUGUUAUCAUCACUUAUUGUUUCUUAUUUAAAGAGAAAUCCUAGAAACGUGACAUGAUUAUUCCAUACUUGUUUUAAUAUUAUUUAUUAGCAGCCUAAUUCAAAAUUAGACGUGAUUAUUUGUUACUUUUAAUGCUACAUGUUCUGGGAAUAUUCAGUUGUGGUUAUCUUGUUGAAAUACCAGAAAAUAGCGUUCUAUUUGGUGGUAGUGGAUUCUUGGUUGGUUUGAAUGUAUUAAGCAUCACCUUAAAAGGUUUUUCUGCUGUCCAAAAACUUACGAGCCCCCAAAAGUUUCAAAGCUGUGCACAACCUUUGGAGCUUAUAGACUGUAGUGAUUCAAAGUUGUUUGCCUUCGCAGAGUUGAAGCAUCUUGAAAAACUAGGUUUUUCAAAUUGUGGAAAUUGGAAGAGUUUAAGUUCUGCUGUGUUGAGGAUGGAAAGGCUCGAGAAUGUUUUCGUGUGAACAGCUUCAACGAGUUAAGAUAAAGGCUUGUCAUAAAUUGAGGGAAGUGACAUGGCUUGUAUUUGCUCCGUAUCUUGAGGUUAUUCAAAUAGCCAAAUGUAUGGGGAUAGAAGUAAUAAUCAGUGCAAGGAAAUUGGGUGAAGUUCCAGAGAUGAUGGCAGAUCUAAACCCUUUUGCAAAACUCCAAUAUCUUGGCCCACGAGUUCUACCAAAAUUAAAAAGCAUCUAUUGGAAUCAGUUGCCCUCUCUACAUGUCAGGCGAAUUUUGUGUCUGAAUGCCCAAUUCUCAAGAAGCUUCCACUUGGUUUUAACAAUGCAAAGGAAUCUAAAACUAUCAUUAGGGGAGAAGAACACUGGUUGAAUGAGCUGCAAUGGGAGGACAAAGUGACCCUUAAUGUUCUUCUUCCUUGUUUCGGAUCCAUUUGAAGGCAUCAACAUGGAUUGAUACUUUGCAGUGGAGAAAUUUGAAUAAAACCUAUGGUAAGCGCUUUUCCAUUUAUUGCAUAUUUAUAUCUAACUUUUGUUUUCCUUUGUGGUUAAAUUUUGCUCUAUAUACGUUGUUGUACGGUGACAUUCUCAUAUCAAUUAUUAGCUUUUUAAUUCUCUUCUCACAUUAACUGCCCUUUUGAUCAUGUAGGAUAUGCUGAUGUCAAAGAGUCGUAAUUUGGGAUGCAAAUGUAAGAAUUAGACAGAUGACCAGUUGUUUUGAAGCGCUCGAAGAAGGAUUAAUUACGUCAUUGAAAGGCUCCAAUUUUGUGACUUUUUUUUUUAAUUUGUUGUUUUUUCUAUUUUUAGAUAGCUUGAUUGUCAGUUGUCGUGAUGUAAUGCUUUAGUGUAGAAAAAUGAUAUUCGGCCAAGACAACAUUAGCAGGGCACCUUGUGCAUGCAUACUAGUGGAUAAUUUCGGCAUGCUAAAUCCAAUUAGGGUGGAUGACCCUUUAUAAGCAUUAGGCUUCUCUCAUACCCGAAAACAAUGUAGAAUACGCUUAUAAGCUGCGGAUCACCCAUUAUAAGUUUUAGGCUUCUCCUUUACUCGAGCGAUGUGGAAUACCUUUAUAAGCAUUAAGCUUCUCCCAGUAUCUUUAUGUUAAAAAUAAUAAUAAUAAAAGAAAUCCAUUUUAAAAUAGACUCUUUUUUCUUUUUCUAUAUAAACAAAUGCAUUCUUCAAAUCAAUUGUGGGCAGAAGAAGUUAGUAGAAAAGAACUAGUCCCCUUUCAUUCCCCCUUAAAGCUCACCAAAGCCUCUUUUGUAAGCUUUUCGGAUUUUCUUUCUAUAUUGCUUAUGAUCUCAUUUUUGAUUGAAUCACUUCUUUUGCAUGCUGCAUAUUUUGUUUGUUGUAUUUGGAUAUUAUCGUAUCUGGAAUGCUGUUAUGAUUGAUGGAACAAGUAAUCGAUAUUUGGUCUGAUGGAAGUUGACUUAUUUAUUUAUUGUUAUUUUAAUUUGAAACUAUGUACAAUUGCAUUUCAUUCAUUUCUCUCUCUCCCCCCCCCCCCCCCCCACACACACACACAUAUAUUUGUUAUGUAUAAUUGCGUUUCAUUUGAUAUUGAUCAUGCUGUAGAUAACCAUGUGAUUGUAGAUGGGGAUUUCAAGUUUGUUGAAUAUUCAAGUAAGUGAAGUAACUGUCAAAAUACUAGUGAAAUUGGGAGCUUUAUUCAUGAGCUUGUGGUUUUGAAAAGUACCACAGUUCAACCGAUGAAGGUUCCUUUUUGGGGUUCUUCUUUUUCUAGGCUGCAAUUAGGAUAUGUACAUGUUAGACAAUCUUUUGCGGGUUUAGCAUAUCUUCUCUGAUUUUGUCUUUUAUUCCCCAAUCUUAUAAUUGCACACCAUGAAUGUUGAGUGAUUGUAUAGAAAAUUUGUGUUAUAACCAAAGCGUUGUGAAGGAGUUAAGUUAGUGGCUUCUGUUUUAUUGGCAUUGAUUGGGUAGAUUAUGUGUUACAGUGAUUCAAUUUGUGCUCCAAAGUUUGCUUUAAUUUCUUUUUUCCCUAAUUAUUUAUGUCAAAUUUAAAUCCAGAAGCAUGUACUGAUUUUUUCUUUUUGUAUUAAUCUGUGAAGGUUAUUUGGAAUGGAAGUAUCUGGGUUGGGUCUAACGGAUUAAAUUAUGACAUUGGGGGGAAGGCAGUAAAGGGUUUGCUCGACACAUUUGGUUCUGUGUUUACUUUGCAAGAAAUAGCUUUUGGUUAUCACAAUGCCGGUGGAAUCCCGAUUUGGCUCGUGAAUUUCUUUGUGACAAAUAGGCAAACACAUCAACCUCUUCUAUCCAUCCUUCUACUGGUAAGGCAAGGGGUAAAGAGUCUUCAAAAUCAUCAAAUAGUAACAUCUCUGAGAAUUCAUUUUAUGCAAAUGGAAAAUCUAGACCUUCUAAGACAAAAUGGCGUCCUGUAUCAGGAGGUACCGUUUCAAGUUUUCUUGGUAAAAAUUAUGUUAAACCUGCACAGCCAGCUAAUGGCACAUUUCUAGCAUCAAAGCCAUUGAAGUUGGAUCCAAAGGGGUUUCCCAUGUCUCCACUUUUGCGGAGAAGAUACUAAACUGAAACAAUCAAAGGAUGACCAUUUGCAGAAGGAUAUGGAAGAUUUUCUGUUUAAAUUGCUAGGAGAAGUGUUCCUAUUGUCCUUUUCAAUGUUCUUUCUUUCUUUCUCUUCUUUUCUUCUUCUUCUUCUUUUUUCUUUUUGUGUGCGUGUGAUCACUAAUUUGGUAUUGUAGUUUAGUUGCAGAUAGUUGUGGAUAUGAUAUGCAAAAGGUAAGGACUAUAUCUUCCUGAUGGAGGCCUCUGCUUUUUCCUUUAUGUGUAAUUUAAUAAAUUGCAUCUUCCUUUGUGAUUGUUAUAUCAUAUCAAAGACAAGUCUUAAAUACUGCUGUCAUAUGUUAAGGUUCAACUUGCAGUUUGAUUAACAUUCAUGGCUCAAAGGCCUGAAAAAACUUGCCAGUAAUUGUAAAAUGACAUUCUUUGCUUUUAAUGCAAUAGAGGGAACAGGGAAGUAUAGCUUUGGAAGCCUGGAUUGGUAACUAUAGAGAGACUUAGUAUUUAAUUGAUAAAAAUUCCCAUAACCCAAGGUCAAGAAAAUUUUAGAUCGUUAAAGACUUCAUUUUGUUUCGGCCAGAAAUGUUUGUUUCGAUCGAAGACUUGAACCAUUUCGAUUGAACCUGAUUAUGAUGCUUUACGUUAUGCAUGUUCCUCUUAAUCAAGAAAAGUUGAGGUGAUGAUUUUAUAUUUCUAUAUUGUAAGUUGAAAUAAUAAUUGGUCUGCUUGUUUCUGUAGCUUGAUAACAUGAAUUUUCCUUCUCAAGUUAAUUUAAUCAAUAAAGUAAUUCUUCAAAGAAAAUAUGCCCAUUCUAUAAUCAUUUUCUUAAUUAACAUGUUUUUUUCUUCACACUUCAGAGCAUGUUGAAACUAAUUGAUCGCUCGGCAGAGACUUUGGGUGAGAAGACAAAAUUUCUCGGUAAAUCCUCUGAAAAGGUAUGCAUAAUUCCGCAGUAUUAAAUAACCAAUGGUCAUAAUUUUUGUACAGGACUCUUUUCUUGUGGAGAUAAUUAAAAGUGGCUGAUGAUCCAGUUUGUAUAUCAUAGAGGGAGCAUCAAUUCCUUUUGUUUUCAGUGGCUAGGCAACACUUUCAGGGCAAAGUAAGGAAAUCUAUUUUAGGCAAGUAAAGCCAUGUAGAUGUAAUAGUUAACAUGCACUGACAAUAACUUUGUAUAAUGUCAGUGAACGAUACAAGAGGAAUCUGUUGACAAUCAUCCAAGAUAGAUGCUAAAAUUAUUAUGCAUGCCAGUUGCUUAAUAAUUUUCUUACACUGGUAUUGAAGAGGAAAAUGAAUAUGCAAUUUGUAUAUGUGCCAUGUGAGAAUUUGGAUAUCUAUCUAAGUAACAAGGAGAGUAUUGCCUCAUCUUUAGACAAUGAAUCUUGAGAAUUUGGAUAUUCAUGUAAAUGUUCAUUUGUUUGUAUUUUGAACUAUUAUGAGAAUCUUUUAUAUGCCAAAUUAGUAAUGCAAAUGUUCAGAUUAUUUUUUCUGUUGAUCGUGCAUUUGUGUCUGCACACAACCAUUGUAUAUCACUUCAUUCUGAUGCGCAAGUGUCUGUAGUUUAGAAGAAAAGAAAUAAUAAUGAUAUAUUAUUGCUUGAUUCAUGAUUAUUAAAUGAUUAUGGCUUUAAAAAACCUACAAAUUCCUUUUGUUGAUAUAUGAAUGUACCAAGUUUGCUAUAUCUUAGAUUACCAUUUCCAAGAUAACAAGUUCAAAUUUUUUCUUUAUCCUUUUCCUUCACAGUUGCAUUUUAAGUGUAAGAUUUGUUAUUAAUACCUGGUUUCCCGUCAUUAUGAUUUCAUAAACAGUGUAUGGGUAUGUGCUCUACUUUUGGAGGGCCUCCACGUGAAAGAAAAUUGUAACAAUUGAAUUCUUCCGGAUGGUAUGGUAUUUAAUUUAUUUUCUCAACCUCUUGUAAGACUAAUAUAUUUUCCUUUAGUAGACACGGCAUGGUGGGAAGGGUUUUUUAUUGAAAGAAUUCUGAUAUUUCUUAGACUUUGUUUUGGAAGGGGGUGCAGGGGUUUCUCAUCCAUAUAUGGUUACUUGAUUAGCUUUUGACUGUAUUGCCUCAAUCGUGCAAAGGAAGAUCCAAAUACAAACGAAAGAGAAUUGUUUAGACACCCAGAAGAUGGAAAUGAACUACAGAAGGAAGUUUUUGCUGCUUUAUUUAGUGCUCCUGAGAAAUCUGAUGAAUUUCCUGAAAUUACGGUGAAGACCAAGUGUGAGGUCCAAAGCAUUAGGAAAGGUGGUGAGUGAACUGCCGGAGCAAUUGGUACAGAAUACAAGGCUAAUGUGGUGGACUUGCAGCAAGAUAACCGGAACAGUACGUGCUCUUAUAUUAACUAUAUUGACUGGAUUUGCUAGUGUGUGCAUUUUCGUGUGUAUACUUUUGUAUUUAUGCAUAUUAAUGUGUGUAGGAUUCUUGAUUUCUGCCACUUAUUGGAGAACUAAUGGAAAGCUUUAUACUGGUAUAUCUGCAAUAACUAAUGGAAACUAUGAUAUUAAUAUUUUCUCUCGCUUGGAGAAUGCGUAACAGAUAUACUUUGUGGCUCUGGAAUACUAAAGAUUCUGCAAUAACUAAUGGAAACUAUGAUAUGAAUAUUUUCUCUCACCUGGAGAACUUUGUAACAGUUACACUUUGGGGCUUGGAAUGUCUAAAGAAUUUUGUCUGCUUCAGUUAGAUCAAAUAUCUUUUAGUUACAUACAUUAUAGAAAAGAUAAAGUUCUCUGAAUCUGAAAGACUUAAAAUUUUGCAUAUUUCUUGAUAGGGAAAUAUCUGUAGAUACUAGUUCAUGCAUUGUGGUAGCAUCAGUGUUAAAGAAAAACAGCAGUAAGUUAUUAUAUAGAAUUAGGUUCACUUGCUUUAAAUCCUGGUCUGGUCAACCAUAUGAACCUGUAAGUGGUUCUGUAGAAAUAUAUAUAUACGGGGAGAAAGUAGCUAAAUUUUCCUUUCAUUUAUGGGUUUGGUCAUUUUUUCCCCUUAUUUAUGUUUUCUCACACAUUUUUUAAAUGCCCCAGACAUGCAAUUUUGUAUGUGUCAAUUGCCUUUUAAGUUUUAAAAACCAUAAAGUAAGAAUACAGUUUCUUGUCAGGCUAUUGAUGCAUUUGCUCGGGGGGAUCAUGCUCGAGCAGGAAAACUUCUAGAACAGGUAAGGUUUCCAUCUACAGCCAUUUAUUGACAACAUAUAUAUUUUCAUUCAGCAAGCACUGUUAGCAUUCAAGAUGCUGGCAGAUUCACUUGAUUCUUAUUAGUUUGUUUAGUAGCAAAGCAUAUAACCUGUAUUUUAAAGCUAAGUUGUGCUAUUGAUUAUGUUAACUUUAUUGUUCACAUAAAGUGAUAUUGAGGAAAUAAUCAAUGUAGGAAAAUUAGGUGAAGAGAUGAUGUCAAAUCUUGAACCUCUUACAAAACUCCAAGUUCUUUACUUGAAGAAGCUACCAAAUUCGAACAGCAUCUACUGGAAGGCCUUGCCAUUCCCUGAUGUAUGCAGAAUUUUUGUAUUUAAAUGCCCAGAGCUUAAGAAGCUGCCACUGGAUCUUGAGAGGGCAGGCCAAGGUAAAAUUCUUAUCAAGGGAAAGAAAGAUGGGUGGAAACAACUUCAAUGGGAGGAUCAAGUAACUCAGAAUGCAUUGCUUUCAUUUUAAAAAUCAACCAACAAGUGAUUGAAGGGGGCAUCAUCAACGUAAUCAACAUGGAUGGAGAGAUUCUGGAGCAGAUCAGCGGGGUUUAGUACGACCUGUGGUGGUUUCUUUUUUGUGACUUUUUUGCCUUUCAUUUUUUCACUUCCUGUCAUAUUAUCAUUUCUUUGUCUGUGUUUCUAUUGCUAGUGUUGCUGCAUGCUUGCUGUCCUUGACAAAGUUAGCUAGUUUUUUUUGUUUAUUAAAUUUUGUAUGUUCGGUCGGGACAGUCACAAAGUACUACUUGUUCUAUAUGGGGGUGAUGUGAAUCAACUUUUCAAUUAUAUAUUCUGUGGUAAUUGUGAAUUCAAUUUCAUUUAUCUCCUGCAAAUUAUGAAGAAAGUGCAGAGUUACAAUAUGGAAAAGUUCACUGGCAAAUACUUUGUAAAAGCUUCGGAGUGAAACAGGAAAUGCACUUGCAACUAAGGACAAAUUGGUGGCCGGCUAAUGCAUUCAUUUUAGGGAAAAGGACACAGACCCUCAACGUUUUAAUAAGGGACAUAAAACUCCCUAAUAUUUUAAAAAAAAUACUCAAACCCCCAUUUGUUAAUAGUAAAUUCUAAGUUUAAAGUGUAAUUACCAUUAUACCUUUAUAGCAUAUUAAAAAAUAAUUAUUCAUUAUUCAAUUUAUUCUUAUAUUAUUAAUAAAAUUACGAAUAUAAUUUCAUUAUCUAAUUUUUUCAUUUAAUUUUUGUUAAAUUUUCUCUUCAAACUAAAUAAAUUUAAUCCAUUGCUUAAGAAUAAAAAUAAAUUAAAUUGAUUACUAAUAUAAUAAAAAUAACAUAUAUUUAAUAUAAAAAUAACAUAUAUUAAAUUAAAAUAAAUUUAAUUUAUAUAUAGAGAAUUGUUAUUUUUAAGAAAUUAUCAAUUUAAUUUAUAUAUAAGAAAUUAUAAGAAAUAACAUAUGGAGAAUUGUUAUUUUUAUUAUAUUAAUAAUCAAUUUAAUUUAUUUUUAUUUUUGAGCAAUGGAUUAAAUUUAUUUAGUUUGAAGAGAAAAUUUGAUAAAAAUUAAAUGGAAAAAUUGGGUAAUGAAGUUAUAUUCAUAAUUUUAUUAAUAAUAUAGGAAUAAAUUAGAUAAUGAACAAUUAUUUUUUAAUAUGCUAUAAGGGUAUAAUGGUAAUUGUACUUUAAAAUUAGAAUUUACUGUUAACAAAUAGGGGUCUGAGUGUCUUUUUUGAAACAUUAGGAAAUUUUGUGUCUCUUAUUCAAACGUUGGGGGUUUCUGUGUUAUUUUCCCUUCAUUUUAUGUACAUUCAUCUUUUUAAUUAUUGAAGAUAAGUGGUUCGUUGCUUUUGUUGUAGAUAAAAUUCAGACGACCUCAAUUGUGACAUGACAAUAUUUAAAACAUCUCUUAAAUUAUUAUAAAUUUAAUUUAUCUUAACUUUAUUGAAAAGAUAAAAGAAAAAUGUGGUGUAUGGAUAAAUUUUUUUUUAUCUUCUUAAUCAAAUGGAAUAAAUUAAAAUUUACAAUAAUUUAAAAUAUUUUAAAAAUUAUUAUUUCAUAAGAGAUUAAUAUGAAAUUAAUCGUUUUUACUUUUUUAAUGUGAAAGGACAAGAAAAGAGAAAGCAUGUGUCCCUGCUUUUUAGUUUUUAUUUUAUUUGAAAUCGGAGUUAUCCCAUAUACUUUACUAAUUUAGCUCUAACAUUACAAUGUUUUUAGGCUACACUUUUAUUUUUCUUUUUCCCCCUUUUUUUAUACAUGCAUGUGGAUUACUUUUCUCUAAGCUCCUUAAUAUUUAAGACAAAUCAUAAAAGCAAUUGAAGUAUAACAAGAUGAUCAAAACAUUUAACCAAAAAAAAAGAAAGAAAAAAGAAAGAAAACAUUGAAAAUGGAGAUGUUGAUUAAUUUAGAAGAGAUGCAAGCAAAAGAUAUUCCCAAAAAAAAGAAAAAAAGAAAAAAACAACGUUAGUUCAUCCAUGUCUGUCAAUGCGUUUUUUAUGGUUUUUUUUUUCCAGUUGUUUGUUGUAAUAGAUUGAUUGUAAAUUGAUAUGAAUUUGAUGUUGUAAUAUGUUCGCUUUUGUGGAAUUAAAUUUGAAUAUUCAAGAUUAUUCAAGUCUUAUCUAGUAUGUGUUCAAUUGUGUUGUCGAUAAUUUUGCAUUCGAAUAAUUUUUCACCUAAAAUAUUAGCAUGAGUAGUAGUCCUUGAAAUUUUGGUCAAAAUUAUUGUUAUUGUUUGUUUUAGAGGAAAUUUUUUUAUUAAAGCCUCGUUAACACUAUACCUUAUUAAGAUUAUAAGUUAGUGUCAGUGCAGGAUUUACAGCAACAAAUCUUGUCUAGCCACGUGUCAAAAGUACAAAUAAAUCAAGAGUAAGCACAUGACAUGGAUUAGGAUCCAAUAAGAUUUAAAUCCCAAGGAAAAGGACAAUUGUAUCCUAAAGUUUCAAUAAGAGAUACUGAGAUAUCUUUUGACUAAUGUUAUUUUUUUAGCUUUAUUAAUAAAAAGAUCAAAUAGUUUAUAACAAAUAAAAAUAUAGUAUGAAGCUAAAUGUGAUAAUAUAUACAUUUUACAUAAUUUCAAUAAAAAAAAUUUCAAUAAAAAACAUUUUAAUGUUUUACGAUCUAUUAGACAUAUUUUAUUAAAUUAAUAGGAAUUUUCUGAUAAAUAGCAACAUAAUAUUAAAAUAAAUUUAUAAAGAUUUAAAUGUAAAAUAAUUUUAGUAUAAUUAAUACGUGGGAUAUAUUUUGUAAAUUAUAAAAUUACUUAACCCAAUGAUUUUUAAAAAUCUUUAAAAUAAAUAAAAAUAAAUUAUUCACAUUUUGAUGUAAAUAUUUAAAACAUUUUUAUACAUUAGUCCACAAUUAUUUAUGUUAUAUUUGUAUUUAUUAGAAAUUUUGAAAGUCAAAUGUUUUUCACCUCUAUCUUAUUAGAAUUAUUGCACACAGAGAAAGAGCCAUAUAUGCUUUAUAGCUUUAAAAUCGAUUUGUUUUAUAGCUGGGAACAGAGAUGAUCAUUAUUAUAAGGAUUAAAAAAAAGAUAAAGAAUAUUAAUGAUUAGCGAAAUCUCUAUGGAAAUUGAAUUUAGUAAGAAAAAAUUGAGCUGAUUUUAGCGGUAUAGUAAUAUUUUAUAUAGAGAAAAGUAAAAGCUGCACCCAAGGUUAAGGGAAAUGGUCAAAACUCUUUUUUAAUCAUAAUACUCUUUUUCCUACAUAAUUUAAAAAUUUGACAUUAAUAUUUUAUAAUAAAUAAAAACAUAUAAUCCUAAAAUAAAUAAAAUAAUAUAUAUUUUAAAAUAAUCUCAAUAUUUAAAAUAUAUUUUAACAUUUUAUAGUCUAUCAGAUAUAUUUUAUUUUUUUUAAAGUAAAUUUUAUAAUAAAUACAAAACAUACUAUUAAAAUAGAUAUAAAAAUUUUAAAGUAUUUUGAAUAUUAUAUAAAAUAACUUUAAUAUUGUUAAUGCGUGAGAUGCAUUUUAUUAAUUAAAAAUUCUAUUUAACCCAAAGAUUUAUUUAUAAUAAAUUAAUAAUCAUAUUUUUGAAAUUAUUUUAAAUAUUAAAAAAUAUUUUAAUAUUACUAACUAUUAGAUAGACUAAACUAUUUAUAUUAUUUUCUAUUUAUUAUAAAAUUUCAAAGUUAAUCUUUUUAACUACUAUUCAAAAGAUAUUAUGAUAAAAACAGAAUUUUUCUGUUUUAUUAAAAAUUUAGAGUUUACACCUAUUUUUUCAAAUAUUCGGGGUGUAACUGUUUUAUUUAAAUAAAAUCUCAGUUAAAAAUGUACAGAGAAGAAAUUUCUGUUGGUAUUUUAGUCUUUUACCAAUUAUCACGAUUAGGCCUUGGCCUUGAAACAUUAAUUGUUUCACUUUUAGCGCUAGUGGCGUUGAAAGUUGUCAAGAAAAAGCAAGACCAUAUUCCACAAAAGCAGCUCUUUUAUUAAAGGCAAAGUAUAAAGUAGUCAAGAAUCGAAUAUCCUGUCGUCUACUCUUUUUUAAAUUCUUCUUUUAUUAUCUUUUAGAAUAGUUUUUGGUAAUUACAAUCAUUAUUCAGAGUUAUUGUUAUCUUCUGGGGCAGUCUCUGUUCAUCGAAGUCGUUACCUUUUUUUCAUGGAUCAGUUCCAGUGCCAAGCAGUAAUUUUCUUAGAACUCGGAUCUUUAAUUCGAGUUUCUUUGUGAAUUAAUAAUAAAAAAUUUUCAUUACACGCAAUUUAAGCUACGAAUUACUUUUUGCAAAGUUGAAUAUGAAAUUGGAGAAAUUAAAUAAUUUAGAAUGUUGGUAAAAAUUGACUAACAUAUCCCCAAUUACAGUAAAACCUCUCUACAGUCAUAACAUUAUAACAAAAUUAAUUUUAUUACUAUGUUGAGGUAAUAUAGGUUUAGUUACAAAAUUAUUGUUUUAAUAUGGUUAGUGUCAAGUGAUAUAAAGGUUAAGUAUGCAGUACAUUGAUAAUUAAAUAAUGAAGCGUGUCAAAUCUAACGUAUAUAUAUUAAUGAUAUAGAUAGACAUAGUUUUAAAAAACUAAUUAAUGUAUAUUUAUGUACUGUUAUGAAUAUGGAAAGUCAAGCCUACACUUUACAUUAUCCUUAAUUUUUUCUCUCAGUUAAAUUCUACAAAUAUUGUACAAUGAUUGGGUAAGAACUCUAAAUUAAGAAUAAAUUAUUGUCACAAAUAAUUUUAAAAAAUAUUUUAUUUCAUCUUAAACCUUUAAUGUAAGUAAAUAUAUAUAUAUGUGUGUGUGUGUGUGCAUAUUUUGCAAGGUAUAGAUAAUUGUUAGUAUAUGGAGACAAGUCUUUUAAGGUAGGACCUAGGAAAAUUUAUAACUUACUACAUUGGGGAGUUUUUAUUCCUUUUUAUAAUUGGCUCAUAUUGAUACAUUCUUACACAAAAUAUUACCAUUGACAUAUUUUACUACAAUUGGUUUAGAACAUUUGUUAGGAAAAAAAAAAGAAAAGAAAACAUUCAUUGGAUGUAGCUCUCCCUCGUAUGCUUUUUUCUCCAAAUAUUCCUGCGUCCACAGAAACAAGUCAGAGCACGCCGGUUGUUUUCCCGGCGUAAACCCUCUGACGCUCAAGUCAGAUAUGAAGGCUCUGGGAAUGCUUGCCACAGAUCUUAUGGUUUUUCUGUAGUUUCUAUUCUUUAGAGUUUCAUUUAUCUCUGAAUAUAAUCUCAAAAAUGCUAACCCUUUUACCUUCCUUGGCUACCUUUUUAUAGGCUUCCUCUGAAUCCCGGUCUUCCGUAGUCCACGCCCGUUAUUCUCCCCACCCUCGGAUGUGGAUGCCCCAUUAUCGCCAUUGUGGGCGAAUGGAGAUGGACUUCGUGCCUUGAUUCUCGGAUAGGAAUGCACGUCUUGCCAACUGUCGUUGACUGGGUCUCCUCGCCUCUCGACCUCUAGCCGGAAUGGCCUUAUGCCUCUAACAAGAGUUCGACCUCGUGAAUGGCAUACUCGCGGACGAGCCGAAUAUUUCUGCUCAUGUUCCCCUGCUACCUGGCUCUUACAGGACAUACCUGUUCGCAGAACUCCGCCAUCAAAUAUCUGCUCAUCACGUCUGGUCUCGUUGAAGUAUUUCCCUCAAACAACAUAUUUUACUACAAUUAGUUUAGAACAUUUGUUAGGAAAAAAAAAGAAAAGAAAACAUUCCUUGGAUGUAGCUCUCCUGACUAUUUAAAUCUUUUAAGGAAAAAAAGAAAAAAGAAAAACUGACACAUUCAAAUCUUGAAGCAAUUACAUUAAAACCUCUCCAUAAUGAUAGGAAUAAUCUCCAUUUAGUAAUAAAAAAUUUUGUUCGCAAUCUAGGCAGAGUUAUAAAUAAGAAUAAAAUCCUCAUUGUAAUAAGUUGUAUUUAUUAUGGAUCCCAUCCUAAGGAACUUGUCUCUAUAUAGUAAUAAUUAUUUGCAUAUUAUAAAUAUAUAUGUUGCAUUAGAUUAAAUGAACUUGUCUCCACAUACUACUUAGACAAUGAGAGAAAGUUAUUAAAGAGAACACAAAUAUUUAGAGAUUUUUAAGAUUACUUUGCAUGUUUAUAACAAUAAUACAUUGAUAUAUGUAUUAGUUUUUUGAUAUAUUAGAUUUGACAUGCUCUAUUAAUAAAUUAUUAAUACGAUGCAAACUUCAUCUCUCUAUCCUUGCAAUAAAAGUAACUAAGUUAUAACAAUAAUUAUUAAUAAAUUAUUAAUACGAUGCGUACUUCAUCUCUAUAUCCUUGCAAUAAAAGUAACUAAGUUAUAACGAUAAUUUUUGUAACUACAUGCUUAUUAGGUUUUAACUACUUCAUAAUAAUAAAUUAAUUUCGUCCUAAUAUUAUAAUUAUGUAGAGUUGUAGUGUAUAGACACACCCAAUUUAAAUAGUAAAUCAAAUAAAAUUGUCCCCACAAAAAAGAAAAAAGGGGUAAAGGAUUGUUAUUUCUUCAAACAUUAGGAGCACGUUUGUUCAAGUGCGAUGCCUUUCUUUUGAAGGCAACGUCAGUGGGUACCCAAUAGGACGUGUGUAAAUCUUUCCAAAAUUUCUCCGGUAUAACGGACAGAGAUCAUUACUUUUCUCUUCCAUAGACCACAGCAGCUUCAGUUAAUCAGACUCAAUCAAUUUUCUUGGUUUCUUCGCUUAUCAAAAUUCCAAAAUAUGGGUAGCAUAUUUCAAAUCACAUGCGAUGGUGCUUUUUUCAAUCGUUGCUUGGAUUGCUUUCUUGGAAAAGUAGCAAACACAAGUAAGCUCCAAGAUAACCUUGUUGCCUUGGAGACUGAAUUGGGAAAACUAAUCGUAGCAAAGAACGAUGUGAUGAUGAGGAUUGUCAAUGCUGAACGGCAACAACUGAGAACGCUGGACCAAGUGCAAGUGUGGCUUUCGAGGGUGGAAGCUGUUAAAACUGAAGCUGAUGAAUUGAUAAGACACGGCUCUCAAGAAAUUGACAAAUUAUGUGUUGGAGGCUACUGUUCCAAGCACUGCGCGUCAAGCUACAAGUUCGGGAAACAAGUGGCUAAAAAGCUACGGGAUGUGCAGACUUUAAUCGGCGAAGGAGUUUUUGCGGCGGUGGCUACUGAGGUGGUGCCUGAGAGAGCUCCAGAACCUGUAGCAGAUGAAAGACCCACUGUGCCAACAAUAGUAGGCUUGCAAUCACAACUUGAACAAGUUUGGAGAUGUCUUGUAGAAGAAUCAGUGGGAAUCAUUGGCCUAUAUGGUAUGGGCGGUGUUGGUAAAACUACACUAUUGACCCAUAUCAACAAUAAAUUUCUUGAGAGUCGAACCAGUUUUGAUUGUGUGAUUUGGGCCGUAGUUUCAAAGGACUUGCAACUCGAAAAAAUUCAAGAAGAUAUUGGGAAAAAGAUCGGUUUGGUUGAUGAUUCAUGGAAGAGUAAAAGUGUAGAGGAGAAAGCUCUCGACAUCUUCCGGAGUUUAAGAGAGAAGAGAAUUGUAUUGUUGUUAGAUGAUAUAUGGGAGCGGGUUGAUUUAACAAAAGUGGGCAUUCCACUUUCGGGACCAAAGAAUACUACCUCAAAAGUCGUAUUCACAACCCGUUUCAUCGAUGUUUGUGGUAGCAUGGAAGCUGACAAGAAGUUCCAAGUGGCAUGCUUAUCAGAAGAGCAUGCUUGGGAACUGUUUCGAAAAAAAGUUGGGGAAGAAACUCUUGAGAGUGAUCAUGAUAUCGUUGAGCUAGCCCAAACUGUGGCCAAAGAGUGUGGUGGUUUGCCACUCGCACUUAUUACUAUUGGUCGAGCUAUGGCCUGCAAAAGGACAGCCGAGGAGUGGAGACACGCAGUUGAAGUGCUAAGAAGAUCAGCUUCUGAGUUUGCAGGUUUGGGAAAAGAGGUGUAUCCUCUUUUAAAGUUUAGCUAUGAUAGUUUGCAGAAUGAGACGAUUAAAUCUUGUUUCUUAUAUUGUUGUUUAUAUCCCGAGGAUUAUGGCAUUCUUAAAUGGGACUUGAUUGAUUGUUGGAUUGGUGAGGGAUUCUUAGAGGAAUCUGACAGGUUUGGUGCAGAAAACCAAGGAUACUACAUUGUGGGCACUCUUGUUCAUGCGUGUUUACUAGAAGAGAUAGAAGAUGAUAAAGUAAAAAUGCAUGACGUUGUUCGUGAUAUGGCUUUAUGGAUAGCUUGUGAAAUUGAGAAGGAGAAGAGAAACUUUUUGGUUUGUGCAGGUGCUGGAGUAGGAGCGGUACCAGAUGUUGAAGGAUGGGAAAAUGUGAGAAGAUUGUCAUUGAUGCAAAACCAAAUUGAAAUUCUGUCAGAGGUUCCCACAUGCCCUCAUCUCCUCACUUUAUUUCUUGACUUUAAUUAUAAAUUGGAGAUGAUCACUGAUGGCUUCUUCCAAUGUAUGCCUUCUCUCAAAGUUUUGAAGAUGUCAAACUGUGGGCAUGUCAAAGUUUUGAAAUUACCUUUUGGGAUGUCAAAGUUGGGUUCACUACAACUUCUUGAUAUUUCACAUACCGGCAUAAGAGAGUUACCAGAAGAGUUAAAGUUGUUGGUAAAUCUGAAAUGUUUGAAUUUGAGGUGGACACAUAUGUUAAAUAAAAUUCCACGGCAGCUAAUAUCAAAUUCUUCAUGGUUACGUGUGUUGAGAAUGUUCGCUAUUGGCUUUGAAAAUUCUAAAGAACCAUCAGAAGACAGCGUUUUAAUUGGUGGGGGUGAAGUUUUAGUACAGGAAUUGCUCGGUUUGAAAUAUUUAGAGGUAUUGGAGUUGACCUUGCGAAGUUAUCAUGCUCUCCAUUCUUUUUUGAGCUCAAAUAAGUUAAAAAGUUGUAUUCGAUCUCUUUUCCUCAAUAAGCUGGGAGAUACAAAGUCGAUUGAUGCUACGGCUUUGGCAGAUCUAAAGCAUCUCAAUGAAUUAUAUAUUCUUUUUUUUNNNNNNNNNNNNNNNNNNNNNNNNNNNNNNNNNNNNNNNNNNNNNNNNNNNNNNNNNNNNNNNNNNNNNNNNNNNNNNNNNNNNNNNNNNNNNNNNNNNNNNNNNNNNNNNNNNNNNNNNNNNNNNNNNNNNNNNNNNNNNNNNNNNUCUUUCGCUAUACGGUUGUAAUGCUGUGGAAGAAAUAAUCAGCGUUGGGAAAUUUGCUGAGGUUCCUGAGAUGAUGGGACAUAUAAGCCCUUUUCAGAAUCUCCAAAAGCUUGAUUUAUCACAUUUGCCAGCUUUGAAGAGCAUCUACUGGAAGCCAUUGCCUUUCGCUCAUCUGAAAGAAAUGGUGGUGCAUUGGUGUGAUCGGCUUAAAAAGCUUCCGCUCGAUUCCAACAGUGCAAAAGAGCGUAAAUUUGUUAUUCGUGGAAGAGCAGACUGGUGGAACCGUCUUCAAUGGGAGGAUGAAGCCACUCAAAUUGCUUUCCAUUCCUGUUUCCACCUAAUGAAAUAUAAAUUCCUUAGCGGUGGUUGCAAAAUUUGAUUUCUAGUGAGUGCUUUUUUCUUAAACUCUUACAUUUAUUUCAGAUUCGUUUUUUGUCUCCUGCAAAUCACAAUUAAAUGCUGAAUUAUAUGGAGUCAAUGCUUUAGAAAAUUUUCAAGGCACUGCCAUUUCCUUUUUUCCAUUUUUUUUUGGGUCGAAUUGAUGCUCUGGCUUUUUACUUUUUGUUGUCAAAUUUUGCUCUGUUUUUUCAAGUUGAUGCUUGAAUAGUUGAAUUCAAUUAAUGCUCACAUAAAUUUGUUUAGUUGCCGUAAAAGGAUAUAAUUAGACUGAAGUACACACUUCUAGAAUGAAUACAAAAUGUUAAGUAUACUAGCCCUCUUUACAGAAAAUCAAAUGAAAAUCAAUUUUUUGGGGCUUUGAUUUUCUAUGGUCUAUUAUAUACUCUUUUUAAUAUCUUCUGUUCUAACUAUAACCAAAUCCUUUGUUCAAGGAUUUUUAUUUGGGGUAUUGAUAACUAUCCACCAAAAGAGUGAACACUUGGAUGCUGCUCAAGGAUCUCUAAUCAAUAGCUGGAAGCAACUGAGAAGGCGGUCGCUGCUGUUUACAAAGUGAUGCAGUAUUUGCCAUUCAUCUUAAUAAUUAUGAAGCUUUGGUAAAAUUUUCAAACAAAAUUGAACAUGUUGUUUGAGAUUUGGUUCAUGAUUUUGGAUGAAUAUCGUUGUUCCGUUUGAGUUGGAUGUGAAUUCAAAAUCUAUAUAUUCUUUGGUUUUCAAGUCUGAACUCAAUUUCUUUUUCUCAAGCAUGUUAUGCAGAAAUGAUUUUUACUAAAUCAUUUUUGAUGAAUUGUUUAAAUUAAACACUUGGAAUAAGAAUUGUAAACGUUUAUCAUAAGCAUGCUAAUAUGAUAAAUUGUUUUAUGAACGACUAAUUAAUUAAUCAAUUAAUAUUAAAUUAUAUAUUAAUCAAUUAGAUAUGCGUUACAUGUCAUGUUUAAAAACUAUUUAUUUAUAUUUCAAACAAAUUUGACUGGAUGUUGUGUAGGUAAUACUACAUAAUUUCAAAACAAAAAAAAGUAAUAAAAACACGUUAAAUUUUGUUUUUAUGAAGAAAAAUUUAAAAUUUUAUUAAAUAGGUGAAAAUAAUAAAUGGAUUCGUGUAUGGUUUGAGAUUCUUGACAUAAUUAUGAAAUAAGCCGGAUUCGACUUAGUUCAAUUUUGACGCGAUAAGAAGACGACACCACACAAACACACGACAAGAACCGUUACCUGAGAAGAUUGCCAUCAGGAAUUUUGAAAUUGAUUUCACUACAAUAUCUUAAUCUUUCAGAUACUCCCAUCACUGAGCUGCCAUAAGAGCUAAAAGCCUUGGUAAAUCUUAAGUGUUUGAACUGUACACAAAUUAUCUCUCUACAAUUCAAAAACAACUGAUUUGUUACUUUUCAAUGCUACAUGUUCUGCGAAUAUUGAGUUGUGGUUAUCUUGUUGAAAUAUCAGAAAAUAGAGUUCUAUUUGGUGGUAGUGAAUUGUUGGUUGGGGAGUUACCUAGUUUAAAACGUUUAAAUGUAUUAAGCAUCACCUUACAAGGUUUUUCUGCUGUCCAAAAACUUAUGAGCUCUCAAAAGUUUCAAAGCUGUACAAAAUGUUUGGAGCUUAUAGACUGUGAUGAUUCAAAGUCUUUUGCCUUGGCAGAGUUGAAGCAUCUCGAGAAACUAGUUUUUCGAAUUGUGGAAGAGUUUAAGUUCUGCUGUGUUGAAGUUGGAAAAGCUCAAGAAUGUUUUCGUUUGAACAGCUUUCCCCGAGGUAAUAUAAAGGCUUGUCAUAAAUUGAGGGACGUGACAUGGCUUGUAUUUGCUCCAAAUCUUACGGUUAUUCAAUAGAAAAAUAUAUGCAGAUGGAAGUAAUAAUCAGUGCAAGGAAAUUGGGUGAAGUUCCAGGGAUGAUGGCAGAUCUAAACCCUUUUGCAAAACUCCAGUAUCUUCGUCUGCGAGUUCUACCAAAAUUAAAAAGCGUCUAUUGGAAUGAGUCACCCUUUCCACAUGUCAGGGAAAUUAUUGUAUCUGAAUGCCCAAUUCUCAAGAAGCUUUCACUCGGUUUUAACAAUGCAAAGGAAUCUAAAAUUGUCAUUUAUUACAUGUUUAUAUCUAACUUUUGUUUUCCUUUAUGGUUAAAUUUUACUUUAUAUAUGUUGUUAUACGGUGACAUUCUCGCAUCAAUUGUUAGCUUUUUAAUUCUCUUCUCCCAUUAAUUGCCCUUCUGAUCAUGUAAGAUAUGCCGAUGUCAAAGAGUAGUAAGUUGGGAUACAAAUGUAAGAAUUAACCAGAUGACAUGUUGUUUUGAAGCUCUCGGAGAAGGACUAAUUAUGUCAUUCAAAGCAUCCAAUUUCGCUACUUUUUUUUUCAUUUGUUGCUUUUUCUAUUUUUAGAGAGCUUGAUUGUCAGUUGUCGUAAUGUAAUGUUUUAGUGUAGAAAAAUGAUAUUCGGCCAAGACAUCAAUAGGAGGGCACAUUGUGCAUGCACACUAGUGGAUGAUUUCGGCAUGCCGAAUCCAAUUAGUGUGGAUAACCCUUUAUAAGCAAUUGGCUUCUCUCAUACCAGAGCAAUGUAGAAUAUAUUUAUAAACUGUGGAUUACUCUUUAUUAGGCUUCUUCUAUACUCGAGCAAUGUGGAAUACCUUUAUAAGCAAUAAGCUUCUCCCCUACACUUUAUGUUAAUAAUAAUAAUAAUAAAAUAAAUCCAUUUUAAAAUAGACUUUUUUUUUCUUUUUCUAUAUAAACAAAAUGCAUUCUUCAAAUCAAUAGUGGGUGGAAGAAGUGAGUAGAGAAGAACUAGUCCCCUUUCAUUCCCCUAAAACCUCACCGAAACCUCUCUUGUGAACUUCUCAGAUUCUCUCUCAAUAUUUCUUAUGAUCUCGUUUUUGAUAGAAUCACUUCUUUUGCAUGUUGCAUUUGGUGUGUCUUUUUUGGGUAAUAUCUUAUCUGGAAUGCUGUCAUGAUCAAUAGAACAAGUAAUCAAUUUUUGGCUUGACGGAAGUCGAUUUAUUUAUUUACUAUUAUUUUUAUUUGAAAUUUUGUACAAUUGUGUUUCAUUCAUUUCUUUCCUUUUUUUUUAAUAUUUAUUAUGUAUAAUUGUGUUUCAUUUGAUAUUGAUCAUACUCUAGAUAACUAUGUGAUUGUAGCUGGGGAUUUUAAGUUUUGUGAAUUCAAGAAACUGUCAAAAUGCUAGUGAAAUUGGGACCUUUAUUCAUAAGCUUGUGGUUUUGAAAAGUAGCCCGGUUCAACUGAUGAAGUUCCUUUUUGGGAUUCUUUUUUUUCCUAGGCUGCAAUUCGGAUAUGUACCUGAUAGACAAUCUUUUGUGGGUUUAGCAUAUCUUCUCGGAUUUUGUCUUUUAUUCCUCGAUUUUAUAAUUACACACCAUGAAUGUUGAGUGAUUGUAUAGAAAAUUUGUGUUAUAACCAAAGCAUUGUGAAGGAGUUAAGUUAGUGGCUUCUGUUUUAUUGGCAUUGAUUGGGUAGAUUACGUGUUACAGUGAUUCAAUUUGUGAUCCAAACUUUGUUUAAAUUUCUGUUUUCCCAAAUUAUUUAUGUCAAAUUCAAAACCAGAAGCAUGUGCUGAUUUUUUCUUUUUGUAUUAAUCUGUGAAGUUUAUUUGGAAAGGAAGUAUCUGGGUCUAAUGGAUUAAAUUAUGUAAGUGGCAGAAAUUCCUACACACAUAAAUAUGCAUAAAUACAAAAGUAUACACAAAAAAAUGCACACACUCAUACAUCCAGUCAAUAUAGUUAAUGUAAGAGCACAUACCGGUUUGGUUAUCUUGCUGCAAGUGCACCGCAUUAGCCUUGCAUUCUGGUGCCAACUCCUCCGGCGGUUCACUCACUACCUUUCCCAAUGCUUUGGACCUCCAUUCGGUCUCCAUCAGAUUUCUCAGGAGCACUAAAUAAAGCAGCUAAAACUUGCUUCUGUAGUUCAUUUCUGUCUUUCGGGUGUCUAGGCAAUUUUCCUUCGUCGGUAUUUCGAUCUUCCUUUACAUGACUGAGGAAAUACAGUCAAAAGCUAAUCAAGUAACCAUAUAUGGAUGAGAAAUCCCUCCACCCCCCUUCCAAAACAAAUUCUAAGAAAUAUCAGAAUUCUUUCAAUAAAAACCCUUCCCCCCAUGCUGUGCCUGCUGAAUGAAAUAUAUUAAUCUUACGAGAAGUUGAGAAAAUAAAUUAAAGAACAUACCCUCCGGAAGAAUUCAAUUGUUGCAAUUUUCUUUCACGUGGAGGUCCUCCAAAGUUAGAGCACAUAUCCGUACACUGUUUAUGAAAUCAUAAUAACAGGGGACCAGAUAUUAAUAACAAAUCUUGACACCUAAAAGUCAACUGUGAUGAAAAACAUUAAAAAGAAUAUGAACUUGUUAUCUUGGAAGAAGAUAAUUUAAGAUAUAGCAAACUUGGCACAUUCAUAUAUGAACAGAAGGAAUUUGUAGACGUUUUAAAGCCAUAAUCGUUUAAUAAUCAUGAACCAAGCAAUAAUAGAUGAUUAUUAUGUUGGGUGCAAGCGGAAGUGCAGAAAAAUUUUUAUUUAAGAUCAGAGUAUUUUGCUGGAAAUUUCUGAAACUUUAUUGCUUAAUUCAUUUUUUCGUUUCUCUCUUACUUUUCAUACAACCAGAGUUCUAUAUUUAUAUGCAUUAUAGACAACUCUAGAGAUUACAUUAAUCAUGCUUUACAUUUCCAAAGCCACAUUGCAAACAUCAAUUCUACCCUUUACUUCACGUUGAAAAACAAACCAAAUAAUCCUUCAAACUUCUUGCUCAAUUUACUAGAUUACUAAUUAUAUCUCAACACCCCCUCUUAAUUAGUAAUCUUCAAUUGCUUCUUGAAUUUUUCAAACUUCUCAAUAAUGAUUGCUUUGGUCAGAAAAUCUGCUGGCUGCUCAUUAGUGCUGAUAAACUCCAUAUUAACUUCUCCUUUGCUUACUAAGUCACGGAUGUAGUGAUAACGCAGCUCAAUGUGCUUAGAUUUAGCAUGAAAUACGAGGUUCUUUGUUAGAGCAAUGGCUGACAUGUUGUCACAAUAAAUUGUUGUUGCAGCAUCUUGAUUGAACUGCAAAUCCUUGAGAAUUCUUCUAAGCCAAACGGCUUCACAAGCUGAUUCAGUUGCUGCAAUGUACUCUGCCUCGGCUGAGGAUAAAGCUACUGACUUCUGCUUCCUUGAGCUCCAUGAAAUCACAUUUGUACCAAGACAAAAUAAAUAACCUGAUGUGCUUUUUCUGUCAUCAAGGGAACCAGCCCAGUCACUGUCAGUAAAACCAACAAGCUUGCAAUUGUCUUCUUUUUCAUACAUGAUCCCCUGCUUUUUUGUUCCUUGAAGAUACCUUAAGAUUCUCUUUGCUGCAAUAUAAUGGGACUUCCUUGGAUCAUUCAUAAAUCUAGAAAGAACACUAACUGAGUGCAAAAUGUCAGGUCUUGAGUUGGUUAGAUAAAUCAACGAACCAACCAAGCUUCUAUAGAUUCUUGCGUCAGCCUUUUCUUCUUUUUCAUCAUGUUUCAAUUUUUCAUUCAAACCCAUAGGAGUAGGUGCUGGUUUGCAUUUGAACAUGUGGAAUUUCUUCAACAAAUCUUCUACGUAUUUUUCUUGACAAAAGAAGAUUUUUCCUCUGGCUUGCUUCACUUGAAUGCCAAGAAAAUACUUCAUUAAGCCCAAGUCAGUCAUCUCAAAUUCAUCUAGCAUGCUUUUUUUAAACUCUUCCACCAUUUUCAGAUUAGUGCCACAAUAAAUUAGAUCAUCAACAUAAAGGCAAACAAUAAGGAAAUCAGUACCUUCCUUUUUGACAUAAAGAGAAGGUUCACUUGAGCUUCUGUCAAAUCCAUUUUUAACGAAAUAUCUAUCAAUUCUGCUAUUCCACGCUCGAGGGGCUUGCUUCAAGCCAUACAAGGCUUUUCGGAGUUGAUAAACUUUGUUUUCUUCACCUUUCACUUCAUAUCCUUUAGGUUGCUCAACAUAAACCUCUUCUUCAAUUUCACCAUUUAGAAAUGCCGAUUUUACAUCUAGUUGAAACACAUGUAAUUCCAUUUGGGCUGCCAAGGCAAGAACAGUUCGAAUAGUCUCCAUUCGAGCUACGGGAGCAAACGUUUCUGUAAAAUCAACUCCAGGCAGCUGAGAGUAUCCUUUGGCAACGAGCCGCGCCUUAUAUUUUUUAACUGAACCAUCUUCAUUGUACUUGAUUUUGAAGAUCCAUUUCAGCCCAAUUGUUUCUUUUCCAUUUGGCAAAUUAACCAUCUCCCAAGUUUUAUUUUUCACAAUGGUGGCCAUUUCCUCGUUCAUUGCUUGGAUCCAAUUUUCAUUUCUUGAGGCCUCCUCAAAGUCUUGAGGCUCACAAGAAAAUAAAGCAAGUUCACAUGACUCAUAAAUUUCUCUCAUUGACUUUAUCUUCCUUGGAGGGCUUUCAUCAUCCGAAGAACUUUCUGCUGCUGAAUUUGGAGAAUUUGGUUCCAAAUUAUUUUGCUGUGAAGAAUUUGGUGGAGAUACAGGAGCUUCGAAAAAGCUAGAUGCUUGAGAUUGAUCUUUUUCCCACUGCCAAGCUGAUGCCUCAUCAAAUACAACAUCUCUUGAGAUAACAAGCUUAUUUGUUGUAGGAUUCAACAACCGAUACCCUUUAGACUCAUCACUAUAGCCAAUAAACAAAUAUUUUUCACCUUUUUCAUCAAACUUCUCUCUGUUUUGAGCUAGAAUAAGAGCAUAAGCAAUACUCCCAAAAAUCUUCAAGUGAUCAACAGUUGGCUUUCGGUUGUGCCAAGCUUCAAAUGGAGUUUUGUCUCUAACAGCUUUUGUAGGAGACCUGUUGAGGAUGUACACAGCUGUAUGACAUGCUUCUGCCCAUAAGUUGUUAGGAAUGCCUUUGCCUUUUAACAUGCUUCUUGCCAUCUCUACAAUGGUACGGUUCUUCCGUUCUGCAACUCCGUUUUGUUGUGGACUUCGGCUGACAGUAAGUUGUCUUUGAAUUCCAUUAUCCCUGCAAUAAUUCAUGAAUGGAGUGUAGAUAAAUUCACCACCACGAUCAGUUCUCAAGGUCUUCAUUUUGCAUCCACUUUGCCUUUCUGCAAGAGCUUUAAACUGAAGAAAAGUUGAGAAAGCUUCUGAUUUUUCAUUCAAAAAAUAAAUCCACAUCAUCCUUGUAUAGUCAUCAACAAAAAGAAUGAAAUAUCUCCUGUUAUUGAGAGAGAGAGUCCUUGUAGGACCACAAAUAUCAGCAUGCACCAACUCCAACGGAGCUUUGGCUCUCCAUGAAUUUUUAGGAAAUGGAAGUCUAUGCAUUUUUCCAUAUAUACAGCCCUCGCAAACUUUUUCAUAUCUUCCAACAUCAGGUAAGCCAAUCACCAUGUUCUUUUGCUUGAGCAAAUUCAGCCCUUUAUAGUUUAAAUGACCAUAUCUGAGAUGCCAUAAAUUUGACAAAUCUGAAUUUUCAGUUUUGAGAGCAACAUUCUCAUCAAGUGGCAUAACAAGAGGAAAAACUUUGUUCUUUGACAUUUCAACAACGGCCACUGUAUGAUUAUUAGUUUUAUCAAUGAUUUUGCAUUUUUCAUCAUCAAAAUAAAUUGAAAAACCCUUUUGAAUUAGCUGCCCCACACUCAAGAGGUUUUGAGUUAAAUUUGGAACAUAAAGAACGUCAUAAAUGAGCUUUUUGUUACCUCCCUUUGUAUGGACAGCAAUAGUGCCUUUUCCCACAGCUUUCUGCAUCUUUCCAUCUCCAAGCUUCACUUGCGAAUUAAAACUUUGGUCAAGGUUGAUGAAAAUGUCACGUUCUCCAGUCAUGUGGUUGCUACAACCGCUAUCCAAGUACCACAAAUUAUAUGAUUCACGUUCAGCACCUUUACUUGAAUAAAACAAGUAAUCUCCAUCACAUUCUUUUGUAAAAUUUGCCUCAUUUUUGCCUUUCUUAUUUUGAUACCAGCAAUCCCUUUGAGAAUGGUUAGGAAUGCGACACCUUGUGCAUUUAUAACGACAAUCUUUUGAUUCAUGAUUAGACCGAUUACAAAUGAUGCACUGAGAAUCUGAAUUUUGCUGUGAAUUCCCUCUGUCAUUUUUCCACUUGUUGCGGUUGUCGUUCUGUUCUCUUUGCCCUAUGCCACGCUGCUCGUUUCUUUGAGACGAGCCUCCGUUCUUCUGGUCUUUCUUGCUGCUUUUAUUCUGAUCUGAAUUAUUAAUCUUUGACUGAAAAGCUUGCUCUGUAGGCUGACUUGAAGGUCGAUUGAUUCUUUGCUCAUGAGACCGUAAUGAUCCUGACAAAUCUGAAAAAGUCAUCUUGGACAAAUCCUUUGAUUCUUCAAUGGCUGCUGCUACAUGAUCAAACUUUGGAGGAAGACAUCUCAGCACCUUUUCAUUCACCUUCUUGUCUUCAAUGGAGUCCCCACAACCUUUAAUCUGGUUCACAAUCUCAGUAACUCUACUGCAAAAAUCCUGAAUUCCUUCUCUGUCUUUCAUUGAUAAAUUAUCGAACUCUUUCCACAAAGUCUGUAACUUGAUGGUGACUGCCUUUUCAGAACCUUGAAAUUCUUGUUUUAGGAUUUUCCAAGCAUUUUUGGCCUUUUUGACACCAAAUAUUCUGGGGAAAAUUGACUUACUAACACCUUGCUGGAUAUAUCGAAGUGUCGUGGCAUUUCUCUGUAUGUUUUCUUUGUACUGCUGUUGAUGUGCUGGAGUCCAAUCUGAAGAACUUGCAGAUUCUGGUGGUUCAGCAUAUCCAUCUUCAACAACAUCCCAUAAAUUUUGAGAGAGGAAAAAGGUUUCCAUUUGAUUACUCCAAUAUUCAUAAUGUACCCCUUCAAAUAUUGGAACUUGACUGGGAGCAUAUGAGAAUAAUGUGGGUAGGGUAUUUGAUGUCAUUUUGAGGGUGUUUUGGAAAAGCUCUGAUACCAAAUUUGUUGGGUGCAAGCGGAAGUGCAGAAAAAUUUUUAUUUAAGAACAGAGUAUUUUGCUGGAAAUUUCUGAAACUUUAUUGCUUAAUUCAUUUUUUCGUUUCUCUCUUACUUUUCAUACAACCAGAGUUCUAUAUUUAUAUGCAUUAUAGACAACUCUAGAGAUUACAUUAAUCAUGCUUUACAUUUCCAAAGCCACAUUGCAAACAUCAAUUCUACCCUUUACUUUACGUUGAAAAACAAACCAAAUAACCCUUCAAACUUCUUGCUCAAUUUACUAGAUUACUAAUUAUAUCUCAACAUAUUAUUCCGUUUCUUCUAAGCUACGCAUACUUGCACAUCAGAAUAAAGUGAUAUACAAUGGUUGUGUGCAGACACAAACGCAUGAUCAACAGGAAAAAUCAUCUGAACAUUUGUAUUACUGAUUUGGCAUAUAAGAUUCUCAUAAUAGUUCAAAAUACAAAUAAAUGAAUAUAUAUAUAUUCCCCACCGGAAUCACCCCCUGGAUCCUCACUCAAGGUGUCUUCCGAGCCAGAAGAUCCCUCCUCACCACUAUUUCCGCUCGUGGAGGUUGUUUGGGGGGACAUCCUCCUAGCGCUAGUCCCAACACUAGACCUAAUGGGUUCUAAGGGGAUCCCGGGGUCAAAAGCAGGAUCGGUGAGCAGACUAGACAAGAAACCUAAUUCGUCGUCAUCAAUCUCAACGAUUUUCUCUUUACCCUUCGACAUUCCCUAAACUAUAAUCAGAACACCACCACCAACUACAACCCCAAGCAAAGCACAGAGAAAAGAAAUUAUCUACAACUAACCAAGACCGAGAAAAUAGAAGAAAUACCUGAAGCAGGGAUUCGAUCAGAGAGAGAUAGGGAUGAAAGCUUUAAUGCCGAGGUUCAUUCGCCGGAGAGACAAGAAGGGAGAAAAUGACGAGUUCGUGUUUGAGGAUUUUGGGUUUUCUUACUGAGAAGCAAACUCUUGGGCUGCCAGCAUUUAAUGACACAUAUUCCGAGAAUCUUGCAACCGUAGGUUUGAAAUUCAAAUGGAGGGGUGGAUUUCUGCCACAUCACUUCAUCUGCAAUUAAAUGCGACACGACUCUUGGCAGUCUUUUCCAGUCCCACGCGAGCAAGAACCGAUUGAGUUUCUACUGCUGGUCCAUUACAUUACCCAACACCAGAAACUGGGGGACUGGUGUUUGAGGGAAAUACUUCGACGAGACCAGACGUGAUGAGCAGAUAUUUGAUGGCAGAGUUCUGCAAACAGGUGUGUCUUGUAAGAGCCAGGUAGCAGGGGAACAGGAGUAGGAAUAUUCUGCUCGUCCACGAAUAUGCCAUUCACGAGGUCAAACUCCUGUUAGAGGCAUAAGGCCAUUCCUGCUAGAGGUCGAGAAGCGAGGAGACCCGGUCAACGACAGUUGGCAAGACGUGCAUUCCUAUCCGAGAAUCAAGGCACAAAGUCCAUCUCCAUUCGCCCACAAUGGCGAUAAUGGGGCAUCCAUAUCCCGGGGGGGGGAGAAUAAGGGGCGUGGACUACGGAAGAUCGGGAUUCAGAGGAAGCUUAUAAAAAGGUAGCCAACGAAGGUAAAAGGGUUAGAAUUUUUGAGAUUGCAACUAAGAAAAGAGAGCUCUAAGAACUGAAACUAAAGAGAAGCCAUAAGAUUCGUGGCAAACAUUCCCAGAACCUUCAUAUCUGACUUGAGCGUCGGAGGAUUUACGCCGGGAAAACGACCGGCGCACCCUGACCUGCUUUUGUGUUCGCAUGAAUUUUUGGGGAAGAAACCUUACGAGGAGAGAUCCUGGUCAUGGUAGAGUUGGUCGAGCAGAGGUCCUGGUCUUGGUAGAGAAGGCAACCAGAAUCUCGCAUCAACAAUUAUUUUACUUGAAAUUAUGUACAAUUGCAUUUCAUUCAUUUCUCUCUCUCUUUUUCUUUUUUCCCCCCAUAUAUUUUUUAUGUAUAAUUGCGUUUCAUUUAAUAUUGAUCAUACUGUAGGUAACCAUGUGAUUGUAGAUGGGGAUUUCAAGUUUGUUGAAUAUUCAUGUAAGUGAAGUAACCGUCACAAUACUAGUGAAAUUGGGAGCUUUAUUCAUGAGUUUGUGGUUUUGAAAAGUACCACAGUUCAGCUGAUGAAGGCUUCUUUUUGGGAUUCUUCUUUUCCUAGGCUGCAAUUAGGAUAUGUACAUGAUAGACAAUCUUUUGUUGGUUUGGCAUAUCUUCGCUGAUUUUGUCUUUUAUUCCCCAAUUUUAUAAUUACACACCAUGAAUGUUGGGUGAUUGCAUAGAAAAUUUGUGUUAUAACAAAAACAUUGUGAAGGAGUUUCUGUGCUAAUAGUUAGUGGCUUCUGUUUUAUUGGCAUUGAUUGGGUAGAUUACGUGUUACAGUGAUUCAAUUUGUGUUCCAAACUUUGCUUUAAUUUUCUGUUUUCCCCAACUAUUUAUGUCAAAUUUAAAUCCAGAAGCAUGUACUGAUUUUUUCUUUUUGUAUUAAUUUGUGAAGUUUAUUUGGAAUGGAAGUAACUGGGUCGGGUCUAAUGGAUUAAAUUAUGACAUUGAGGGGAAGGCACUAAAAGGGUUUGCUUGACACAUUUGGUUCUGUGUCUGCAAGAAAUAGCUUUUGCUUAUUGCAAUGCAGGGGGAAAUCCCGAUUUGGCUGGUGAAUUUCUCUGCAACAAACGGGCAAACACCUUGACUUCUUCUGUCCAUACUUCUGCUGGGGAGGCAAGGGGUAAAGAGUCUUCAAAAUCAUCAAAUAGUAACAUCUCUGAGAAUUCAUUUUAUGGAAAUGGAAAAUCUAGAGCUUCUAAUACAAAAUGGUAUCUGGUAUCAGGACGUACCGUUUCAAGUUUUCUUGGUAAAGAUUAUGUUAAACCUGCACAGCCAGCUAAUGGCACUUUUCUGGCAUCAAAGCCAUUGAAGUUGGAUCCAAGGGAGUUUCGCAUUUCUGCACUUUCAGAGAAGAAACUAAACCGAAACAAUCAAAGGAUGACCAUUUGCAGAAGGAUAUGGAAGAUUUUCUGUUUAAAUUGCUAGGAGAAGGGUUCCAGCUGUACAGGGAUGUGAUUCAGAUGGUUCAUGGUAACGUCUUAAAUAUAUUGAUGCCAAUUUAAUACAUAUUGUCCUUUUCAAUGUUCUUUCUUUCUUUCUCCUCUUUUUAUUCUUCUUCUUCUUCUUUUUUCUUUUCAUGUGCAUCUGAUCACUAAUUUGGUAUUAUUCUUAACUUGCAGAUAGUUGUGGAUAUGAUAUGCAAAAAGGUAAGGACUAUAUCUUCUUGAUGGAGGCCUCUGAUUUUUUAAAUCGCAUUUUCCUUUGUGAUUGAUAUAUCAUACCAAAGUCAAGUCUUAAAUACUGCUGUCAUAUGUUAAGGUUCAACUUCCAUUUUGAUUAACGUCGAUUUGCUACUGCUUCCAAAAGUGAGAAUGAGAUACUUUGGUUAAUUUCAGUAGUUGAACCCAAUAGAGUACUUUAUUUAGAUCUUCAUGGUUCAAAGGCCUGAAAAAACUUGCCGGUGUUUGCAAAAUGACAUUCUGUGCUUUUAUUUAGACUUAUUAUUAAAGACAACAUUUUGUUUCAGCCAAAAAUGUUUGUUUCGAUUAAAGACUGAUUUUAUAUUUCUAUUUUGUAACUUGAAAUAAUUGGUCUGCCUGUUUCUGUUGCUUGAUAACAUGAAUUUUUCCUUCUGAAGUUAAUUUGAUCAAUAAAGUAAUUCUUCGGAGAGGAUAUGCCCAUUCUAUAGUCAUUUUCUUAGCUAACAUGUUUUUUCUUCACUCUUCAGAGCAUGUCUAAACUAAUUGAUCGCUCAGCGGAGACUUUGGGUGAGAAGACAAAAUUUCUUGGUAAAUCCUCUGAAAAGGUAUGCAUAAUUCCCGAGUAUUAAAUAAUCAUUGGUCAUAAUUUUUGUACACGACUCUUUUUUUGGAGAUCGUUAAAAGUGGUUGAUGAUCUAUUUUGUAAUAUCAUAGAGGGAUCAUGAAUUCCUUUUCUUUUCUGUGGCUAGGCAACACUUUCGAGCCAAGCUAAGGAAAUCUAUUUUAGGUAAUGUGAAAACCAGUUGUAGGAUGUAAUAGUUUAUUAUGCCCUGCCAAUAACUUUUUGUAUAAUUGUCAGUUUAAUGAAUACAAGAGGAACUCUGUUGGCAAGUUCAUCCAUGAUAGAUGCUAAAAUUAUUUAUGCAUACCAGUUGCCUUAACUAAUUUUUCUCAACACUGGUAUUGAACAGGAAAAUGAAUAUGCAAUUUGUAUAUUGUGCCAUUGUGGAGAAUUUGGAUAUUCUUAUUUAAGUAACAAGGAGAGUAUUUGCCUCAUCUUUAAACAAUGAAUCUUUGAGAAAUGAGGAGUGGGUGAUUGGCAGUGUCUUCAUGUAAAUGUUCAUUUAUUUGUAUUUUGAACUAUUAUGAGAAUCUUUGUAUGCCAAAUUAGUAAUACAAAUGUUCAGAUGAUUUUUCCUGUUGAUCAUGCGUGUGUAUCUGCACACAACCAUUGUGUACCACUUUAUUCUGAUGCGCAAAUAUCUGUAGUUUAGAAGAAAAGAAAUAAUAAUCAUAUAUUAUUGCUUGGUUCAUGAUUAUUAAACGAUUAUGGCUUUAGAAAAUCCACAAAUCCUUUGUGUUCAUAUAUGAAUGUGCGAAGUUCGCUAUAUCUUAGAUUACCUUCUUCCAAGAUAACAAGUUCAUAUAUUUUUUAAUCCUUUUUCAUCACAGUUGAAUUUCAAGUGUAAGUUUUGUUAUUAAUAGCUGGUUUCCUGUUAUUAUGAUUUCAUAAACAGUAAGAGGAUAUGUGCUCUACUUUUGGAGGGCCUCCACAUGAAAGAAAAUUGCAACAAUUGAAUUCUUCCGGAGGGUAUGGUAUUUAAUUUAUUUUCUCAGCUUGUUGUAAGACUAAUAUAUUUCCUUCAGUACGCACGGCAUGGUGGGAAGGGUUUUUAUUGAAACAGUUAUGAUAUUUCUUAGACUUUGUUUUGGAAGGGGGUGGAGGGAUUUCUCAUCCAUAUAUGGUUACUUGAUUAGCUUUUGACUGUAUUGUCUCCGUCGUGCAAAGGAAAAUCCAAAUACUAACGAAGGGGAAUUGCUUAGGCACCCAAAGGACAGAAAUGAAUUACGGAAGGAAGUUUUUGCUGCUUUAUUUAGUGCUGCUGAGAAAUCUGAUGGAUUUCCUGAAAUUACGGUGAAGACGGAGUGGAGGUCCAACGCAUUAGGAAAGGUGGUGAGUGAACCGCCGGAGGAAUUAGUACCAGAACACAAGGCUAAUGUGGUGCACUGGCAGCAAGAUGACCAGACCUGUAUGUGCUCUUAUAUUAACUAUAUUGGCUGGAUUUGUGAGUGUGUACAUUUUUGUGUGUAUACUCACUUUUGGAUUUAUGCAUAUUAACGUGUGUAGGAUUCUCGAUUUCUGCCACUUACUGGAGAACUAGUGGAAAGCUUUAUACUGAUAUAUGUGCUAUAUAACUAAUGGAAACUACAAUAUGAAUAUUUUCUCUCACCUGGAGAACAGUGUAACUGAUAUAAUUUGUGGCUCUGGAAUACUGAAGAUUCUGCAAUAACUAAUGGAAAAUAUGAUAUGAAUAUUUUUUCUCACCUGGAGAACUUUGUAACAGAUACAUUUUGUGCUGGAAUGUCUAAAGAAUGCUUCAGUUUAGAUCAAAUAUCUUUUAGUUAGAAAAGAUAAAAUUCUCUGAAUCUGAAAGACUGAAACAUUUUGCAUAUUUCGUGAAAGGCAAGUAUCUGUAGAUACUAGCUCAUGCAUUGAGGUAAUAUCAAUGUUAAAGAAAAACAGCAAUAAUUUAUUAUACAGAAUUAGGUUCACUUGCUUUAAAUGCUGGUCUGAUCAACCAUAUCAACCUGUAAUGGUCCUGCAGAAAUAUAUAUACGGGGAGAAACUAGCUAAUUUUCCUUUCACUUAUGGGUUUGGUCUUUUUUUUCCCCUAUUUUUCAGCUUUCCUUCUCCUGAAGUAUGUUAACAAUUGCAGAUAAUGACGAAGAGGACCGCUUCCAGGCUCUUUGUAGAGCUGUGAUGGAAUAUAGGGGCACAAUGAAAGAAUAUUGUAAGGCUGUAUGUACUUUCUCUCAUGUCAUUUAUGUUUUCUCACACAUUUUGUAUAUGCCCUGAACAUGCAGCUUUGUAUGUGUCAAUUGCCUUUUACGUUUUAAAAGCCAUAAAGUAAGAAUACAGUUCCUUGUCAGGCUAUUGAUGCGUUCGCUCAGAAGGGUCAUGUUCAAGCAGGAAAACUUCUAGAACAGGUAAGGUUUCCAUCUACAGCCAUCCAUUGACAGCAGAUAUAUUUUCAUUAAGCAGACACUGUUAGCAUUCAAGAUGCUGGCAGAUUCACUUGAUUCUUAUUAGUUUGUUUAGUGGCAAACCAUAUAACCUGUAUUUCAAAGCCAAGUUGUGCUAUUGAUUAUGUUAACUUUAUUGUUAACAUAAAGUGAUAUGGAGGACAUAAUCAAUGUAGGAAAAUUAGGUGAAGAGAUGAUGUCAAAUCUUGAACCUCUUACAAAGCUCCAAGUUCUUUACUUGAAGAAGCUGCCAAAUUUGAAGAGCGUCUACUGGAAGGCAUUUCCAUUCCCAGAUGUAUGCAGAAUUUUUGUAUUAAUGCCCAGUUCUUAAGAAGCUGCCACUGGAUUUUCAAGGGGCGGGCCAAGGUAAAAUUCUUAUCAAGGGAAAGGAAGAUUGGUGGAAAGAACUUCAAUGGGAGGAUCAAGCAACUCAGAAUGCAUUGCUUCCAUUUUUCAAAUCAACUGACAAGUGAUUGAAGGGGGCAUCAUCAACAUCAUCAACUGGGAUGGAGAGAUUAUGGAGCAGAUCAGCAGGGUUUGUAUAUGAUCUUUGGUGGUUGCUUUCUUUUGUGAUUUUUUUUUUCUCAUUUUUUUCCCUUCCUGUCAUUUUAUCAUUUCUUUGUCUCGUUUUCUAUUGCUGAUGUUAGUGUAUGCUUACUGUUGCUUGACAAAGUUUGCUUGCUUCUUGUUUAUUAAUUUUUUUAUGGUCACAAAAUAUUACUUGUUCUAUUUGAGAGUGAUGUGAAUCAAUUUUCAAUUAUAUAUUUUAUGGUCAAUGUGAAUUCAAUUUCAUUUGUCUCCUGCAAUUAUUUAAAAAAUGCAGAGUCAUAAUAUGGAAAAGUCGACCGGCAAAAACUUUGUGAAAGCUUCGGAGUGAAACAGGGAAUUCACUUACUAACAGGGAAUUCACUUACUACUAAGGACAAUUGGUGGCGAGCUAUUCCAUUCAUUUUAUGUCCAUACAUCUAUUUAAUUAUUAAAGAUAAGUGGUCCAUUUGUAAAUUUCAGAUUGUGUCUCUCUGAAAAUAACAAUAUUUAAAAUGUCUCUUAAAUUAUUAUAAAUUUUAAUUCACUCUCGAUUUAAAAUGGAACAUGCUGAUGAAAUUUUUUUUCUUCUUAAUAAAAUUGAAAUAAAUUGUGUUUGCAGUAGUUUGAAAUAUUUUAAAGAUUAUUAUUUUAUAAGGGAGUAAUAUGAAAUGAAAUUUACUUUUCAUGCGUGAAAUGUUGAAAAAGGACACAGCAAGUGUCCCUGCUUUUAUUUUAUUUCAAAGUGGAGUCAUCUCACAUACUUUAACUCUAUCGUUACAAUUUUUCAGGUUACAUUUUUAUUUAUUUAUUUAUUUUCUUUUUUACACAUGCAUGUGGGUUACUUUUCCGUAAGCUCCUUAAUAUAUAUAUUUAACACAAAUCAUGGAAGAGAUGGGAGUAUAUCAAGAUGAUCAAAGCAUGAAACAAAAAUAUUUAAGAAGUAAAACACUGAAAAUAGAGAAGAGAUGCAAGCAAAAGAUAUUCCAAAGAAAAGCAAUCUAUCUCCUUUCGAAGAAUGUUAUGGAAGAGUUGAACCCAGCGAAGAAUGUUAUGGAAGAGCAAAUUAAUGAUAUUUUUGAUAGAGUCUAUUUGAUUAUGUAGCCUGAAUAGAUGUCUUGUUGAAAGAUAUCUCAGUGCAUUAGUUCAUCCUUGACUGUCAAUGUGUUUUUAAUGGUUUUUCCAAAUUUUUAUUAUUAUAGAUUGAUUGUAAAUUUGAUAUGAAUUUAAUGUUGAAAUGUUUUCUCUUUAGUGGAAUGAAUUUAAAAGUGCAAAAGCUUAUUGCACACAGAGAAAUAAACAUAUAUGCUUUAUAACUUUAGCAAUCGAUUCUUUUACAGCUGGAAACAGAGAUGAUGAUUAUCAUAGGGGUGAAGAAAAGGACAAAAAAUGUUAAUGGUUAACGAAAUUUCUAUGCAAAUUGAUUUUAGCAGGAAAAAAGUGAGCUAAAUGAUCUUAAUGUUCCACAAGAAAAAGCAAGAUCUUAAUGUUCCACAAAAGCGUUAUUUAUUUUUUUUUGGUGAGCCACGUGGAGCUCAAUUAUCAUUGUCUUUACUUUAAAAACGUUAUUUUAUUUUCUUUUAUUACAAAUUAAUGCUAACAAGAAAAAGCAAGAUAUAAUAUUCCACAAAAGCAAAUCGUAAUAUUCCACAGAGGAGUAAGAUCCACAAAAGCAAACAACUAGCUGGAUUCUUUUAUUGAACUACAAAUUAAAACAACAAAUUAAAGUUCAAAUAUUUAAAUAGUAGUGCGUUAGACGAUUAGGCUCUUUUAUUAAAGGGAAGUAUAAAGUAGUCCAGAAUCGAACAUCUCUAUUGUCUAGUCUUUUUUUUUUUUUUUAAUUCUUCUUUUAUUAUUUUUCAGAAUAGGUUUUGGUGAUUACUAUUGGGUUAUUAUUGAGAGUUAUUGUUAUCUUCCGGGGCAGUUUCUGUUAAUCGAAAUCGUUAAUUAAAAUUUUAGAACUCUUAUUGGAAGAAUGUUUUUCCGUUAUUUUUUUAUAUUCUAAUUUCAAUUGUAAGAAGUAGUCAUUUUAGAAUUUGGGUCUUGAAUCGAAUUUCAAUGCAUGAAUUAAUAUUUAAAAAAAAAAUUACUACACGCAGUUUAGGUUACAAACUAUUUUUUGCAAAGUUGAUUAUGAAAUUGGAAAAAUUAAGUAAUUUAUAAUGUUUGCAAAGGAAGAGACUAACAUACUUCCAAUUACACUAUAUCUCUAUUAUCAUAAUGUUAAGAUUAAACUAACUUAAAAUAAAUUUUAUUUGAAAAGUUAUAUCAAACGCAGUCUAAUUUUAUUAACUUGAAGAGAUAAUAGUUAUAGAAAUUAUUGUUCUAACUUAAUUAGUACAAGUGGUAUAAAGGUUAAGUGUGCACUAAAUUUGUUUAAAUUUUUUCCAGAAUAACUAACAGAGGUCAUUACUAGAAUUAUAAUUACUAGUCUAUUAGAUAGAAAAAAUUAUUUAUAUUGUUUUAUAUUUAUUAAAAAAUUUUAAAGUCAAUCUUUUUAAUUAUUAUUUAAAGGAUAUUAUAAUUAAAAAAAAUUUAAUGUCUUUAUUAAAAAUUUAAAAAUUUAAAAAUUUAAAAAUUUACAUGACCGCUCUAUAAAUAUUGAAAGUGUAACUGUCAUUUUCUCAUAUAUAUAUAUAUAUAUAUAUAUAUAUAUAUAUAUAAACCACGGUGGUGAAGCUUUAUUUAAUAUUAAUGAUUUAAAUAACAAUAUCUCAAUUAAAAAUGUAGAGAGAAGAAAUUUCGGUGGGUAUAUUAGUCUUUUACAAUUAUCAUGAUUAACCCUUCCUCUUGUAACGUUGGUCAGAAAAGUUUUAAAAUGCCUUGAUUUCUUUUACUUUUAACGUUAGCGGCCUUCCUUAUAUUUUAUUACAAAUUAGUCCUAACAAGAAAAAGCGAGAUCAUAUUCCAAAAAAGCAAAAGUGACAAAAAAACCAGCUGUAUUCUUUUAUUAAACUACAAUUUAAAAUGAUUUUAAAGUGGAUUCUUUUGAAUACAGGUGGGGUAGUCGAAUAGUCUUUUUCAAAUUCUUGUUUUAUUAUUUUUCAAAACUAGUUUUUGGUAAUUACAAUCGGGUCAUUCAUUAGUCAUUAUUCAGAGUUAUUGUUAUCUUCGGGGGCAGUGGGUAAAAGGCUAAAUGAUAAUUACUAAGUGUUUUUCCUUCAAAAGUUAGUGGCUCGUGUUUUGCAAGUGUGUACGUGCGAUGCUCUUUGUCUAAAGGCAAUUACAGUGGGUCCCGAAUCGGACGUGCCUAAUAAAUCUUUUAAAAAUUUUUCUAAUAAAUAUUCCUAAAAUUUCUCUUCCACAGGCAAUUACAGCAGCUUCAGUUAAUCAAACUCAAUCAAUUUUCUUUCUUAACAAAAUUCCAAAGAUGUGUGGCUGUUUUCAGAUCACAUGCGAUGGUACUUUUUUCAAUCGUUGCUUAGAUUGCUUUCUUGGAAAAGCAGCAUACAUACGUAACCUCCAAGAUAACCUCGUUGCCUUGGAGACUGAACUAAGGAAACUAAUCGCAGCAAAGAACGAUGUGAUGACGGCGGUUGUCAAUGCUGAACGGCAACAAAUGAGAAGGCUGGAACGAGUGCAAGUGUGGGUUUCGAGUGUGGAUUCUGUUAAAACUGGAGCCGAUGAACUUAUCACAGACGGCUCUGAAGAAAUUGGCAAAUUAUGUGUUGGAGGCUACUGUUCCAAGAACUGCAGGUCAAGCUACAAGUUCGGAAAACAAGUGGCUGAAAAGCUACAACAUGUGAAGAAUUUAAUCGCCGAGGGAGUUUUUGAGGCGGUGGCCACUGAGGUGGUGCCCGAGAGAGCUCCGGAACCUGUAGCAGAUAAAAGACCCAUUGAGCCAACAAUAGUAGGCUUGCAAUCACAGCUUGAAGAAGUUUGGAGAUGUCUUGCAGAAGAAUCAGUGGGAAUCAUUGGCCUAUAUGGUAUGGGCGGUGUUGGUAAAACCACACUAUUGACCCAUAUCAACAAUAAAUUUCUUGAGAGUCCCACAAACUUUGAUUGUGUGAUUUGGGUCGUAGUUUCAAAAGACCUGCGACUUGAAAAAAUUCAAGAAGAUAUUGGGAAGAAGAUAGGUCUAUCUGAUGAUUCAUGGAAGAAUAAAAGUUUUGAAGAGAAAGCUGUGGACAUCUUGCGGAGAUUAGGAGAGAAGAGAUUUGUAUUGUUGUUAGAUGAUAUAUGGGACCGGGUUGAUUUAACAAAGGUGGGCGUUCCACUUCCCGGACCACAAAAUACUACCUCAAAAGUCGUAUUCACAACCCGUUCCAUCGAUGUUUGUGGCAGCAUGAGAGCUAGGCCGGUUAAAGUGGCAUGCCUAUCAGAAAAGCAAGCUUGGGAACUGUUCCACGAAAAUGUUGGGGAAGAAACUCUUGAGAGUGAUCAUGAGAUCGUUGAGCUAGCCCAAACAGUGGCCAAAGAGUGUGGUGGUUUGCCACUCGCACUUAUUACUAUUGGUCGAGCUAUGGCCUACAGAAAGAAAGCGGAGCAGUGGAGACGUGCAAUUGAAGAGUUAAGAAGAUCAGUUUCAGAGUUUGCAGGUUUGGGAAAAGAGGUGUAUCCUUUUUUAAAGUUCAGCUAUGAUAGUUUGCAGUAUGAUACGGUUAGAUCUUGUUUCUUGUAUUGUUGUUUAUAUCCUGAAGAUUAUGGCAUUCUUAAAUGGGACUUGAUUGAUUGUUGGUUUGGCGAGGGAUUUUUUGGGGAAUCUGACAGGUCUGGUGCAGAAAACCGAGGAUAUGGCAUUUUGGACACUCUUGUUCGUGCAUGUUUAUUAGAAGAGGUGGAAGAUGAUAAAGUAAAAAUGCAUGACGUUAUUCGUGAUAUGGCUAUAUGGAUAGCUUGUGAAAUUGAGAAGGAGAAGAGAAACUUUUUGGUUUGUGCAGGUGCUGGAUUAAAAGAGGCACCGGAUGUUAAAGGAUGGGAAAAUGUGAGAAGAUUGUCAUUGAUGCAAAACCAAAUUAAAACUCUGUCAGAGGUUCCUACAUGCCCUCAUCUCCAUACUCUAUUUCUUGACUUUAAUAAGGAGUUGGAGACGAUCGCGGAUGGCUUCUUCCAAUUUAUGCCUUCUCUCAAAGUUUUGAAGAUGUCAAACUGUGGGCAUGUCAAAGUUUUGAAAUUACCUAUUGGGAUGUCAGAGUUGGGUUCAUCACUAGAACUUCUUGAUAUUUCAAAUACCAACAUAACAGAGUUACCAGAAGAGUUGAAGUUGUUGGUAAAUCUGAAAUGUUUGAAUUUGAGGUGGACAAUUUGUUUAAAUAAAAUUCCAUGGCAACUAAUAUCAAAAUUUCAAGGUUACGUGUGUUGAGAAUGUUCGCUACUGGCUUUGCACGUUUUGAUGCAGCAUCAGAAGACAGCGUUUUAUUUGGUGGGGGUGAAGUUUUAGUACAGGAAUUGGUCGGUCUGAAAUAUUUAGAGGUAUUGGAGUUGACCUUGGGAUGUCAUCAUGCUCUCCAAAUUUUUUUGAGCUCAAAUAAGUUAAAAAGUUGUAUUCGAUCUCUUCUCCUCCAAUUGGCCGGAGAUACAAAGUCGAUUAUUGAUGCUACGGCUUUCGCAGAUCUAAACCACCUCAAUGAAUUAUGGAUUGAUAGGGCUAAGGAGUUGGAAGAAUUGAAGAUUGAUUGUAAAGAAAUAGUACAAAAAAGGCGGGAACCUUUUGUUUUCCGCAGCCUUCACCGUGUUACUAUACAUAGCUGCCAGAAGUUGAAAGAUUUGACAUUCCUCGUUUUUGCUCCAGACCUCAAGUCUCUCGAUCUAGACCGUUGCGAUGCUAUGGAAGAAAUAAUCAGCGUCGGAAAAUUUGCUGAGACUCCUGAGAUGAUGGGACAUAUAAGCCCUUUCGAAAAUCUCCAAACUCUUCAUUUAAGAGCGUUUAACAUCUUUUCUCGACGACCUGCACGAUUGCCUUUCACUCAUCUGAAGGAAAUGGAGGUAAGUGGGUGCGAUCAGCUUAAAAAGCUUCCACUCGAUUCCAACAGUGCAAAAGAGCGUAAAUUUGUUAUUCGUGGAAAAGAAGACUGGUGGAACCGACUUCAAUGGGAGGAUGAAGCCACUCAAAUUGCUUUUCGUUCCUGUUUCCAACCUGAGCGGUUAGUCGCAAAAUUUGAUUUCUGGUGAUUGCGUUUGUCUUUUAACUCUUAUAUAUAUUCUUGUCGUUUGUUUUCUUCUCUGUUUUUAACUCUUAUAUUGCGUUUGUCUUUUGAAAAUCUCCAAUUAAAUGUUGAAUUAAUGGAAUUAAUGCUUCAUAAAUUUGCCGGCACUGCCAUCACUUUUUUUUUUUUUAAUACAAAUUGAUACUUUAUUUAUAUCUUCUUAGCGAUAUAAUUUCCUGUCAAUUGACGAACGAGAAGAACAUACGACUUAAACCAAUUCACGCAUAAACUUGCUGUAAAAAGAUAUAAUCUCACUGAAAUGCACACGUCUAGAAUGAAUAGAAUUAAAACAGGGAAAAUAUUUAAGUAUAUUAGCCCUCUUUACCGAAAAUGAAAUGACAAUAAAUUUUUUGAAAGUUUUGAUUUUCUAUGGUCAAUUCCACCUUUUGCAAUUUCUUCUGUUCUAACAAAAACCAAUUUCUUUGUUCAAGUAUUUUCGUUUGGGUAUUAAUAAUUCUCCACCGAAAGAGUGAACUCUUGCUCAAGGGAUCUCUAAUCAAUAGCCGGAAGGGCGCCGAGACCUGAUCGGACCUAGGCCCAAGUUUGGUCUUAAAGCCUGGGCUUGAGCCUGGCAAUUAAAUUAAAACAUUAAUUGAUUUCUUGAUUGAAUUGUCGUGUAAUUGAUUUAUGGGGGAUGACACAUCAACAUGCUUGAAAACACACUAAUCUCAGCAUCAUCGGUUAAUAACUUUUAGAAUUAUGGGUAAUCAAUAGUUAAGAUUAGUUGUCAUUAAUACUAAAUAUUUUUUUACUAUUUUCGUCUCUUCUAGAGGAUCUUCUAGAAAAAUGCAUCCACAACAAAAUUUAAUACUUUACAUAAUAAACAAAGCAUAAAUGUUAAAUUUAAGAAACUGCAUUGUAUUUCAGCUGAAGUUGACUUUAAUAUUUAGGGUAGAAAAAUAAUAAAUCCUUAAUGUGUUUAAUUUCUAUCACUUGUGUCAUUAAAAUUUUCUAGUCACCCUAACCAAUUACAUCUCAACCCACUUUUUUUUGGAUGAUUUUAUUUUUACACUAUUAUUUUCAUCAUUUUUUUUCCUUUUAACACCAACAUUAGUGUAUGUUACGUAACAUAAUUCAUAUUUGGAUAAUUUGAAAUUUGUUUGUGUUUUAUCUCAAAAUAGAGCUUCAAUCAAUUUGUACCUCAUAAAUUCACAAUAUCUAUGAGGGCUAAUAAGACCAAACUCUGGCAUAUUGUCAAAUGUGCUUAUCCUUUUGCUUGACAUGUCAUUUUAAAAUUGUCAUUCAAUGCCAAAAAAUCACAUCAACUGAUGGCCGACUACUUUAAUUUGAAAGCAUGCAUGCGAUCGCCAAUAAUUAUAACUUAAUUGUUAUUUUGAAAUUUUUUUCUUUAUAAUUUUUAAGUUUAAUACUACUACAUGUGCAGCACAUAAGUUGGAAAAUAUAACAUAAAAUUUGAAAAAUGUGUAGCUUUCGUUCCUUUUUUUUCUUAAAAAUGAGGAAAAAGAAUGUAAUUUUGUUUAAAUUACUGUUGUGAUAACAAUUAUUAUUUUAUUGAUUAAUUGGCAGAGAAUGGUUAUGGUUUCGCAUGGUUGUUAAAACAUUGGAAAAUCCACUACAUCAUCCGUUAAUAACUUUCAGAUUUAUGGUUAAUCAAUAGUUGAGAUUUGUUAUCAUUAAUGUUAAAUAUUUUUUUAAUAUUUUUUCUCUCUCCUAGAGGAUCAUCACAGCAAAAAUUUAAUAUUAUAAAUAGUAAACAAAAUAUAAACAGUUAAAUCUAAGAAACUGCAUUGCAUUUCAGCUGAAGCUAACUUUAAUAUUUAAUGGAGAAAAAUAAUUAAGUCCUUAAUGUACUUUAUUUACCCAUACUGAUACGCUCUUAAUUCGUGAAACUGAGCAACAUCAAAAUUAUCACUACUUCGAGCGAGUGUUUGCUCCAGAAGAAAGAACUGGAAGUUGAGAAAUGAGAAAGAAGAAAAGAAGAAGAGUCACAGCGAGGAAUAAAAGUGGUCCAUUCAUUUCAUGCCUUCCCAAAAUGACAAAAUCCCGCAAUAUAUAACAGACAAUCGAAAAUAACCAAUUUGACAACGCAACAGAAAAUGACAAAAAAGAAUCCAAAACAAACGUAGCCAAUCACAAUGCUUUUACAGAUCAUCCUAAACGACGUAGUCUCGUAGCCAAUCUAGAAGUUUCUUGUUUCGUUUGGGCCGUUGAUUCUCUUGCACUGGCUCAUGGUGAAUGUCCUCUUUGGGUUGACUGACUGUGGGUUCUCGGUUGAGCUCUUCCACUUGCGCCCCCUCUAAUGGCUCUAAUUUGAUAUAUAAAUUCGUAUCAUUCCCUCCUGCUUGAAAACACACAUUGUCCUCAAGGUGAAAUGCUGGAUAGAGCUUACAAAAGGCGUCAAAGUUUUCCCAAGACGAAUUCUUCGGUGAACUGACGGUCCAUUGAACUAACACUUGAAGCGUUGGCUUCCCCUGUUGCAAAACUAUUCGGGUUGCACAAAUGGCAGCCGGUAGCAAAAGAGGAUGGUUAUCCACACUCAACUCUGGUAAAGGAUGUGAAAUAGCAGGGUCGUUGCCAUGAUAAUGCUUAAGGACAGAGAUGUGAAAAACCGAGUGGAUUUUGGAAGUAUUGGGUAACUCCAAUUUGUAAGCUACAUACCCCACUCUAGCAAGUACCGUAAAUGGCCCGUAGUAUCACUUGGCCAACUUCUGACAGGCGCGAGAAGCUAUAGUGGUCUGUCGAUAUGGCUGUAAUUUAACCAGCACUUUAUCCCCUACUUCAAAGUGAGCUUCACGGCGAUGGGCAUUAGCUUUCUGAGCCAUUCGAUGUUGUGCUUGCCUCAAAUUAGCUUUUAAAGAUUGGAGAAGAGUAUUACGUUCAAGGAGAAUGUCCUCCAAAGUUUGGAUUGAAGUAGAGCCCUUAGCAUAAUGAGGAAUAGUUGGAGGCAAUCGGCCAAAUAAAGCUUGAUAGGGAGACAUCUUCAAGCCACUGUGGAAAUGAGAAUUAUAACUAAAUUCUGCCCAACUCAGUAAGGAAACCCACUUCCGUGGUUUGUCUUGAGUGAAAGCUCGUAAAUAUUGCUCCAAUCCUCAAUUUACCACUUCCGUUUGACCAUCCGUUUGAGGGUGGUAUGCCGUGCUAUGACGAAGAGUUGUGCCACUUAAGAGGAAUAAUUGUUUUCAAAAAUUGCUCAAGAACACUGGGUCUCGAUCGGAGAUAAUUGAACUUGGAAAACCAUGUAUUUUAAUGACCAUGUCCACAAAGAGUUCAGCUGUCUUGAGGGCAGUAAAUUGACAGGGUAACGGACCAAAAUGGGCAAAUUUUGUAAGACGAUUGACAACAACCAAUAUGACCGAGAAACCUUGUGCUAACGAAAGACCUAUAACGAAAUCCAUUGUGACCUCAUCCCAAACCAUAUUAGGUAUCGGCAAUGGUUGAAGAAGACCAGCAGGGGCUUGAGUGGAAUACUUAGUUUGCUGGCAUAUUAAACACUCUCGGAUAAACGUUUCCACAUCAUGACGCAUCUUGGGCCAAUAGAAUGUUGAAGAUAAUCUGAUUAAGGUUCUAGUGACACCCACAUGACCUGCCAGUGGUGUAGAGUGAAAUUCUUGCAAUAGUACGACUUUUAAAGAGGAGGUAGGACUGAUGUAAUAACGCUGACGGUGGAGAAGAAAUCCGUUUUGAACAGAGAAGUCAACUGACAGUUUGCCUUGUAAAAGUUGCUGGUGAAGUGAUAUUAAAUCAGGUAAUGUGGUAUUCUCAUUAAGUAAUGACUGCAGCAAUUCAAAUGAAGGAUGGCUGUUGAAAGAAAGGCAAGUGGGGGAGAUGUUGAUGUUAUCCUCAGGAGCUGUUUCAUGGACACGGGAUAGAGCAUCAGCGGCGCUAUUGGUACAACAUGGUCUGUACUCAAUUCUGAAUUGGAAACCCAAUAAUUUGCGGAGAUAAACUUGCUGAUCUAGUGUUUGUAUCACUUGUUGAAGGAGUUCUUUGAUACUCUUAUGAUCCGUGCGGAUAACAAAGAAUCGGCCCAACAAAUACUGCCGCCACUUAUACACAGCUUCUACAAUUGCAUGCAACUCCUUGAUGUAAGUGGAAGAAGCCCGCAAUUUGGGACCCAACUUCUUGCUGAAAUAAGCAAUUAAAUGCCCAUGUUGUGUAAGUACAGCUCCUAUGCCUACAUUAGAAGCAUCGGUCUCAAUGACGAAUUCGAAAGUAAAAUUCGGCAACUUAAGGACUGGAGCUUGCACCAUUGCUUGUUUAAGAGCUUCAAAGGCCUCCAUGGCUGUCAAAUUCCAUUGAAAGGCAUCAUUUCGCAGCAAAUCAGUGAGUGGGGCUGCCAAGGAAGCAUAACCACGGAUGAAGCGCCUAUAAUAUCCAGUGAGACCAAGAAAACCCCUCAACUGUUUGAUAGAACGUGGAAUUGGCCAAUUAAGCAUGGCAUCAAUCUUUUGGGGGUCGGCUUGUACUCCCGAGGCUGAAACAAUACGGCUUAGAUACUCAAUAGCGGCUUGGCAAAACAAACAUUUGGAUAAUUUAAUAAAAAAUUGAUGAAGAUGUAAACAAGCUAAUACUUUCUCAAGAUGAAGCAAAUGCUCGGCCAUGGAGGAGCUAUAAACCAAGAUAUCAUAAAAAAAAACGAUCACAAAUUUCCGGAGAUGAGCUGCAAAAAUCUGAUUCAUUGUGGCUUGAAAAGUGGAUGGGGCAUUUGUCAACCCAAACGGCAUGACAAGAAACUCAUAAUGGCCCUCAUGUGUUCAAAAUGUCGUUUUGUAUAUGUCGCGGUUGUGGACACGAAUUUGAUGGUAUCCCGCGCGCAAAUCCAAUUUGCUAAAAAUGGUGGCGCCCCCAAGUUCAUCAAACAACUCAUCGAUUGUCGGUAUAGGAAAUUUGUCUUUGAUGGUUACGGCAUUUAAUGCACGAUAGUCAACACAAAACCGAUAGGUGCCAUCUUUUUUCUUGACCAAGAGAACCGGGGAGGAAAAAGGGCUUUAGUUCGGUCGGAUUAUGCCCUACUCUGACAUUUCCCUGAUCAGUUUUUCCAUUUCAGAUUUCUGGAAGUGUGGGUAGCGGUAUGGACGAACAUUGACGGGGGCUGUGUUGGGUAAUAAAUGGAUUUUGUGGUCAAUAGUUCUGUGCGGUGGUAGGCUAGAAGGUUGGAGAAAUAGGUGUUUGUAUUGCUGUAAAAGGUUGAGAAAUUGAGCAGGAAGGGAAAAAGGAAAUUCAAGUGAGGAAGUGUCUGUGAUGGAAAAUGAAGGCAAAGCAUCGAUAGCGGGCACUGGUUGUAAGGCACAAAGGCUGGUCACGGUAUCACUUUGAACCAAUACCUGCAAUUGAUUAUAAGUGAUCAAAUUAUUAGAAGACAAAUCACCAUGAAGCAUCACUGGUUGCUCAUUUAAAGAAAACUCCAUAGGACACUUUGCCCAAUUUCUGUAGCCAUUGAAUGCCAAGGACCACAUAUGUGCCCUCAAUUGGCAAAAUGAAGAGGUCUACCAUAAAAGCCGUGCCUUGCAUUGUUAAGUUCACUUGAGGACAGAACUGUUUACACACCAGGAAGUCACCGUUGCCAAUAUACACUCGGAAAUUGGUAGUUGGAUGAAUGGCUAACCCCAAUCGUUCCGCUAACGCCGGUUUUAUGAAAUUGUGAGUGUUGCCACUAUCAAUCAGCACUUGAAAGGUGUGCGAAUCAAUUUCUCCAAUUAAACGAAGAGAGCGAGGAUUGGCCUGCCCUGCUAGAGCAUUUAAGCUAGAGAUGUCACCAGUAAUACCAGCAUCUACCAAUUCUGAUGGUUCCUCGUUAUUUUUGGGUUCCAAUUCUUCAUCAUCCGUGCCCAUGAGAAGUAGAAAUUUACUGCGACAGAGAUGAUUGUUGCUGUAUUUUUUGUCACAAUUGUAACAUAAACCCUUCUCGCGUUUGUCGCAAAGUUCAGCCGAAGACAAACGGCGAAUUGGUAAUGUUGGUGUCGAUAAUAAUGCAGGUAAAGUGUUUGAUUUAUUGGUAUUGUGGGUUUGUGAGGGAAGAGUUGAAGAUGAUACGGGGGUGAUGGCUGUGGUAACAGUUGCAAGUGAUGAGGAUGGAUAAAUGGGUUUGGGUUGUGUUUGGAAACCAUGUGAAAGGGGAUAUGGUUGCUGCCAUUUAGGCCAUGAGCGUGAGCUCUGUUUCACUUCGUCAUAUUUGGCCUCAAAAGCACGAGCUAAAGUUUCCAUUAGUGAAGACGGUCUAGAGAAAAGCAAUUCCCGUCGAAUGUUGGGUUUCAGACCAGUGAUGAAAAAACUAAUCAAAAGAAGUUCAGAAAUUCCAGUGACCUUGUUCAUUAAAUCUUCAAAAGCUGACUGGAAAUCUGCAACCGUGGUAGUUUGACUCAAUUUGGACAAAUCACCUUGGGGAUCUUCACACAAAGAAGCACCAAAACGAUAGCGCAAGUUAGCUAAAAAUUCUUGCCAAGUAGUGAGCAAGUGAUUGUUCUUUAUCCAUUGAUACCACGCUGCAGCGCGACCCUCCAUAUGAAAAGAGACAAUCCGUAGUCGGAGGAUCUCAGGUGUGUCAUGAAAGUCAAAAAAUUCUUCUAUUCGAAAAAUCCAUCCAUUUGGGUCAGACCCAUCGAAUUUGGGCACAUCCAUUUUCAUGGAACAAAGUACUGGAGAAACUUUAGAACCAGUAAGAACGCCAUCAUAUUUAGAAGAUGAAGGGUGUGAAGGGUUGGAGGAACCAACUGGUUUGUUGGAAGACCCAUGAAUUUAUGUACGUAACUCCUCAAAACGAGAGUCAACUGAUGUCAUGAAUUGUUGGAUUGUUUGAUGGAUGGACAGUUGCUACCCAUCAAGUUUGGCGUCAAAAGUUGCUUGAAGGGUCUGUAAAGCAUAAAGAAUUUCAGAAUUUGCCAUGAUCAAUGAAAGCACCAGUGAUACGCUCUUAAUUCGUGAAACUGAGCAAUAUCAAAAUUAUCACUACUUCGAGCGAGUGUUUGCUCCAGAGGAAAGAACUGGAAGUUGAGAAAUGAAAAAGAAGAAAAGAAGAAGAGUCACAGAGAGGAAGAAAAGUGGUCCAUUCAUUUCUUGCCUUCCCAAAAUGACAAAAUCCCGCAAUAUAUAACAGACAAUAAAAAAUAACCAAUUUGACAACGCAACAGAAAAUGACAAAAAAGAAUCCAAAACAAACGCAGCCAAUCACAAUGCUUUUACAGAUCAUCCUAAACGACGUAGUCUCGUAGCCAGUCUGGAAGUUUCUUGUUUCGUUUGGGCCGUUGAUUCUCUUGCACUGGCUCAUGGUGAAUGUCCUCCUUGGGUUGACUGACUGUGGGUUCUUGGUUGAGCUCUUCCACUUGCGCCCCCUCUGAUGGCUCUAAUUUGAUAUAUAAAUUCGUAUCACAUACAUGCGGUUAAUUUUUUAAGAUAAAGGGGAAGGAUGAUGCUCAAAAAUAUAAAUUAUAGAAUUAAUUGAACUCUCAAAUAAGUUUAAAGUUCAUUAUUUUUAAUUACAUGUUUAUAAUUUAUUUUUAUUUCGUAUUAAUCUAUAGAUCUAAAUCCACUUUGGAUUCAUAUACACAUAUAGACAUAAUGUGUAUGUUAAUCUAUAGGUCUAAAUUCACUUUAGGUCUAUAUAGGUAUUUUGACAAAUGUACUCCAAUCAUGCAUAUUGGCAAGUUCAAAUUCAAUUUGGAAUAUGGUCAUGGUACGUUCUUGUUCUUCCCUCUUUACGAGUGCAUUCCCCCCAACCUCAAGCUCCCUCUCUCGUCUUCAAUGUCACUGCUUAUAUCCUUAUGUUGUUCUAGUUUGAAACAGUGGCUUCCACUAUUUCAGGGCCCCCAAAAAUCCAGAAACAUACUAUUCAUCACGAUGACAAAAUUUUGGGCAGGCAGGUGCUUCCUGACUUUCACACGGUAAUUCUCAAAUUCUGAUUUCACCAUAUUUUAAUUACUGAUUAUGCUCUCCAUUAUAAUAGAAGUCGCCGCCACACUAGUGAUUCCAAACUUUAUCUUUUUUCCUUUUUUAAAUUAAUGCAAGUAGCCGCUGUCCUUUUUAUUAAUUAAUUAAUUCGGCCGCCCACAUUUCUUUUUCUAAUGUCUUCUACUGUCGAGUUUAUUUUAUUUUCCCUUUAUUCUUAAAAUAUACUUAUAAUAAUAAAAUAUAAAAAUAAAAAUAAAAAUUAACAUAUCAAAAUAUAAUUUAACAGAAAAUUAAGAUGAAAAAUAAAAAAAAAUAAAUUCUGAACAUAUCAAUCAAUAAAUGAAAAAUAAUAAUUUUUAUUUUUAUUAAAUAUAUUUUUUUCAGUAUUAAUCAAUUAUCUGAAUAACUAAAAUCAUUUAAAAAUAAAUAAACAAAUUAUUCUUUAUAAAAAAAAAAAACUUUUUAUAACACUCACUAUGCUGGUUGUAGGGUAGACGCUUUGGGGACUGAAGUUGGUAACUUCUACAAGUAGUCUUAAGUUGAUAACUUCUACAAGUAGUCUUAAGUUGACUGGCAAAUGUUCUCAGUAUUAUAUUGGUGUGUCGAUAUUAUCUCUAACUGCCUUAUAGAUAAAAAAAUAAUCUAAAUUUAAAAUUUAACAUAAAAUAAAAUAAUUGGUAGAAAAACAAUUAUGGUUCAUUUACUUAUCAGUAAUCAGAAUAGACUGAAAUCGAAAUGAGUUGUAUUACCGUUGAUGUGUUUAUGUUGUCCUCGAAUCGGAAUGAAUUAUUUUAAGUUACUAAAAUAUCCUUGGUUUGUUAUUCUAAUUAUUAUUAUUUAAUAUUUAUUAUAAUAUUUGUCAUAUCAUUAAAAAGAAAUAAUAAUGAUGAUAAUAUUAUCAUUAUUGUUUGUUACAUUAUUAUUAUUCAAAAAAAUUAUUGUUAAUAACAAUAAUUACUUUAUUUCAAUACUAAUAAUGAUAAAAUUAAUAAUAACAAACAACAAUAAUUAUUUAUUAUGCCAAAAAUAACAAUAAUAAUAAUCAUCAUCAUUUUUUUUCCCAAAGAAGCAUUAUCAUCAUUUCAAAAAAAAUAUCAUCAUUAUCAUCAUCAUUUUUGUAGUGGCUGCCUAUCGGCUGUUGCUUUCAUGUGAGAUUGACUUGCGACGCUUCAACGGCUAUUAUUUCUGGCAAUGUCAGGUGUUACUGUUUCAAUUUAGGAAGAAGCUGUUUCGUUGUGCUAACGAUGGGAGAUGUUGUGGCUGCGAUUCGGGGAGCUACUAGUUUAUUGCACUAAUGACGGCAGGUGCUGCUGCUUGAUGCGAGGUCCAUGGCCAGUUGUCAGCAGUUCGACUUUGGUAUGGGUGCUGCUGGUUCGAUUUUAGGUGUUGUCCAAUUUCAUUUUCAGGAUUUUAAUUUUAUUUUUCUUUUAUAUUUUCAUUAAUUAAUCAGGACAAAGUUGGAUUUUAGAAUUUGGAAUGAAGGUAAUUUUGUUAAUCAUGGAAAUGAGAUUCUGAUUGUCGAGAAUGAGCUUACACAAACAACUACAAAUUAAGUGAAAACAAAACGCUUUUUCUCUUUGUGUGAUUAAAACAUGAUAUGUACCAUAAAUAAAUAGGUAAAAAAUAAAUUAAUACAAUCCAAAACAGUAAACUAAUUACAAGAGGCACAAAUUUUUAUGUGAAAUACCAAAAAUAGAAAAAACCACAGCAUCUUAGUAUGAGAUAAUCUUCUACUAUAUUAAUGAGAUUAUAGCACAAAUUCUUCCUUAUAUAACACUAGAGGUUAACAACAUCAAGAAUUUCAAUAAUCUUGACUUACAAUACAGCCUAAUAUUUGUCUCUCUAAUAAGUAGAUAUCUAAAAUAACAGUCUCUAAUAAAUAAGUAUCUCAAAUAACAGUCUCUAAUAAGUAUCUCAAAUAAUAAUUUCUAAUAAGUAUGUAUCUCAAAUAAUAGUUAACAAGAGGAUAAAACAAAAAUUAAGAUUAGUAGGAUUGUAUAAGGCGAUGCUAUCAACUUAUCUUCUAAAUUUGAGAAAAAUAGUUAAAUUCACUUUUUCGAUUGUGACCAAAGAUGGAAACCUUUGCCCCAAAACCAAAGGAAUCACCAUUUCUCUCUCUCUCUCUCUCUCUCUCUCUCUCUCUCUCUCUCUCUCUAUCUCUCUCUCUCUCUCUCUCUUCUUCUACUUUUCUUAAUGUUAGCCGCCACUCGCUUUUAUUCUUUAUAGCAUUUAAAAAGCUACUUUUAAUGGUAAAUUUCAUUUAAGUCCAAAACUUAGUGAUAAUUGUACACCAAACAAUUCUUUUUGGACUAUGAGCUUUUGGGCCUCCAAAUGAGAUGAAUACAACAAAUCUCCCCCUUUAGAUCAUGUGGGGGGCACCACAAGCCUGCUCUCUGCAUAUAGUUUUUCAACUUCUCCUUGAAUAAUGACUUUGUCAUCAUACAUAACCCAUUCUCUGUUGUGUAAAUUUUCUCAAGCUGUAGCUGUUGCUUCUCAAGCACGUCUCGUAUCUAAUGAUAUCUCACAUCAAUAUGCUUAGAUUUCGAAUGGUUUAUCAAAUUCUUUGAACGGCACUCUGACUGUCGCAGUACAUAACAUAGCUGUCUCGUUUUACACCCAGCUCUUAUAGGAAAUUCAUUAUCCAUAAUAUUUUUUUGCAACCUUCAAUAAUUGUUAUAUCAUUUGCUUUAGUGGUAGAAAACGUAACUUAUUACUAAAGUUUAGAUUGCAAUGAGACUUCUCCCCCUGCAAAAGUGAGCAAACAUCCUAGAAGGAAUUUUUCGGAAUCAACAUCUUCUGCCAUAUCUACACACUUGUAACACAGGUUUGUCACCACUAAAAUAUAAACAUGCUCUGGAAAUGCCUCUAAGAUAUCUGAGAAUUUUUCAUUGUUGUCCAAUGCUCUUUUAUAAUAAAUACAAACAUAAUGAAUUUAUAAAACAUUUAGAGUAUUUUGAAUAUUAUAUAAAAUAAUUUUAAUAUAAUGCAUGAGAUAUAUUUUAUUAAUUUAAAAUGCUAUUUAAUCUAAAGAUUUAUUUAAGAUAAAUUAAUAAUUAAAUUUUUUUAAUUAUUUCAAAUAUUAAAAAUUUGUAAUAUUAUUAGUCUAUUAGAUAGAUUAAAUUAUUUAUUUUAUUUUGUAUUUAUUAAAAAAUUUUAAAGUCAAUAUUUUUAAUUACUAUUCGAAGGAUAUAAUGAUUAAAAAAAUCUUAAUAUUUUUUAUUAAAAAUUUAAAAAUUUACAUGACCAUUUCUAUAAAUAUUUAGGGUAUAUAUGAGCCACGGUGGAGAAGAUUUAUUUAAUAUUAUUGAUUUAAAUAAUAUCUAAUUAAAAAUAUACUGAGAAAAAAUUUCGGUGGGUAUUUUAGUCUUUUCAGCAAUCACAUGAUUAGCCUUUGGGCUUUGGCCUUGAAACGUCGGUCAGAAAAGUUUUAAACUGCUUAAUUGUUUUUCACUUUUAACGUUAGUGGCUGCUUAUAUUUUAGGAAAAUGAGAUUCUCACCACAGUGAGAACCACACUGAGCACAGAACGGUGCGUUUUGUGCUCAGUAUAAAUUCUAACUGUAGCGGAAAUAUCGCAACACAAACGCGCCAUUCCAAACCCACGCGCGUUCUCCCUCACGCCAGCAAAUCUCACCACGCUUCCUCCUCACUGUAAGCGCCCCCCCUCCCCGGGGGCGGUCGGCUGCGUCACGCUCCCUCACGGCGCCUCACUCUCUCGGCUCUCUUAGAAAAUUGAAUUGCGGCUUCCGCCGUGGGGUUCUCUCCUCAACUGCCGUUGUCUCGUCUCUGACAGCUGCCUUAAUCAAAUUCUGAAGGUAGUUUGCUUCAAUUCAUUACAUUAAUUUCAAAUUUGGUUUGUGUGGGAUUAUGAGUUUGUGAAGAUUUAGUUCUGUUUCAUGGUAAACUAUUUUUUGCUCAGUGUGUUGAGAAUAUCAGCACGGUUUAAAAUUCUUUUUAGAUUCUGUCGUAAAGUUUUCUUUGUAUUGGGCAAGUCAGUUACUUUAGUUUUGUGUCUGAAAACAAAAACACUUAGCUUAGUGAGUUUUAAGAGAUUUUGCUAUUUUGUUCAACGAAGCUUAAAAAGGGGAAGCUUUUAUGGCGUCUGUGAGCCGAGGCAAUUUGGAUCGGGUGCUUUUUCAGUUCAUUUGUUUGUUUCUUAUUUGGGUUCUUUAUUGUUAGAUGUUCUUUUGAGAUUCUGGCAUCUGGCAUCUGGCUACUUGCUUUUGUGGAGUUUUUUUAUUAUUUGAAUUCUGUGAAUUCUUUGUUUUCUUUCCCAAAUGAUUCCACUCUAUAAAAUAUAUAUUGUGCUUGGCUAGAAUUUUCUUUUAGAUAAUUGCAUCCUGUACAUUGGCUUAACCUGUCAAGAAUGAGAAUGAUGGAAGAUGCCUAUCUUGGAAAGAAUAUAUUGAGUUACAUAGUACCGGUUCCAAAUGAAUAAAUUGGAACUUGCCUAAAACAGGCACCAAUCCACCAUGACACCAAGCCUUUUUAAAAUUUUUUUUUUUUUAAGUUUAAAGAAACUUAUGUUGCUUCUUUAGAUCUGUUUUAGCUUAUGAUGAAUUUUGCUAAUGGUAAAAUCCCUCCCCUUCAAAGUUGGGGGAGGGGAAGCAUCUAUAUGCAUAUGUGUACAUUAUGGAGCUCGAACUACAUGUCGCAGUAAUACAUUAUUCUCUUUGCUUUGCAGGUUUUGAUCAACAUGAGUGAUUGGGAUGUAGGUCUGUGCUUGAGAGGCCGGAGUGAUGACCAGAAUUCUGUCAACCAGACCAAAGACAAUCAACUGAUGAAGUGUUGUUGUUCUCUAUAUUGAUUGUUGGAAAUUAUGUGUUAUUUCCAGAUUUUUAGAAAAUUAUGAUUGCUGGAAAUAAUUAUAUAUGUACAAUCAUUAUGUCCUCCAGCACAAGUGAAUUUCCAAACCCACAACUGAAAGCUUGCGAAAAAUUUGUAGAAAAUUUGUACAUCAAAUCCACAAGCUAAGUGUUGUAUCAGAAUAUGAAUGACAAUAAAACAAAAAUCUGUGUUCUUCAUUCUUAAAAUACUAAUACAAUACAAGUACAUUCUUAUUCUGAGAAAUAACUACCUAUUAACUCCAUAUUCAUUAUCUUGUUGAAAGAGUAGCUGCUGAAAAUGUCCAUGUCGCUGAGCUUGUAUGUGCUAUUAAAAAAAAAUUAAACAUCUUGUUGUCAUCCGAAAAAAUAAAGAAGGCAAGAUGAACAAAUAAAAAACUUAUCACUACUUACGGUGCAAGAAUUUUAUGUAGAUAUUGAAUAAACAUUAUCCUCAAUUAUUUGUCACAAUAAUUUAUAUUCAAUUCAUGGUGUGUUGCAGCAAGCUUCCAUUGUUUAACUAAAUGACAGCUGAAUCUUUACAACUAAUUAUCUUUACAAUCAAAUUUGGAAUUAAUUAAGCAAAUUACCGCUAGAAAUCGACGAGUGAAGCUAAGAGAGUGAGGCUGCAAGUCGAAUUUUUGAGACAGCCGAGAGAGUGAGGCGCUGUGAGAGAUGCAAUGGACGGGCGAGAGAGAGACGAAGCCGAUGGUGAUUGCUGCAUUGGUAGGAUUGAGGGAGAGAGCGAAAGAGCCAGAGCGUGCGUGCUUGUUCUGCCAGAGAGCGCGUAUGUUUUUUCUCAAUGCGCGUGUUGCGUAAUUAUCCAUCUACAGUGACCAUUUUAUAGUUAUCUUGAAACGCACCGUUCGGUGCUAUAUGUGGGGCUGAAUGUUGUGAGCAUAUCGGUGCUGUAUAUUUUAUUAAAAAUUAAUGCUAACAAGAAAAAACCCCUCAAUGAAUGAGGGUGAGAUUGCUAAAAAUUACGACAGGUGAUAUUUUAUUAUUAUUAUUAUUAUUGGGGGAGAAAUCCUCACCAAAGUGAGGAGAUUUUAUCAAAAUCAAAAUAAAAAUAUAACAAGAACUGAAAGUUGGGCAGCCUAAAAGCUAGAUAAACUAAAAUUCAGGCGCCUAAAAACAACCUUAUGCAAAAGAGAAGCAACAUGAGACCGAUCAAGUAAAAGAAUCCACCGCAACACCUAAAUUGGCCAAAUUAUCUGUUGGUAUUACAAGUUUCUUGUUAUAAAAGUGUAGAAUGAAGAAGGUGACGUAGUUUUAAGUUACAGCUGCAUGCCCGAUCGCAAUAUCAAAUAAUGAUUAAAUAUCAAAUAAUACUUAAAAUAGUUGCCUAGACCCGCCACAAUUUAUAUUAACUCUUAAAUUUAUAAAUAAUUAAAUUUUUAAAAGUUCGGAUUUAUAUUAAAAAAUCUUCAUAUAAAUAAAUAAUAUAUGCACUUUUACAACACAGUCUUUAAAUUUAAAUUUUUCUAGAAAAAUCUUCUGUAUAUCUUUUCUAUUAAAAAAUUUCCAUAUAAAUAAAUAAUAUACCUAAUUUAAUUGGACCCAGCGCAACGCAUAUGCAUAGAACACAUUCCGAAAAGCCAUGAUAUUCGGAAAUUGACGAAUGAAAAGUGAGGAGGCAGCAGUCAAUGCUAUUUCGGCUUGGCCCAAAAUUGAUUUAUCAGUUUGACGUGUGCCAGGAAUGAAGAACUGGAAUAUCACCAUCAAGCAAGCAACCUGCGGAGCAAUACCAUAGAAUGCACAAUCCGGCUUUGCAAGGUGACACUGGAGGCUUUUUGAAAAGUGCUUCACGCUCACUUGACAGAUUGAGCAUCCCCUCUGGAUAUUGCCCUCUCUGAUCGAAUCUGAGCACUCAAAUUUCGGUCCUCAGAUGGAGCUACAGCUUUCUCUCCAAUAACCAACAAUUUUCUAAACUCAGCACCUAGUGUGAUCAGAGUUGUUGAUAUUUGUAAAUGGAGAUCCCCGUAUUUGCAAAUGGAGACAUUUACCAAAUCACCAACAUGCUUCAUCCAGUCUACGAAAUUCUGCAGCUGAUUCAAAUCCGGAACCUGAACAAGAGUCGGAGGUAAAUCUUGAGCCAUAUCUAAAGCAGUCUGAAGUUCAAGUACUUGAGCCCUUGACAAUGGUUUUGAAAUUGGAACAUCUUGGAUUACUGCAGACUUGUGCCCCUUGGUUUCAAAGGUAAGGAAAGGCAUUGCUUGAGUACAAUUUGGAGGCAGCUUCUUCACCAAUUUUAUUUGGAGGCGAUUGGCAGCGGAUCCAGCUGCACCAAUUUCAGAGCAAAUACUGACACUACUUCGAACAGCACACUGAAGAAGUGAUAUGUCUACGGCAAAGGCAAUGCAGUCCUCAUUUUGGCUUGAGAUGCAGUAAUCAUCGAAGAGAGUUUCCUUGUGAAACUGGGCAACACAUUGAAUCCCUUCGCCACUGAGAAGGUUGCGGAGGAAGUAAGCUUUCUCUCUAGUGAGGAAGAGGUGGCAUACCUUCCCCAUGUCUAGGGCAGGUAGGAAUCUUUUUUCUAAGAGAUUUACUUCAUUCUCUGUGAGAAAUGCUUUGAACUUCAUCCCUCUGUCUCUAUCCUCACUUAUCAGUAAAAUAGUUGAAAGUGCUACAAGGAGAGAAAAGAAGAGUAUUAAGAUAUAUAUAGACAAGAAAAACAUUAGAUGUCGAUCUUACAAGCUAAUACUUCAAACAGUAUCCUAGAAAGCUAAAAACUGCAAAAUGGCUUGACAUUUGAAAAGAACACAUGCUUUUCCUCCUUAACUUGAGAAAAUGUUUAAUAUAGUGCACCUUACAGAAACAUUUAAGCAAUUAGAACUUUGCACAAAAAUAUUCAAGAAGACUAAACAAAUCAGAUGCAGUGUAUUUCUCCAAGCACAAAUGGCAUUGCAUUUUUUCCUCAACUGUAAUAUUUAUUGAUGAAAAUCAGUACAGGUCCCUCAUUUGUUAUGGAAAGCUUUCUUGUAGUCUGACUGGUUAAUUCACGGAUCUAUAAUUAUCUUGCAAAGUUACAGGCAUUUCUUUCGAUUUAAAGUCUUUGCAUCACCACCUCAUCACACACCUAGCCAAUAUUCCGUCUACUUCUACAACAAAAAGUUUUAAGUAAACGAUCCUAAUGCAUGCAGCCAAAUAAAAUGCAGUAAGAAUAUUCAACUUAAAACUCUGAAAGCCAUCUUGGUGAAUUGCCUCCUUAGGGGAAGUUCCAUGAUUUACUAUACUUGACAGGACUGAGCAAAAGCUUACAUACAACAGAUUUUGAAAAUGAUGAUGCCAAUAGAUACUCAUACAAUCCAUUGAAACUCCUAAGGUCCAUUGUUCACAGAGGUUUACAGAGUUUUGGUUAUCAAAUAGCUCAGACCUUAAUCCCAAACAAAAAACGAGUGAAAAUUAGAUCACCAGCAGCAAAUUGUAAAUUCUAACUUAACUCUUCAUCUCCUUUGUAAACAGGAGACAAAAUGGAGACACGCAAAAUGAAUAAGGAGAACAUUUGAACUCAAAUGAAAUGAGGGCACGAAAGCAAACAAAUGGCAUGCGCAAACAAACCAAGCCUCAAUCAAAAACUAAUUAACCAUUAAAAAACAAAACUGGUCAGCUUCUGGUGUUCUCAAAUUGUAUAACAAGAGAUCGACACAUCGAAUCAGAAGAACUCAAUUCAAAUUUGUCUCAAAAAUCAAAAUUAGAAGAUUUCACAUUUCGAGAGGAACAAGCGACAGGUCAGAUGCAAAAUUUUCAGCCAUAACAUGCCACAAUUAACGGUUUAUUUCCAUGGAUUUAGAGAGCUGACUGACCUUUUGGCUUUUGGAAUUGAGAAGAUCGCGCGCCAAAAUGGAAGAGGGAAAGCGAAAGUGCGGGUUUUAAUAGGGUAUUGGAUUAGCAAAUUUUAUUAGUUUGCGAGGGUAAAAUAGGAAAGUGAUAUCACUAUUAACCUUUUUUUUAAUAAGAAAAAAGAAUAAUAAAGAAUAUUUUAUUGUCAUUUGCAGCAUUUAUUUUUUUUAAAUGCUAUUAGAAAAAUACGACAACAAAGAAAUGCUCUUUUUUUUUUUUUUUUUUUUCUCGAAGGUAAAAUCAAUUAUUUAGCUCCUUAUAUGUAAUCAAACUACAUUUCUUACUUUAAGUCAUAUCCAACGGACCAACAAAGUAAUUAUUUUUUUUUUCAUUCAUUUUUGCAGAAAAUUAAUAACUUAAAAAUAUUGAAAGCUAUUGUAAAAUUUUUUAUUAUCAACCUCAUAGUUUUAUUUUUUGGGAAGAAUUGAAUUUUUUUUUUUAAUUUCCAAGAAUUUCAUUCUCUAGUUUUUCCAUUAAUAUUACUUAUCUUGAUACCCAUCUUAAUUAAAAUCUGUAGUUUUAUUCAAGAGUCAUGCUAUUCAUUCACUCACAGACCAAAGGCUUUCCGCAGCAAUAUUAUUAUUUAAAUUACAACAAAGGGGAAAUCAAAUACGUCAUACAGAAGCUUAAAGCUGAAUCUACAAAAUCUAGAGCUCUCAACUACAUAAAUUACACUUGAUGAUCCUCUACAAGAUGAAGCUUGUUCAAUAUCUCAUCCAAAGCUUGUAAAGUAACAUUAUAACGAUCUUGAGAUUGCCUGCCUUCCUCGACGACCUGCACGAUGCGUUUGUACAAAUCAUCAUACCUGUGCACCGGAUUUUUAAUAUCAAUGCCACUGCAGCUGUGAUCAAGAACAUAAGAGCGUUUAACAUCUUUUCUCCAUCAAGAAAGAAUGUAGUGAGAUGGGAUCUCCUGCAUGCCACUCUGGUUUAGAACACAAAGAAUGUGUCUGCAUAAAUAUCCUCUGAAAUUGAACAACCCACAAACACAAAGCACCUCCAAGUCGGAGGCAUUGUACAAAACAUCGAAAAUAGUUAUGUUUUACAAUCUAUUAGACAUAUUUUAUUAAAUUAAUAUAAAUUUUCUAUAAAAUAAGAAUAUAAUAUUAAAAUAAAUUCACAAAAAAUUAAAGAAUUUUGAAUGUAAAAUAAUUUUAAUAGAUUAAUACGUGAGUUUUUUUAUUAAUAUAAAAAUUAUUUAACUUUAAGAUUUUUUAAAAUCUUUACAAUAAGUAUGACUAUAUUAUUUACAUUUAAAAAUAUUUAAAUAUUAUUAACCUACAAUUAUAUUUGCAUUUGUUAGAAUUUUUUAAGUCAAAUAUUUUGCACUUCUAUAUUAUUAGAAUUAUUGCACACAAAGAAAGAAACAUAUACCUUUAGAAAUUGUUUUCUUUUAAAAUAGAGAUGAUGAUUAGUAUAAGGAUGAAAAAAAUGAUAAAGAAUAUUAAUGAUUAACGAAAUCUCUAUACAAAUUGAUUUUAGUAGGAAAAGAGUGAGAUGAAUGAUUUCUUUUACGGUUAGAAACAUAGAUGAUGAUUAUUAUAACGAAGAAAAAAAGAUAAAGAAUAUUAAUUAUUAAUGGAAUCUCUAUGCAAAUUGAUUUUAGUAGGAAAAAAAAUGAGUUAAAUGAUUUAGAGUGCGUUUGGAAUUGAGAUUGGGCAGCCAUAGAUUUUAAGUUACAAUACUGAAGUGUUUGAUAAAUACUAGCUGCUGCAGAUUGAAAGUUAUAUUGAUAUGAUUUUUCACAUGUAUCAUAGAAAAUAUAUUACAUCUUUAAUAAUUUUUUUAAAAUUUAUAUUUGCUAUAUAUUAUUAAUUUUUUUUUAUAGUUAUAACUUUUUUUCCACAGCAGUUGUAGCUUAAAAGUCACAGCAUCUCAAUCUCAAACAAAUCCUUAGACAUUCAUAGUGUGUUUAUUUUUUGGAUUGGUGAAUCAAAAUUAUUGACAACGCUAACUUCAUCUUCAUUGUUCGCAAUCCAACAGCAGCAGCAAUUGUCACCAAUAAUGAUAUCUCCAAUGAUGAUGACAAUUAUUAUUAUUAUUAUUAUUAUUAUUAAUUUAUUAAUUAAUAUAUUAAUGUUAAUAAUAUUAUUAUUAAGAUUAACAAUAAUUAGUAGUAAUACAAUUUUUUGAAUAAAAAUAAUCACAAUAAUUAAAAUACAAAUUAAUAAUUAUGACAAUAGUUAAUUAAUGUCUUUUUAGUAAUUUGUAAUAAUCUAACUCAUUUUGAUUCUGAUUAUUACAGCUUAAGUAAACAAAUUAUUAUGAUUCCUAUUUUCCUUUCCUAUUUUAACUCACUUCGAUUCCAAUCUAUUCCAAUUUCUAUCUAAUAAAUGCACCAUUAGUGCUAAAGUAAUAUUUCAUACAUAGAAAAAUAAAAACUACACCUAAGGUUAAGGGAAAGGACUUCAAAACUCUCUUUUGAUCAUAAUACAUUUUGUCCUAAUUAACUUAAAGAUUUUGAAUCUAAUAUUUUAUAAUAAAUAAAAAUAUAUUCCUAAAAUAAAUAUAAUAUCAAUAUUUAAAAUAUGUUUUAAUAUUUUACAAUCUAUCAUACACAUUUUAUUAUAUUAAAGUAGAUUUUAUAAUAAAUACAAACGUACUAUUAAAAUUAAUAUAUAAAAAAUUUAGAAAAUUUAGAAUAUUAUAUAAAAUAAUUUUAAUAUAAUGCGUGAGAUAUAUUUUAUUAAUUUAAAAUUUUAUUUUACCUAAAAAUAUGAUAAAUUAAUAAUUACAUAUUUAAAGUUAUUUCAAAUAUUAAAAAAAUUUAAUAUUAUUAGUUUUUUAGAUAGAUUAAAUUAUUUUUAUAAGAGAUAGAUUAAAUUAUUUUAAAAUACCUUAAUUGUUUUUACUUUUAACGUUACCGGCCUUUCUUUUAUUUUAUUGUAAAUUAAUGCUAACAAGAAAAAGCUAGAUCAUAUUCCACAAAAGCAAAAGUGACAAACACAAUCAGCUGGAAUCUUUUAUAAAACUACAAAUUAAAAUGGUUUUUUUUUUUUUUUGAUAAAUUACAUAUAAAAGUGGAUUCUUUUGAAUAUAAGUGGGGUAGGCUCUUUUAUUUUUUUUUAAUACUGUAUAACAAGAUUGUAGACUCCUUGAUUAAGCACAAGUAUAAAGUAGUCGAGACGAUACUUUAUGCUAGGUGUCCAUUGAAUAUUAGAUCUUCAUUUCUUUGGCCAUUUAAUUUUUUCGAGAAAUUUUUCUUACGAUCCCGGCUAAGCUUGAAGAAAAGACAACUCAACGGUUUUUUUAAAACAAGUUUCCGUUUUGGUUGGUGAAAUGAAAACGAAAUAAAGCACUUCCAUCCAAAAAUCAUUCUUCUGGAGAAAGGGAUGACAGAUUAAAGAAAAGGGGUGUACUGAAAGGAGAAAAAAGGUUCUUGCAUGAGAGCUGGACACGUUAAAAGAAGUUGAACAAAUGUCUCAAAAAGAAGCUAUUUCGCUUUCAUACUAAAGCCUAUUUGUAAUAGCAUCAGCAAUGCUCCACUAUCCACAUUCUUGUGCGGAUAUCAUUGCAAUCUACUAAUGGUAUAUAAACAUGCAUGUUGUCCCAUGAUGAUUAAGUUAACACACACUUGGAGGUACUUAAAUUAUGCCAUAAAGAGAUAUAGUUAUUACGCAUACAAAUGUUAUUCAAUGGUUAAAAUGUAUGAUAAAGAAAUCGCUUGAAUUUUUUAUUUGCCGUUACGUAAUUUUUUUAUUGAUUCCGAGUUUGAAUCUUAAAAGAAAUAAAGGGUUAGAAAAUUAAUUUGAACUUUGUCCACUCUUUAACUUAAUGAGUAUAAAAACAGAAAAUGCAGGUAAUUUAAUUUUGACAUCUAACAUUUAAGAGAUAGAGCUUGAAAGAGUCCAAUAUUAAAUUAUAAAAUAAUUGAAAUAAAGUUUGCCCCAUAAGAAAAAUUGAACAAAAAAUCUUAAGUAUGAUAUGAUGCUAGAGAAAUUAUUUAUCUCAAAACUUUUAUUAGGUAAUUAAGUCCUAAGAAUAUGUAAUUACACAUGUAACAAAAAUUAGAGAUGAGGGUCUUUUAUUAAACUACAAAUUGUAUAGUCUUUUUAAAAUUGUUAUAAAUUGGUGGCCCCUACAAUCCUCAAUAAUUGUGCCGAUAUUCACAAGUUGGUGGCCCCUACAAUUAUCAACUGUGCAAGUGCUCAUUCACAAUCUUCCAGGUCAUGCUCUUAAUAAUUGUUUUUUUUUUCUGCAUUCCCUUUCAUGCUCUUAAUAAUUGAAGAGCAUACUUUUCAAAUAUGGAGCCGCAGCUAAUGUCGCUAAUUUAAUUUGGGAUUAAAUUAGGGGACCAUUAUGUUGCAGUGUGCACUAAUUUUUGUGUUUAUCUAAACUCCUUAAAUUUAAGACAUAUUACGGCAUAAAUAAGAAUAUAACAAUAACAAAAGAGUUAAAAAGUGUAGAGAAGAUCUUGCAGAAAUAUAAAUAAUAUCUAUUUUAAAAUAAUAUCAAUAUUUAAAAUAAUUUUUAAUAUUUUAUGAUCCAUUAGAUAUAUUUUAUUAUAUUAAAGUAAAUUUUAUAAUAAAUAAAACAUACUAAAUUUAGAGUAUUUUAAGUAUUAUAUAAAAUAAUUUUAAUAAAAUAUGUGAGAUAUUCAUAUUUUAUUAAUUUAAAAUACCAUUUAACCUAAAGAUUUAUUUAUGAUAAAUUAAUAAUUAUAUUUUUGAAAUUACUUCAAAUAUUAAAAAAAUUAAUAUUACUAAUCUAUUAGAUAGAUUAAAUUAUAUAUAUUAUUUUCUAUUUAUUAAAAAAUUUUAAAAUUAUUUUUAAUUACUAUUCAAAAAAUAUAAUGAUAAAAAAAAAUCUUAACAUCUUUAUUAAAAAUUUAAAAAUUUUCAUGAUCAAUUCUCUAAAUAUUUAGGGUAUAUGUGAACCACGGUGGAGAAGCUUUAUUUAAUAUUAUUGAUUUAAAUAAUAUGUGACAAAACAACUAGGUGGACUACAAAUUAAAGUGGAUUCUUUUGAAUACAAGUGGGACAGACGAUUAGGCUCUUUUUAAUUUUUAUUAAAGGCAAGUAAAAAGUAGUCGAAUAGUCUUUUUCAAAUUCUUGUUUUAUUGUUUUUCAAAACUAACAAGAAAAAGCGAGAUCAUAUUCCACCCCAAAAGCAAAAGUGACAAAACAACCAGCUGUAUUCUUUUAUUAAACUACAAAUUAAAAUGGAUUCUUUUGAAUACAAGUAGGACAGACGAUUAGGCUCUUUUUAUUAAACGCAAGUAAAAAGUAGUCGAAUAGUCUUUUUCAAAUUCUUGUUUUAUUAUUUUUCAAAAUUAGUUUUUGGUAAUUACUGUUUUUCCUUCAAAAGUUAGCGGUUCAUGUUUGCAAGUGUGAAUGUGCGAUGCUCUUUUCUUAAAGGCAAUUACAGUGGGGCCCGAAUGCCUAAAUCUUUUUAAAAUUUUUGCCGUAUAACGAACAGAGGUCAUUACUAAAAUUUCUCUUCCACAGCCUACAGCAGCUUCAGUUUAUCAAACUCAAUCAAUUUUCUUUCUUAACAAAAUUCCAAAGAUGUGUAGCAUUUUUCAGAUCGCAUGCGAUGGUGCUCUUUUCAAUCGUUGCUUGGAUUGCUUUCUUGGAAAAGCAGCAUACCUUCGUAACCUCCCAGAUAAUCUUGUAGACUUGGAGACUGAACUGGGAAGACUAAUCGCAGCAAAGAACGAUGUGAUGAUGAGGGUUGUCAAUGCUGAACGGCAACAAAUGAGAAGGCUGGGCCAAGUGGAAUGGUGGGUUUCGAGGGUGGAUGCUGUUAAAACUGGAGCCGAUGAACUUAUCACAGACGGCUCUGAAGAAAUUGGCGAAUUAUGUGUUGGAGGCUACUGUUCCAAGAACUGCAGGUCAAGCUACAAGUUCGGAAAACAAGUGGCUAAAAAGCUACAAGAUGUGAAGGCUUUAAUCGCCGAGGGAGUUUUUGAGGCGGUGGCUACUGAGGUGGUGCCCGAGAGAGCUCCGGAACCUGUAGCAGAUGAAAGACCCAUUGAGCGAACAGUAGUAGGCUUGCAAUCACAACUUGAACAAGUCUGGAGAUGUCUUGUAGAAGAAUCAGUGGGAAUCAUUGGCCUAUAUGGUAUGGGCGGUGUUGGUAAAACCACACUGUUGACCCAUAUCAACAAUAAAUUUCUUGAGAGUCCCACCAACUUUGAUUGUGUGAUUUGGGUCGUAGUUUCAAAAGACCUGCGACUUGAAAAAAUUCAAGACGAUAUUGGGAAGAAGAUAGGUCUGUCUGAUGAUUCAUGGAAGAAUAAAAGUUUUGAGGAGAAAGCUGUAGACAUCCUGCGGAGUUUAGGAGAGAAGAGAUUUGUAUUGUUGUUAGAUGAUUUAUGGGAGCGGGUUGAUUUAACAAAAGUGGGCGUUCCACUUCCCGGACCACAAAAUACUACCUCAAAAGUCGUAUUCGCAACCCGUUUCAUCGAUGUUUGUGGUAGCAUGGAAGCUGACAGGAAGUUCCUAGUGGCGUGCUUAUCAGAAAAGGAUGCUUGGGAACUGUUUCGAGAAAAAGUUGGGGAAGAAACUCUUCAGAGUCAUCAUGAUAUCGUUGAGCUAGCCCAAAUUGUGGCCAAAGAGUGUGGUGGUUUGCCACUCGCACUUAUUACUAUUGGUCGAGCUAUGGCCUGCAAAAGGACAGCCGAGGAGUGGAUACACGCAGUUGAAGUGCUAAGAAGAUCAGCUUUUGAGUUUGCAGGUUUGGGAAAAGAGGUGUAUCCUCUUUUAAAGUUUAGCUAUGAUAGUUUGCAGAAUGAGACGAUUAGAUCUUGUUUCUUAUAUUGUUGUUUAUAUCCCGAAGAUUAUGGAAUUCUUAAAUGGGACUUGAUUGAUUGUUGGAUUGGUGAGGGAUUCUUAGAGGAAUCUGACAGGUUUAGUGCAGAAAACCAAGGUUACUACAUUGUGGGCACUCUUAUUCAUGCGUGUUUACUAGAAGGGAUAGAAGAUGAUAGAGUAAAAAUGCAUGACGUUGUUCGUGAUAUGGCUCUAUGGAUAGCUUGUGAAAUUGAGGAGAGGAGACACUUUUUGGUUUGUGCAGGCGCUGGAUUAGAACAGGCACCGGCUGUUAGAGAAUCGGAAAAUGUGACAAGAUUGUCAUUGAUGCAAAACCAAAUUAAAAUUCUGUCGGAGGUUCCCACAUGCCCUGAUCUCCUCACUUUAUUUCUUGACUUUAAUGAGGAGUUGGAGAUGAUCGCGGAUGGCUUCUUCCAAUUUAUGCCUUCUCUCAAAGUUUUGAAGAUUUCAAACUGCGGGAAUUUUACUUUUCAAUUACCUUUGGGGAUGUCAAAGUUGGGUUCACUAGAACUUUUUGAUAUUUCACGCACCGAAAUACAAGAGUUACCAGAAGAGUUAAAGUUGUUGGUAAAUCUGAAAUGUUUGAAUUUGAGGUGGACAAGCAAGUUAAUUAGAAUUCCACGGCAACUAAUAUCAAAUUCUUCAGGGUUACGUGUGUUGAGAAUGUUCGCUACUGGCUAUGAAUGUUUUCAUGAAGCACCAGAAGACAGCGUUUUAUUUGGUGGGGGUGAAGUUUUAGUACAGGAAUUGCUCGGUUUGAAAUAUUUAGAGGUAUUGGAGUUGACCUUGGGAAGUUAUCAGGCUCUCCAAAUCUUUUUGAGCUCAAAUAAGUUAAAAAGUUGUAUUCGAUCUCUUUUCCUCCAGUUGGCCGGAGAUACAAAGUCGAUUAUUGAUGCUGCGGCUUUCGCAGAUCUAAACCACCUCAAUGAAUUAUAUAUUUAUGAAGGUAUUGAGUUGGAAGAAUUGAAGAUUGAUUAUACAGAGAUAGUACGAAAAAGGCGGGAACCUUUUGUUUUCCGCAGCCUUCACCGUGUUACCAUAUUUAGUUGCGGUAAAUUGAAAGAUGUGACAUUCCUCGUUUUUGCUCCAAACCUCAAGUCUCUUGAGCUAUUGCAAUGCGAUGCUAUGGAAGAAAUAAUCAGCGUCGGAGAAAUUGCUGAGACUCCUGAGAUGAUGGGACACAUAAGCCCUUUUGAAAAUCUCCAAAGUCUUCAUUUAUCGUAUUUACCAAUUUUGAGGAGCAUCUACUGGAAGCCAUUGCCUUUCACUCAUCUCAAAAAAAUGGAGGUACGUAGAUGCGAUCAGCUUAGAAGGCUUCCGCUCGAUUCCAACAGUGCAACAGAGCGUAAUGUUGUUAUUCGUGGAUACACACUCUGGUGGAACCGACUUCAAUGGGAGGAUGAAGCCACUCAAAUUGCUUUUCGUUCCUGUUUCCAACCUCGUUCCUGAGCAGUGGUCGCAAAAUUUGAUUUCUGGUGAGUGCGUUUGUCUUUUAAAAAGAAGAAUUUAAAAGAAAUUUAUUCUUGUCGUUUUCUUCACUGUUUUUAUUUGAUUUCUGGUUAGUUUCUUUCUCUCUCUCUCUCUCUUUGUCUUCUGCAAAUCACAAUUAAAUGUUGAAUUAAUGGAAUUGAUGCUCUGGUUUUUUACUUUUUGUUGUCAAAUUUUGCCCUGUUCUAUCUUCUUAGCGAUUUAAUUUCCUGUCAAAAGACGAGCGAGAAGAACAUAUAUAUGACUUAAACCAAUUGAUACUUUAUUUAUGUGCAUUGUAUGUAAUAAAUAUUAAGUAUACUUUAUUUUUGCCCUGUUCUCUGUUUUUAUUUCAGUCUCUCUCUCUCUUUCCUGUCUUCUGCAAAAUAUAAUCAAUUAUUUUCAAAAUAUCAUUGAUGAUUUUUCUGCUCUAAUGCUAUGUAAAUAGUAUGUUAAGUAAAACAUAAUCAAUUAUUUGUGUUUUAUCUCUAAUUAGAACAUCAAUCAGUUCAGUACCUCACAAAUAAUUCGCAAUAUCUACAAAAUACUAUAAUGGCUACAAAACAAAUCCUGCUUGCAAAUUGUCAAGGAUACCUAUCCGUUCGCUUGACAAGUCAUUUGAAUAAAUAUUGUUCACAUUCCUUACUCUAUCAAUUAUCCAAAGCACCAUCAAUGGUCCUCAACUUUAGUUUGAAUAGUAUACAUGCCAUCACCAUUACCAAGAAUCAAGCAUGGAAGAGUCAUUCUAUAGAGUUAAUCGAAGCAAGGAAUGAUGUAUCAGAAAAUAUUUGGUGGAGAAUUCAGCACAAACAUAUUUUGGAUGAUCAGAAUCAAUAAAACCUGGUGGUUGCGCCAUAUAAACAUCUUCGGAAAGCUGACCUUGAAGAAAGGCGUUAUUGAUAUCCAAUUGACGAAGAGGCCAGCCAUGACUAACAUCAAUACUAAGAACAAGCCGUACUGUGGUGGACUUAACAACUGGACUGAAAGUGUCAUAAUAGUCCACACCAGGCCAUUGAUUGAACCCUUUGGCAACAAGAUGAGCUUUAAACCUGUCAACAGAACCGUUGGAAUGUCUUUUAAUACAAAAAUCCAUUUGCAGCCAACAAUAUUGGAAGGGAUGGGAGGUGGAACAAGCUUCCAUGUCCCGUUACGAACAAGAGCAUCAUACUCUUCUGACAUAGCUGGACGCCAGUGAAGAUUUUUGAUAGCUUGCGUCACAGUUGUAGGUUCACAAUCAGAAGAAGGGCUAAAAUGAGCACGGAGGUUAAGUUUUUGUAACGGCUUGUGAAUCUUAUUUUUAGCUCGGGUAGUCAUAUCAUGAUGACUUGUGGGGCAAUGAUCUAGUGGAGUUUAGGAAGAUGAUUGAACAGGAAGUGAAGAAGUGCUUUGUGUAGAGGUAGAAGUAGGUUGGGAGGAUUGCUGCGGAGAUGUUACCGGUAGAGAAGAAGGAGCAGUACACGGUGGCAACUCCAGAGGGCCCACAAUAGAUGGAGUAGGUGCCGACAAUGGAGUACUAGGAAAUGAAACAGGAAGAAUUGGUGGAACACUUGCGUAAUUAGGAGUGGUAGAUGAGCUUGUAAUGAUUUGUAUGGAAAAACAAACUCUACAAAUUUAACGUGACGUGAAAUAAAAAUUCAACCCGAUUGCAUAUUUAAGAACAUCUCAAAUGAAUUGCUUACUGCUAUCAUCAUCAUUAUUGUCUAUAUAAUAAUGGAUCUUUAUUAUAUAUAUGUUUCCACUAAAAUAUAUUUAAUUAUUCUUUAUUUUUCUAUUGUUGCGUGUAAGAUUUAUUUGAGUUCUAAGUUAUAUCAAUACAAAUGUUAUCUUAUCCAUAAAAAGUUAGAUCCAACAAUUAUGAAAAUUACUAUAGAGUUGCUUUCAAUUAUUUUUUUAAAAUACCAGGAGUAAAUAAUAAUUAGUUCAAAUGGUGGAGACUAAAAUGCGUUCACCUUUAUUUUUUAUCUGUUAUUUACUUUUGUCAUUACAUUAAUGCACAUGCUAUACAUUUGAGACAUUCCAUUAAUUGCCAAUUAUGUAUGUGAGAUAGUAAUUUAAAUUAAAAAAUAAAAGUGAAAGUUAAUCCUAUGCAAUGUGAAUAAAUUUCUUUCCUUUUUCCUUUACUCUUUUUAUUUGACAAUAAAGUUUCCAUCUAUCAUCUAUCAUCUAUGUACACAAAAUUUCUGCAACAAGUACAAAACAUAAAAAUAUAUGAAUAUUAAGGGAAACACGCAGAAGUUCAUCAUUUCAAUGUUCAGUAUUACCAAUUUUGGCAUUAAGCUUGUACGAAUAUAUUCUACUUCGAAAGCAAAAUAUUAGACUCGUGAUUUUAAUUCAUUCAUUAUCUCUCAUUUUAAUCCCAAAAUAUUCAAGAGUAUCCAAGUUACCAUAAGACUUCAGAGGCUCGAGCCUUAGCCAGAGAUGGUUAAUUGAUAGACUAUGUGCCUGGGUCGAGCACUGGAAGCCUGCAAUGCAGACUGAUUGAUUUAUCAGUUUAACGUGUGCCAGGAAUGAAGAACUGGAAUAUCACCGUCAAGCAAGCACCCUGUGGAGCAAUACCAAAGAAUGCACAAUCUGGCUUUGCUAGGUGACCCUGGAGGCUUUUUGAAAAGUGCUUCAUGCUCACUUGCACAGAUUGAGCAUCCCCUCUGGAUAUUGCCCUCUCUGAUCGAGUCUGAGCACUCAAAUUUCGGUCCUCAGAUGGAGCUACAGCUUUCUCUCCAAUAACCAACAAUUUUCUAAACUCAGCACCUAGUGUGAUCAGAGUUGUUGAUAUUUGCAAAUGGAGAUCCCCAUAUUUGCAAAUGGAGACAUUUAACAAAUCACCAACAUGCUUCAUCCGGUCCACGAAAUUCUGCAACUGAUUCAAAUCUGGAACCUGAACCAGAGUCGGAGGUAUAUCUUGAGCCAUAUCUAAAGCAGUUUGAAGUUCAAGACCUUGAGCCCUUGACAAUGGUUUUGAAAUUGGAACAUCUUGGAUUACUGCAGACUUGUACCCCUUGGUUUCAAAGGUAAGGAAAGGCAUUGCUUGAGUACAAUUUGGAGGCAGCUUCUUCACCAAUUUUAUUUGGAGGCAAUUGGCAGCGGAUCCAGCUGCACCAAUUUCAGAGCAACUACUGACACUACUUCGAACAGCACACUGACGAAGUGAUAUGUCUACGGCAAAGGCAAUGCAGUCCUCAUUUUGGCUUGAGAUGCAGUAAUCAUCGAAGAGAGUUUCCUUGUGAAACUGGGCAACACAUUGAAUCCCUUCGCCACUGAGAAGGUUGUGGAGGAAGUAAGCUGUCUCUCUAGUGAGGAAGAGGUGGCAUACCUUCCCCAUUUUGUCUAGGGCAGGUAGGAAUCUUUUUUCUAAGAGAUUUACUUCAUUCUCUGUGAGAAAUGCUUUGAACUUCAUCCCUCUGUCUCUAUCCUCACUUAUCAGGAAAUAAGUUGAAAGCACUAUGAAGAGAGAGAGAGAGAGAGAGAGAAUUAAGAUAUAUAGACAAGAAAAUAAUUAGACGUUGAUCUUACAAACUAAUACUUCAAGCAGUAUCCUAGAAAGCUAAAAACUGCAAGAUGGCUUGAAAUUUGAAAAGAGCACAUGGUUUUCCUCCUUAACUUGAGAAAAUGUUUAAUAUAGUGCACCUUACAGAAGCAUUUAAGCAAUUAGAACUUUGCACAAAAACAUCAAGAAGACUAAACAAAUCAGAUGCAGUGUAUUUGUCCAAGCACAAAUUGCAUUUUGUCCUCAACUUUAAUAUUUAUUGAUGAGAAUCAAUACAGGUCCCUCAUUUGUUAUAGAAAGCUUUCUUGUAGUCUCACCAGUUAAUUCACAGGUCUAUAAUCAUCUUGCAAAGUUAAGGGCAUUUCUUUCGAUCUAAAGUCUUUGCAUCACCACCUCAUCACACGCCAAGCCAAUAUUCCAUUUACCUCUACAACAAAAAGUUUUUAAGUAAAUAAUCCUAAUGCACGCAGCCGAAUAAAAUGCAGUAAGAAUAUUCAACUUAAAAAUCUGAAAGCCAACUUGGUGAAUUGCCUCCUUAGGUGAAGUUCCAUGCUUUACUAUAGUUGACAGAACUCAGCAAAAGCUUCCAUACAACAGAUUUUGAAAAUGAUGAUGCCAAUAGAUACUCAUUCAAUCCAUUGAAACUCCAAAGGUUCAUUGUUCAUAGAAGUUUACAGAGUUUUGGUCAUCAAAUAGCUCAGACCUAAUCCCAAACAAAAAACGAGUGAAAAUUAGAUCACGAGCAGCUAAUUGUAAAUUCUAACUUAACUCUUCAUCUCCUUUGUAAACAAGAAACAAAAUGGAGACACGCAAAAUGAAUAUGGAGAAAAUUUGAACUCAAAUGAAAUGAGGGCACGAAAGCAAACAAAUGGCAUGCACAAAAAAACCAAGCCUCGAUAAAAAACUAAUUAACCAUUAAGAAAAAAAUUGGUCAGAGAAUGAACUCCAAAUUCAGGAGUCAAGCAAGAAGCUUUCAUUAUUUCAGAAGCUCCUGUACAAAUUAAUAAGUUAUGCUCUUUGGAAGCAAACCUAAAUUCCAAGAGAAACAGAACCCAAAAAAUUUGCAAUUAUACGCAAAGGAAGUGAAGCACAGGAUUCUAUCACACAUAGGAAUUGUAUAACAAGAGAUCGAUAUAUCGAAUUAGAAAACUCAAUUCGAAUUUGUGUCAAAAAUCAAAAUUAGAAGAUUUCACAUUUCGAGAGGAACAAGCAACAGAUGAAGUUCAAAAUUUCAGCCAUAACAUGCUAAAAAUGCUACACUUAACGGUUCAUUUUCAUGGAUUUUCUCGGGAAACAAACAGAAAAUUACGGUUUAGAGAGUUGACUGACCUUUUGGCUUUUGAAAUUGACCAGAUCGCGCGCCAAAUUGGAAGAGGGAAAGUGAAAGCGCGAGUUUUAAUAUGGGUAUUAGAUAAGGAAAUUUUAUUAGGUUGCGAGGGUAAAAAAGGAAAGAGAUAUCAUUAUUUUAUUAUCGAUAAUUAUUAAAUUUUUUUCCAAAAAAAAGAACAAGCAAGGAUUUUUUAUUGUCAUCACUAAGUUAAAAAAAAUUGUUUCAAAAUUACUUGAGUCAUAUCCAAUGGACCAACAAAGUAAUCGUUUUUAUUUUUAUUGAUUUUUGCAGGAAAUUAAUAACUUAAAAAUACUGAAAGCUACUGUAAAAAUUUUUAUUAUCAACCUCAUAAUUUUUUUUUUUUGGGGAAGAGAAUUCAAACUUUUUUUUUAUGAAUAUCGCUGUUUCGUUUGAGUUGGAUGUGAAUUCAAAUCCAAAUAUUCUUUGUUUUUCAAUUUUGAACUCAAUUUCUUUUUCUCAAGAAUGUUAUGCAGAAAUAAUUUUUACUAAAUCUUUUUUGAUGAAUUGUUUAAAUUAAACAAUUGGAAUAAGAAUUGUAACGAUUUAUCAUAAGCGUGCUAAUAUGAUAACUUGUUUUACGAAGGAUUAAUUAAUCAAUUAAUAUUAAAUUAUAUAUUAGUCAAUUAGAUAUGUGUUACAUUUAUCAUGUUUUGUAGGUGAUAGUACAUCAUUUCUAAAAGAAUAUAGUACGUUAAAAUAUUAUUUUAAUGAAGAAAAUUUUAUUAUUUUAUUAUUAGGUGACACAAUAAUAAAUGGAUUUCUGUAAGAAUUGAGAUUCUUGAUAUAAUUAUUACAUAAGGAGAAGUUUAGUUGGUUCAAUUUUGACGUGAUAAGAAGACAACACAGCACAGAAAACCCAAAUUGCCACUUCCACUAAUAAAAGAUACCUGUUUGAAAAGUAAUUAUAAACUAUCUUCUUUGUGUUAUUUCUCAAAACUUUUGUGGCACAAAUGUUAUUUCCAUUGACAACAGUACGAAAUACCACCCCUUUCACUUGAGCAGGAGCAAAGCAAAGGUAUGAUGAGCUAUCUCUGUAUAAUUGAAACGCCAUUACUAAACGAUUCUUGAUGAUGGGAGCCACCGUGCCAGCUUUGUCGCUGAUUUGCAUGAUUUAUUAGUUGUCCAGAUGGCGGAUUUUGUACUGUUACCUUCGUUUCAUUCUUCAGAGCCAUGUACUGUUCUAGGAUACCAGAGAAACCAAGGUGGCAUUGAAGUUGCCCUGGUGGUUAGUUUUCCGAUCAUUUUUUUAUUCAAUUAUUUAUGUUUUUAGAAAAAUGUAGGAAAUAUGUAGAAAUGUUGACAGCUAUGAUUUUGAAACUUUUGCCUAAAAUUGUUAUCAUUACUUGUUGUUUCUUAUUUAAAGAGAAAUUCUAGAAACAUGAAAUGAUUAUUCUACGCUUGUUUUAAUAUUGUGCUAUGAAGAUUACGAAGGUUUGAUUAUAUGUCACUAUCAAUUGCCUUAAUCGUUUGUCGUAAAUCAAUUAAGCAUUUUGAUGCGAAUGAUUCCCUAUUAAAAAAUUCAAGUCAGAGCUGAAUUGCAAAGUAGUUAGUCGUGCUUGCAAUUCAAAUUAAGUAUUGUAUUUUCUCCCUGAUUUGGUUGAUUCAACUAUGUGCAUUUGCUUAUGAACGUUGCAGUAUAGAAAUCGAAAUAUCUUGUCUUUUGCUAAGCCCAGAAGCAAAUUCUUUGUAUUCUACUCAUCAGUUUUCUUCAUUCUCUUUGUUGAAAUUUUAUCUAAACAGCGGUUUCUUCGAAUUUAUGCCUUCGCUUACUCUUUUAAAUUUUAUCCAAACAACGGUUUUGAAAUUGUUUUCACUACAAUACCUUAGUCUUUCAGAUGCUCCCGUCACUGAGUUGCCAGAAGAGCUAAAAGCCUUGGUAAAUCUUAAGUGUUUGAACCGGAGUACACAAAUUAUCUCUCUACAUUUCCAAAGCAAUUGAUUUGUUACUUUUCGAUGCUACAUGUUCCGCGAAUAUUCAGUUGUGGUUAUCUUGUUCAGAUACCAGAAAAUAGCGUUAUAUUUAGUGGUAAUGAAUUCUUGGUUUGGGAGUUGCUUAGUUUAAAACGUUUAAAUGUAUUAAGCAUCAUCUUGAAAAGUUUUUCUGCUGUCCAAAAACUUAUGAGCUUCCAAAAGUUUCAAAGCUGUACACAAUGCAUGGAGCUUGUAGACUGUGAUGAUCCAAAGUCAUUUGCCGUGGCAGAGUUGAAGCAUCUUGAAAAACUAGGUUUUUCAAGUUGUGGAAAUUUGGAAGAGUUAAAGUUCUGCUGUGUCGAAGUUGCAAAGGCUCGAGAAUGUUUUCGUUUGAACAGCCCUCACUGAGUUAAGAUGAAGGCUUGUCAUAAAUUGUGGGAAGCGACAGGUUAUUCAAAUAGAAAAAUUUAUGGAGAUGGAUGUUAAUCUUAAGGUUAUUCAAUUAGAAAAAUUUGAAUAAAAUUUAUGGUAAGUGCUUUUCCAUUUAUUGCAUAUUUAUAUCUAAUUUUUAUUUUCCUUUAUUGUUAAAUUUUGGUCUCUAUUUGUUGUUGUAUGGUGGCAUUCUUGUACAAUUAUUAGCUUUUCAUUUCUCUUCUCACAUUAACUGCCCUUCUGAUCAUGUAGGAUUUGCUGAUGCAAAGAGUCAUAAUUUGGGAUACAAAUGUAAGAAUUAGACAGAUGACAUGUUGUUUUGAAGCUCUCAAAGAAGGACUAAUUAUGUCAUUGAAAGCCUCCAAUUUUGUGAUUGGUUUCUUUUUAUUUUAUUUGUUGUUUUCUCUAUUUUCAGAUCACUUAAUUGUUAGUUGUUGUAAUGUAAUGUUUUAGUAUAGCAAAUUAUAUUCGGCCAAGACAGUGAUAGGAGGGCACAUUGUGCAUGCACACUAGUGGAUUUGGCAUGCCAAAUCCAAUUAGGAUGGAUAACACUUUAUAAGCAUUAGGCUUCUCUCAUACCUGAGUAAUAUAGAAUAUGUUUAUAAGUUGUGAAUCACCCUUUACAAGUGUUAGGCUUCUGCUAUACUCAGUGAUGUGAAAUAUAUUUAUAAGCACUAAACUUCUCCCAUACACUUUAUGUUAAUAAUAAUAAUAAUAAUAAUAAUAAUAAUAAUAAAAUAAUAAUAAAUAAACCCAUUUUAACAGACUCUUUUUUCUUUUUCUAUAUGAACAAAUGCAUUCUUCAAAGCAACUGUGGGGAGAAGAAGUGAGUAGAGAAGAACUGAGCCCCUGUCAUUCCCCUAAAACCUCACCAAAACCUCUCUUGUAAGCUUCUCGGAUUUUCUUUCUAUAUUUCUUAGGAACUCAUUUUUUAUUGAAUCACUUAUUUUGCAUGCUGCAUUUUUUGGUUGUCGUAUUUGUGUAUUAUCUUAUCUGGAAUGCUGUUAUGAUUGAUGGAACAAGUAAUCGAUUUUUGGUCUAAUGGAAGUUGAUUUAUUUAUUUAUUGUUGUUUUUAUUUGAAAUUAUGUACAAUUGUAUUUCAUUCAUUUCUCUCUCUUUUGCUUUUUUCCCCCCAUAUAUUUGUUAUGUAUAAUUGCGUUUCAUUUAAUAUUGAUCAUACUGUAGGUAACCAUGUGAUUGUAGAUGGGGAUUUCGAGUUUGUUGAAUAUUCAUGUAAGUGAAGUAACCGUCACAAUACUAGUGAAAUUGGGAGCUUUAUUCAUGAGUUUGUGGUUUUGAAAAGUACCACAGUUCAACUGGUGAAGGCUCCGUUUUGGGAUUCUUCUUUUUCUAGGCUGCAAUUAGGAUAUGUACAUGAUAGACAAUCUUUUGUUGGUUUAGCAUAUCUUCGCUGAUUUUGUCUUUUAUUCCCCAAUUUUAUAAUUACACACCAUGAAUGUUGGGUGAUUGUAUAGAAAAUUUGUGUUAUAACAAAAACAUUGUGAAGGAGUUUCCGUGCUAAUAGUUAGUGGCUUCUGUUUUAUUGGCAUUGAUUGGGUAGAUUACGUGUUACAGUGAUUCAAUUUGUGUUCCAAACUUUGCUUUAAUUUUCUGUUUUCCCCAACUAUUUAUGUCAAAUUUAAAUCCAGAAGCAUGUGCUGAUUUUUUCUUUUUGUAUUAAUCUGUGAAGUUUAUUUGGAAUGGAAGUAACUGGGUCGGGUCUAAUGGAUUAAAUUAUGACAUUGAGGGGAAGGCACUAAAAGGGUUUGCUUGACACAUUUGGUUCUGUGUUUACUCUGCAAGAAAUAACUUUUGCUUAUUGCAAUGCAGGGGGAAAUCCCGAUUUGGCUGGUGAAUUUCUCUGCAACAAACAGGCAAACACCUCAACAUCUUCUGUCCAUACUUCUGCUGGGGAGGCAAGGGGUAAAGAGUCUUCAAAAUCAUCAAAUAGUUACAUCUCUGAGAAUUCAUUUUAUGGAAAUGGAAAAUCUAGAGUUUCUAAUACAAAAUGGCAUCUGGUAUCAGGACGUACCGUUUCAAGUUUUCUUGGUAAAGAUUAUGUUAAACCUGCACAGCCAGCUAAUGGCACUUUUCUGGCAUCAAAGCCAUUGAAGUUGGAUCCAAGGGAGUUUCGCAUUUCUGCACUUUCAGAGAAGAAACUAAACCGACAAUCAAAGGAUGACCAUUUGCAGAAGGAUAUGGAAGAUUUUCUUUUUAAAUUGCUAGGAGAAGGGUUCCAGCUGUACAGGGAUGUGAUUCAGGAGGUUCAUGGUAACGUCUUAAAUAUAUUGAUGCCAAUUUAAUACAUAUUGUCCUUUUCAAUGUUCUUUCUUUCUUUCUCCUCUUUUUAUUAUUCUUCUUCUUCUUUUUUCUUUUCAUGUGCAUGUGAUCACUAAUUUGGUAUUAUUCUUGACUUGCAGAUAGUUGUGGAUAUGAAAUGCAAAAGGUAAGGGCUAUAUCUUCUUGAUGGAGGCCUCUGAUUUUUUAAAUCGCAUUUUCCUUUGUGAUUGAUAUAUCAUACCAAAGUCAAGUCUUAAAUACUGCUGUCAUAUGUUAAGGUUCAACUUCCAUUUUGAUUAACGUCGAUUUGCUACUGCUUCCAAAAGUGAGAAUGAGAUACUUUGGUUAAUUUCAGUAGUUGAACUCAAUGGAGUACUUUAUUUAGAUCUUCAUGGUUCAAAGGCCUGAAAAAACUUGCCGGUAUUUGCAAAAUGACAUCUGUGCUUUUAUUUAGACUUAUUAUUAAAGACAACAUUUUAUUUCAGCCAAAAAUGUUUGUUUCAAUUAAAGACUUGAACCAUUUUCAUUUAACCUGAUUGUGAUGCUUUACAUUAUGCAUGUUCCUCUCAAUCAAUAAAAGUUGAGGUCAUGAUUUUAUAUUUCUAUUUUGUAACUUGAAAUAAUUGGUCUGCCUGUUUCUGUUGCUUGAUAACAUGAAUUUUUCCUUCUGAAGUUAAUUUGAUCAAUAAAGUAAUUCUUCGGAGAGGAUAUGCCCAUUCUAUAGUCAUUUUCUUAGCUAACAUGUUUUUUCUUCACUCUUCAAAGCAUGUCUAAACUAAUUGAUCGCUCAGCGGAGACUUUGGGUGAGAAGACAAAAUUUCUUGGUAAAUCCUCUGAAAAGGUAUGCAUAAUUCCCGAGUAUUAAAUAAUCAUUGGUCAUAAUUUUUGUACACGACUCUUGUUUUGGAGAUCGUUAAAAGUGGUUGAUGAUCUAUUUUGUAAUAUCAUAGAGGGAUCAUGAAUUCCUUUUCUUUUCUGUGGCUAGGCAACACUUUCGAGCCAAGCUAAGGAAAUCUAUUUUAGGUAAUGUGAAAACUAGUUGUAGGAUGUAAUAGUUUAUUAUGCCCUGACAAUAACUUUUUGUAUAAUUGUCAGUUUAAUGAAUACAAGAGGAACUCUGUUGGCAAGUUCAUCCAUGAUAGAUGCUAAAAUUAUUUAUGCAUACCAGUUGCCUUAACUAAUUUUUCUCAACACUGGUAUUGAACAGGAAAAUGAAUAUGCAAUUUGUAUAUUGUGCCAUUGUGGAGAAUUUGGAUAUUCUUAUUUAAGUAACAAGGAGAGUAUUUGCCUCAUCUUUAAACAAUGAAUCUUUGAGAAAUGAGGAGUGGGUGAUUGACAGUGUCUUCAUGUAAAUGUUCAUUUAUUUGUAUUUUGAACUAUUAUGAGAAUCUUUGUAUGCCAAAUUAGUAAUACAAAUGUUCAGAUGAUUUUUCCUGUUGAUCAUGCGUGUGUAUCUGCACACAACCAUUGUGUACCACUUUAUUCUGAUGCACAAAUAUCUGUAGUUUAGAAGAAAAGAAAUAAUAAUCAUAUAUUAUUGCUUGGUUCAUGAUUAUUAAAUGAUUAUGGCUUUAGAAAAUCCACAAAUCCUUUGUGUUCAUAUAUGAAUGUGCGAAGUUCGCUAUAUCUUAGAUUACCUUCUUCCAAGAUAACAAGUUCAUAUAUUUUUUUUAAUCCUUUUUCAUCACAGUUGAAUUUCAAGUGUAAGUUUUGUUAUUAAUAGCUGGUUUCCUGUUAUUAUGAUUUCAUAAACAAUGAGAGGAUAUGUGCUCUACUUUUGGAUGGCCUCCACAUAAAAGAAAAUUGCAACAAUUGAAUUCUUCUGGAGGGUAUGGUAUUUAAUUUAUUUUCUCAGCUUGUUGUAAGACUAAUAUAUUUCCUUCAGUACGCACGGCAUGGUGGGAAGGGUUUUUAUUGAAAGAAUUAUGAUAUUUCUUAGACUUUGUUUUGGAAGGGGGUGGAGGGAUUUCUCAUCCAUGUAUGGUUACUUGAUUAGCUUUUGACUGUACUGUCUCCGUCGUGCAAAGGAAAAUCCAAAUACUAACGAAGGGGAAUUGCUUAGGCACCCAAAGGACAGAAAUGAAUUACGGAAGGAGGUUUUUGCUGCUUUAUUUAGUGCUGCUGAGAAAUCUGAUGAAUUUCCUGAAAUUACGGUGAAGACGGAGUGGAGGUCCAACGCAUUAGGAAAGGUGGUGAGUGAACCGCCAGAGGAAUUAGUACCAGAAUACAAGGCUAAUGUGGUGCACUGGCAGCAAGAUGACCAGACCUGUAUGUGCUCUUAUAUUAACUAUAUUGGCUGGAUUUGUGAGUGUGUUCAUUUUUGUGUGUAUACUCACUUUUGUAUUUAUGCAUAUUCACGUGUGUAGGAUUCUCGAUUUCUGCCACUUACUGGAGAACUAGUGGAAAGCUUUAUACUGAUAUAUGUGCUAUAUAACUAAUGGAAACUACAAUAUGAAUAUUUUCUCUCACCUGGAGAGCAGUGUAACUAAUAUAAUUUGUGGCUCUGGAAUACUGAAGAUUCUGCAAUAACUAAUGGAAAAUAUGAUAUGAAUAUUUUUUCUCACCUGGAGAACUUUGUAACAGAUACAUUUUGUGCUGGAAUGUCUAAAGAAUGCUUCAGUUUAUAUCAAAUAUCUUUUAGUUAGAAAAGAUAAAAUUCUCUGAAUCUGAAAGACUGAAACAUUUUGCAUAUUUCGUGAAAGGCAAGUAUCUGUAGAUACUAGCUCAUGCAUUGAGGUAAUAUCAAUGUUAAAGAAAAACAGCAAUAAUUUAUUAUACAGAAUUAGGUUCACUUGCUUUAAAUGCUGGUCUGAUCAACCAUAUCAACCUGUAAUGGUCCUGCAGAAAUAUAUAUACGGGGAGAAACUAGCUAAUUUUCCUUUCACUUAUGGGUUUGGUCUUUUUUUCCCCAAUUUUUCAGCUUUCCUUCUCCUGAAGUAUGUUAAUAAUUGCAGAUAAUGGCGAAGAGGACUGCUUCCAGGCUACCGGCAAAAACUUUGUGAAAGCUUUGGAGUUAAACAGGGAAUUCACUUACUGCUAAGGACAAUUGGUGGCGAGCUAUUUCAUUCAUUUUAUGUCCAUACAUCUAUUUAAUUAUUAAAGAUAAUGUACGCAUUUGUAAAUUUCAGAUUGUGUGUCUCUGAAAAUAACAAUAUUUAAAAUGUCUCUUAAAUUAUUAUAAAUUUUAAUUUACUCUCGAUUUAAAAUGGAACAUGUUGGUGAAAUAUUUUUUCUUCUUAAUAAAAUUGAAAUAAAUUAUGUUAGCAGUAGUUUGAAAUAUUUUAAAGAUGAUUAUUUUAUAAGGGAGUAAUAUGAAAUGAAAUUUACUUUUCAUGCGUGAAAUGUUGAAAAAGGACAAAGCAAGUGUCCCUGCUUUUAUUUUAUUUCAAAGUGGAGUCAUCUCACAUACUUUAGCUCUAUCAUUAGGAGCCGGCUAAGUUACGUUAAACGUAAUUUACGCCAGGCACAGCAAUAAUGACAAGUCCCAUGACUAGUAUUGUUGCUGUGUCUGACGUAAGUUACGUUUAACGUAACUUAGCCAAAGCCCUAUCAUUAAUAUAUAUUUAAAUUUAACACAUGCAUGUGGGUUACUUUUCCGUAAGUUCCUUAAUAUAUAUUUAACACAAAUCAUGGAAGAGAUGGGAGUAUAUCAAGAUGAUCAAAGCAUGAAACAAAAAUAUUUAAGAAGUAAAACACUGAAAAUGGAGAAGAGAUGCAAGCAAAAGAUAUUCUAAAGAAAAGCAAUCUAUCCCCUUUCGAGGGCAAACUUAUCAGGUUUAAGAAAAGUACAUGCUUUGGAUUGGUAGUUGCAGCCUUGCAGGAUAAUUGUUUUUGCCACUAUAUUAGUUGGAGGAGUUGAACCCAGUGAAGAAUGUUAUGGAAGAGCAAAUGAUAUUUCUGAUAGACUCUAUUUGAUUAUGUAGCCUGAAUAGAUGUCUUGUUGAAAGAUAUAUCAGUGCAUUAGUUCAUCCUUGUCUGUCAAUGUGUUUUUAAUGGUUUUUCCAAUUGUUUUUUUUUUUUUUGAAACUGAUUAAGCAUCAGGUUACUGCAUUACACAGAUAUAUAUACAACUGCUAUGACAGCAGGUCAUUACACUGAUAUUUACAAUCAGAUAUAUAUACAUGGGACUUAUAUUAUUACAUUUUUAUUCUAUGAAGUACAUGCCCAUCCCAAAUACCCCUCACGGAGGAGGGAUGUCUCUACUCCACUCGCAUUUCGCAAGGGAGAAAGACGUUUAUAGAAAUCUCCACACAAUUAUGUUUAAUUGGAGGAGGUUGAGUCCGUGGGGACUCGAACCAUUGCCCUCAAAGUCAUGCUUAACUUUGAGGGCAAUGGUCCACCACUGGGCUACAAGCCCAAGUGGCGGUUUUUCCAAUUGUUUAUUGCUAUAGAUUGAUUGUAAAUUGAUGUGAACUUAAUGUUGAAAUAUUUUCUCUUUAGUGGAAUGAAAGUUAAACAUUCAAGAUUAGAUUAUUCAAGGUCCACAUAGUAUGUGUUCCGUUGUGUUGUCUGUAAUUUUGCAUUUAAAUAAAUUUGAGUGCUGCCGUUUCGCUCCCACAAUCUCUCGCCUUUUUUUAAUUUUAAAAAUUAAAAUAUUAAUAAAAAACAAUAAAGAAAAUCGAAUCCUUUAUGUCAUUCCAUCUUUACAACUCUCUCUCACAAACUCCAUCUAACAGACUUCUCUCUUACUAUCUCGGUCGAACAAGACCAGUGACAAUGAUGACACGACCGCCGACGAUGAGAUGGUCAUCGCUAAAGAAUCGGGCCGUGUAUUUUACAAUUUCUUGGUUUGUGACAACAAUGGAAAACUCCUGAAAAUUUUGAAUUUGUAGUCGAGCAAAGGAAGAAGCAAGUUAUCUUCAAAGCAUUUUCCAGUAAUAGCUGAUGAAAUUUAAUACUUCAAGCUGGCCCUUUGCUGUCACAACUAGAUGCAUUUGCACUGUCAUUACAAUUUAUGGAAAUUAAAGUAAUUAAUGGUUCUAAUUAAUAGCUUCCCAAAAAACCAAUCUGCCCUUGUGAGAACCAAAGCAUUAAUUUCUUGUAAGAGCUGCAGAAGGCCAGAGAAUUUCAGAUCGUGAAAAGGAGUGUGUGAGUGAGAGAGAGAUCGUGAAAUAGUGAGAGACAAUGAGAGAGAGAGCCGCUCGACUGAGAUGGUGAGAGAGUUGCAAAAAUGGAGUAAGGAGCAGAUAAGAUUAUGUUUUCUUUAUUAUUUUUUAUUAAUAUUUUAAUUUUUUUAAUUAAAAAAGGGCGAGAGAUUUUGGGAGUGAAACGGCAGCAUGUUCCAAUAAAUUUUUACCAAAGUUUCUCUCGUGUUUCUCUCACCUUUCUAGAUACCAAGCAUUUUCCAAUAAAUUUUUACUAAAAACUUAGCAAGCCCUUGAAACUUUGGUCAAAAUUAUUGUUAUUAUUACUUUUAGAGGAAAAACUUUUAUUAAAACCUCAUUAACACAAUUCUUAAUUAAAAUUAUAAGUUUGUGUUGGUGUAAGGAUUUGCAGGAGCAAUUACUGCCUAGCCAAGUGUCAAAAGCACAAAAUAAAUCAAGAGAAAGUAGACAUGAAUUAGGAUCCAAUGAAAUUUAAAUCCCGGAGAAAAGAAAUAAUCAUGCAGAUUAUCAAGAUUUCAAUAAGGGAUAUUGAUAUCCUAUUUUGAUUAAUAAUAUCCUUUUACUGUGUUAACUCAAAAAAUAUGUAUAUUCUAAUAUUUUACAAUAAAUAGAAAUCUAAUAUUAAAAUAAAUGUGAUAUAUAUAUAUAUAUAUUAAAUAAUUUAAAUAUAAAAAAUAUUUUAAUGUUUUACAAUCUACUACACAUAUUUUAUUAAGUUAAUAUAAUUUUUCAAAUAAAUAGGGACAUAAUAUUAAAAUAAAUUUAUAAAAAUUUAAAUUAUUUUGAAUUUAAAAUAAUUUUAAUAUUAUUAAUAUGUUAGAUAUGUUUGAUUAAUUAUAAAAAUUAUUUACGCAAAUUUUUUUAAUAUUUUCAGUAGAUAUAAAUAUAUUACUUACAUUUUGAUUAUUUAACUAUUAUUAUUCUACAAUUAUUUAUAUAAUGUUUGCACUUAUUAGAAUAUAUUUAAAGUCAAAUCUUUUGCACUUCUACCUAGCUAGAAUUAUUGGACGCAGAGAAAUAAGCAUAUAUGCUUUAUAACUUUAGAAAUCGAAUUAUCUAUACAAAUUGAUUUUAGCUGGAAAAAAAGUGAGCUGAAUGAUAUAGGCGAUUAGUGUGGUAAUAUUUCAUAGAGUUAGACUAUUGAAUUUGGCACCCCUCCAAUCUUCUCAUGAUUACCUUUUUGAGUUAUUAAUACACUUCUAAUUUUUCGUUUAAUUUUUUUUAUUGUUAUACUCAAAGUAGUAUUGUGAUAUUUUAUAUUUCUUUUGCAAUCUUAUUAUUAUUUUACACAAAAUUAAAAAGUUUUCUAGGUGAUGAACUUUUGAGUUUUGAACAUUAAUCAUUGGCUUAAAUUUCAUAUAUUUUACAUUAUAAUUUGAAAUUAAGUACGAAAAUAUUUAAUAAAUUAUGAAAAGAUUAACAGAUUAUUCUAAAUUGAUACAACUUAUUUUAGUUAAAUAAAAAGUAACAGGUAAAAAAAAAAAGGAUUGGUUAUGAAAUUUGUUGGAAAAAAAUCUGUGUGUGUUUAAUUUUUAUUUGUCCUUAAUUGUAAUUUAUUUGAAGUGAGGUUUUAUAAGGAUAAUGAAGGGGUGCCAUAGUUUCACUCUAUUUCAUAUGGAGAGAGAAGUAAAAGGUACACCUGAGGUUAAUGGAAAGGACUUCGAAAGUUUCUUUUGAUUAUAAUACUGUUUGUUCUAAUUAACUUAAAAAAUUUUACUUUAAUAUUUUAUAAUAAAUUAAAUUUUAAUCUUAAAAUAAGUAUAAUCAUAUAUUUUAAAAUAAUCUUAAAAUAAAUACAAUCAUAUAUUUUAAAAUAAUCUUAAAAUAAAUACAAUCAUAUAUUUUAAAAUAAUCUUAAAAUAAAUACAAUCAUAUAUUUUAAAAUAAUCUUUAUAUUUAAAAUUUAUUUAUUUGUACAUAUUUUAUAAUAAAUAUAACACAUACUAUUAAAAUAAUAUAUAAAAAAUUAAAGUAUUUUGAAUAUUAUAUAAAAUAACUUUAAGAUUCUUAAUAUGUAAGAUAUAUUUUAUUAAUUUAAAAUUCUAUUUAAAAUUUUAUUAAUUUAAAAUUCUAUUUAACCCAAAGAUUUAUUUAAGAUAAAUUAAUAAUCAUAUUUUUUAAAUCAUUUCAAAUAUUAAAAAAUAUUUUGAUAUUACUAGUCUAUUAAAUAGAUUAAAUAUUUUUAUUAUUUUGUACUAAUCAAAAGUUACAGCUCGAAUGAUAUUAUGAGAACAGAAUUUUUAUGUCUUUAUUAAAAAUUUGGGUUUGUAUAAUUAUUUUUUCAAAUGUUAGGGGCAUAGCUGUCUUUUUACUUUUAUAUAUGUGAACCGCGGUGGUGAAAAAGUGUGAUUUAAUAUUAGUUAUUUAAAUAAUAUCUGAAUUAAAGAUGUACAGAGAAGAAAUUUCGGUGGGCAUUUUAGUCUUUUAACGAUUAUCAUGAUUAGGGAUUAGGUCCUGCUCUUGAAACGUUGGUCAGAAAAGUUCUAAAAUGCGUACAUUAUCUUUACUUUAAAAAAGUUAUUUUAUUUUAUUACAAAUUAAUGCCGACAAGAAAAAGCAAGAUCUUAAANNNNNNNNNNNNNNNNNNNNNNNNNNNNNNNNNNNNNNNNNNNNNNNNNNNNNNNNNNNNNNNNNNNNNNNNNNNNNNNNNNNNNNNNNNNNNNNNNNNNAUAAAGAUGAAGAAAAGGGCAAAAAAAUAUUAAUGAUUAACGAAAUCUCUAUCCAAAUUGAUUUUAGCAGGAAAAAAGUGAGCUAAAUGAUGUAGACGAUUAGUGGUAAUAUUUCAUAGAGUUAGACUAUUGGCACCCUUCCAAUCUUCUCACGAAUCCUCUUUUUGAGUUAUAUUUAUUUUAUUUUUAAAAUAUCUUUUUUCUCUUUUACUACACUUCUAAUUUUUCAUUUAAUUUUUUUAUUGUUAAACUCAAAGUAGUAUUGUGAUAUUUUUAAUUUCUUUUGCAAUCUUAUUAUUACUCUGCAUAUAAAUUAAAAAGUUUUUUAGGUGAUGAAUUUUUGAAUGUUAAUCAUUAGCUUAAAUUUCACAUAUUUUACAUUACAAUUUGAAAUUUAAUAUGAAAAUAUUUAAUCAAUAAGAAUUAUGAAAAGAUUAAUAAAUUAUUCUAAAUUUAUACAACUUAUUUUAGUUAGAUCAGAAGUAGCAGGUUAACAAAAGAAAGGAUUGGUUAUGAAAUUUGUUGGAAAAAAAUCUAUGUGUGUUUAAUUUUUAUUCGUUGUUAACUCUAAUUAAGUAGGUUAAAUAUUUUUGUUAUUUUUUACUUAUCAAAAAAUUUAAGAUCAAUAUUUUUAGUUACCAUUCGAAGGAUAUUAUGACAAAAACAGAAUUUUCACUUCUUUGUUAAAAAUUUGGGGGUUUGUGUAACUAUUUUUUCAAAUGUUAGGGGCAUAUCUGUCUUUUUACUCUAUAUAUAUGAACCAUGGUGGUGAAAAAGCGUGAUUUAAUGUUAUUUAUUUAAAUAAUAUCUCAAUUAAAAAUGUAAGGAGAAGAAAUUUCGGUGGGCAUUUUAGUCUUUUAACGAUUAUCAUGGUUAGGCCCUGGUCUUGAAACGUUGGUCAGAAAAGUUCUAAAAUGCGUUCAUUUGUCUUUACGCCAACAAUAAAAAGCAAGAUCUUAGUGUCCCACAAAAGCAAAUCGUAAUAUUCCGCAAUGGAGUUAGAUCCGCAAAAGCAAACAAAUUCUUUUAUUAAACUACAAAUUAAAGUGGAAUCAUUUACUAAACAACAAAUUAAAUUUGAAAUAUUUAAAUAGUCGUGCGUUAGACGAUUAGAGACUCUUAUUAAAGGCAAGUACAAAGUAGUGAAGAAUCGAAUAUUUCUAUUGUCUAGUCUUUUUUUAAAAAAAAUUUUCUUUUAUUAUUUUUCAGAAUAUGUUUUGGUGAUUACUAUUGGGUUAUUAUUCAGAGUUAUUGUUAUCUUCCGGGGCAGUUUCUGUUCAUCGAAUUCGUUAAUAAAAUUUUAAAACUCUUAUUGAAAGAAUGUUUUUCCGUUAUCUUUUUUAUAAUCUAAUUUUAAGUGUAAGAAGUAGUCAUUUUAGAAUUUGGGUCUUGAAUCGAAUUUCAAUGCAUGAAUUAAUAUUUAAAAAAAAUUUACUACAUGCAGUUUAGGUUACAAACUAUUUUUUGCAAAGUUGACUAUGAAAUUGGAGAAAUUAAGUAAUUUAUAAUGUUUGCAAAGAAAGAGACCAACAUACUUCCAAUUACACUAUAUCUCAAUUAUCAUAAUGUUAAGAUUAAACUAACUUAAAAUAAAAUUUAUUUAAAAAGUUUAUCAAACGCAGUCUAAUUUUAUUAACUUGAAGAGAUAAUAGUUAUAGAAAUUAUUAUUCUAACUUAAUUAGUAAAAGUGGUAUAAAGGUUAAGUGUGCACUAAAUCUAUUUAAAUUUUUUUCCAGUAUAACUAACAGAGGUCAUUACUAGAAUUAUAUUACUAGUCUAUUAGAUAGAAAAAAUUAUUUAUAUUGUUUUAUAUUUAUUAAAAAAAUUUAAAGUCAAUCUUUUUAAUUACUAUUUAAAGGAUAUUAUAAUUAAAAAAAUUUUAAUGUCUUCAUUAAAAAUUUAAAAUUUUAUAUGACCGUUAUCUAAAUAUUUAAAGUGUAACUGUCAUUUUCUCAUAUAUAUAUAUAAUUUCAUCAACCCCUUAUACUUUAUGUUAUUUAUAUUUUAUUCAUGAAUAUUAUAAAUUUUUUGAAAUAUAAAAUUUCGUUUAACCCUUUAUACUCAAUUUUAUUUUAUUAAAACCCUAGAGUAUGAAUUCGUCCCUAUAAUAUUAAAUUCUCAAAAUAACUUCCAUUUAAUUAAAAAAUAUAAUUAUUAUUAAAUGAAUUAUAAUUAUUAUUAUUAUGUUAUUAUAAUCAUAAAAAGCGAGAUCAUAUUCCACAAAAGCAUAAGUGACAAAACAACCAACUGGAUUCUUUUAUUAAUCAACAAAUUGUAUAGUCUUUUUCAAAUUGUUAUAAAUUGGUGGCCCCUACAAUCCUCAAUAAUUGUACCGAAAUUCACAAGUUGGUGGGCCCUACAAUUCUGUUCCGAUAAUUUAACUGUGCAAGUGCUCAUUCACAAUCUUCCAGGUCAUGCUCUUAACAAUUGUUUUUUCUUUUCUGCACGCCCUUUCAUGCUCUUAAUAAUUGAAGAGCAUACUUUUCAAAUGUGAAGCCGCAUCUAAUGUCGCUAAUUUAAUUUGGGAUUAAAUUACGGGACUAUUAUAUUGCAGUGUGCACUAAUUUUUAUGUUUAUCUAAACUCUUCAAAUUUAAAACAUAUUAUGGCAUAAAUAAGAAUGUAACAAUAACAAAAGAGUAAGAAAGUGUAGAGAAAAUCUUGCAGAAAUAUAAAUAAUAUUUAUUUUUAAAAUAAUAUUAAUAUUUAAAAUAAUUUUUAAUAUUUUAUGGUCCAUUAGAUAUAUUUUAUUAUAUUAAAAUAAAUUUUAUAAUAAAUAAAAACAUACUAUUAAAAUGAAUAUAUAUAGAAAAUUUAGAGUAUUUUAAGUAUUAUAUAAAAUAAUUUUAAUAAAAUAUGUGAGAUAUUCAUAUUUUAUUAAUUUAAGAUACCAUUUAACCUAAAGAUUUAUUUAUGAUAAAUUAAUAAUUAUAUUUUUGAAAUUACUUCAAAUAUUAAAAAAAUUAAUAUUACUAAUAUAUUAGAUAGAUUAAAUUAUAUAUAUUAUUUUUACUUAUUAAAAAAAUUUUAAAAUUAUUUUUAAUUACUAUUCAAAAAACGUAUUCAAAAAACAUAAUGAUAAAAAAAUCUUAACAUCUUUAUUAAAAAAUUAAAAACUUAUAUGAUAAAUUCUCUAAAUAUUUACGGUAUAUGUGAACCACGGUGGAUAAGCUUUAUUUAAUAUUAUUGAUUUAAAUAAUAUGUCAAUUAAAAAUGUACAGAGAAGAAAUUUCGGUGGGUAUUUUAGUCUUUUAAGCAAUUAUCAUGAUCAGAUCAGCCUUUAGCCUUCAAACGUCGGUCAGAAAAGUUUUAAAAUUAAUGCUAAAUUGUUUUUCACUUUUAACGUUGGUGGCCUUGAAAUUGCUUGUAUUUUAUUAAAAAUUAAUGCUAACAAGAAAAAGCUAGGUCAUAUUCCACAAAAUCAAAAGUGACAAAACAACCAGCUGGUUUCUUUUACUAAACUACAAAUUAAAAUAAAUUUUUUCGAUAAAUUACAAAUUAAAGUGGAUUCUUUUGAAUACAAAUGGGACAGACGAUUAGGCUCUUUUUAUUAGAGGCAAGUAAAAACUAGUCAAGAAUCGAACAGUCUUUUUCCAAUUCUUGUUUUAUUAUUUUUCAAAACUAGUUUUUGGUAAUUACAACCGGGUCAUUAAUCAUUAUUCAGAGUUAUCUUCCGGGGCAGUUUCUGUUCAUCGAAUUCGUUAAUAAAAUGUUAAAACUCUUAUUGAAAGAAUGUUUUUCCGUUAUCUUUUUUAUAAUCUAAUUUUAAGUGUAAGAAGUAGUCAUUUUAGAAUUUGGGUCUUGAAUCGAAUUUCAAUGCAUGAAUUAAUAUUUAAAAAAAAUUUACUACAUGCAGUUUAGGUUACAAACUAUUUUUUGCAAAGUUGACUAUGAAAUUGGAGAAAUUAAGUAAUUUAUAAUGUUUGCAAAGAAAGAGACCAACAUACUUCCAAUUACACUAUAUCUCAAUUAUCAUAAUGUUAAGAUUAAACUAACUUAAAAUAAAAUUUAUUUAAAAAGUUUAUCAAACGCAGUCUAAUUUUAUUAACUUGAAGAGAUAAUAGUUAUAGAAAUUAUUAUUCUAACUUAAUUAGUAAAAGUGGUAUAAAGGUUAAGUGUGCACUAAAUCUAUUUAAAUUUUUUUCCAGUAUAACUAACAGAGGUCAUUACUAGAAUUAUAUUACUAGUCUAUUAGAUAGAAAAAAUUAUUUAUAUUGUUUUAUAUUUAUUAAAAAAAUUUAAAGUCAAUCUUUUUAAUUACUAUUAAAGGAUAUUAUAAUUAAAAAAANNNNNNNNNNNNNNNNNNNNNNNNNNNNNNNNNNNNNNNNNNNNNNNNNNNNNNNNNNNNNNNNNNNNNNNNNNNNNNNNNNNNNNNNNNNNNNNNNNNNNNNNNNNNNNNNNNNNNNNNNNNNNNNNNNNNNNNNNNNNNNNNNNNNNNNNNNNNNNNNNNNNNNNNNNNNNNNNNNNNNNNNNNNNNNNNNNNNNNNNNNNNNNNNNNNNNNNNNNNNNNNNNNNNNNNNNNNNNNNNNNNNNNNNNNNNNNNNNNNNNNNNNNNNNNNNNNNNNNNNNNNNNNNNNNNNNNNNNNNNNNNNNNNNNNNNNNNNNNNNNNNNNNNNNNNNNNNNNNNNNNNNNNNNNNNNNNNNNNNNNNNNNNNNNNNNNNNNNNNNNNNNNNNNNNNNNNNNNNNNNNNNNNNNNNNNNNNNNNNNNNNNNNNNNNNNNNNNNNNNNNNNNNNNAUUGUGGGCACUCUUGUUCGUGCAUGUUUGCUAGAAGAGAUGGAAGAUGAUAAAGUAAAAAUGCAUGACGUUGUUCGUGAUAUGGCUUUAUGGAUAGCUUGUGAAAUUGAGAAGGAGAAGAGAAACUUUUUGGUUUGUGCAGGUGCUCGAUUAGAAGAGGCACCGGGUGUUAAAGAAUGGGAAAAUGUGAGAAGAUUGUCAUUGAUGCAAAACCAAAUUGAAACUGUGUCAGAGAUUCCCGCAUGCCCUCAUCUCCAUACUCUAUUUCUUGCCUCUAAUAGGAAUUUCAGGAUGAUCACGGAUGGCUUCUUUCAAUUUAUGCCUUCUCUCAAAGUUUUGAAGAUGUCACGCUGUGGGCAAUUCGAAGGUUUUCAAUUACCUGUUGGGAUGUCAGAGUUGGGUUCAUCACUAGAACUUCUUGAUAUUUCACAUACCACCAUAAGAGAGUUACCCGAAGAGUUAAAGUUGCUGGUAAAUCUGAAAUGUUUGAAUUUGAGGUGGACAGGUGCGUUAAUUAGAAUUCCACGGGGACUAAUAUCAAAAUUUUCAAGGUUACGUGUGUUGAGAAUGUUGGGUACUGGCGGGUUCAUUUUUUAUGAAGCACCAGAAGACAGCGUUUUAUUUGGUGGGGGUGAAGUUUUGAUACAGGAAUUGCUCGGUUUGAAAUAUUUAGAGGUAUUGGAGUUGACCUUGGGAAGUUAUCAUGCUCUCCAAAUUCUUUUGAGCUCAAAUAAGUUAAAAAGUUGUAUUCGAUCUCUUUACCUCUAUUUGACCGGAGAUAAAAAGUCGAUUAUUGAUGCUACGGCUUUCACAGACCUAAACCACCUCAAUGAAUUAUGGAUUGAUAAUGGAAUUGAGUUGGAAGAAUUGAAGAUUGAUUAUACGGAGAUAGUACGAAAAAGGCGGGAACCUUUUGUUUUCCACAGCCUUCACCUUGUUACGAUAUAUAGUUGCCAUAAAUUGAAAGAUUCGACAUUCCUCGCUUUUGCUCCAAACCUCAAGUCUCUUUCGCUAUUCAAAUGCCGUGCUAUGGAAGAAAUAAUCAGCGUCGGAAAAAUUGCUGAGAAUCCUGAGAUGAUGGGACAUAUAAGCCCUUUUGAAAAUCUCAAAAGUCUUGAUCUAUCAUAUUUGCCGGAGUUGAAGAGCAUUUUCUGGAAGCCAUUGCCUUUCACUCAUCUCAAAGAAAUGGGGGUAAGAGCAUGUGAUCAGCUUAGAAAGCUUCCACUCGAUUCCAACAGUGCAAAAGAGCGUAAAUUUGUAAUUCGUGGAGAAGAAGACUGGUGGAACCGACUUCAAUGGGAGGAUGAAGCCACUCAAAUUGCUUUUCGUUCCUGUUUCCAACCUGAUUCCUGAGCGGUGGUCGCAAAAUUUGAUUUCUGGUGAGUGCGUUUGUCUUUUAAAAGAAGAAUUUAAAAGAAAUUUAUUCUUGACGUUUUCUUCACUGUUUUUAUUUCAGUCUCUCUCUCUCUCUUUUUGUCUUCUGCUAAUCACAAUUAAAUGUUGAAUUAAUGGAAUUAAUGCUUCAUAAAUUUGCCGGCACUGCCAUUACUUUUUUUUUUUUUAAUACAAAUUGAUACUUUAUUUAUAUCUUCUUAGCGAUUUAAUUUCCUGUCAAUUGACGAACGAGAAGAACAUAUGACUUGAACCAAUGCUCGCAUAAACUUGCUGUAAAAAGAUAUAAUCUCACUGAAAUGCACACGCCUAGAAUGAAUAGAAUUAAAACAGGGAAAAUAUUAAGUAUAUUAGCCCUCUUUACCGAAAAUCAAAUGACAAUAAAUUUUUUGAAGUUUUGAUUUUCUAUGGUCAAUUCCACCUUUUGCAAUUUCUUCUGUUCUAACAAAAACCAAUUUCUUUGUUCAAGUAUUUUCGUUUGGGUAUUAAUAAUUCUCCACCGAAAGAGUGAACUCUUGCUCAAGGGAUCUCUAAUCAAUAGCCGGAAGGGCGCCGAGACCUGAUCGGACCUAGGCCCAAGUUUGGUCUUAAAGCCUGGGCUUGAGCCUGGCAAUUAAAUUAAAACAGUAAUUGAUUUCUUGAAUGAAUUGUCGUGUAAUUGAUUUAUGGGGGAUGACACAUCAACAUACUUGAAAAUACACUAAUCUCAGCAUCAUCCGUUAAUAACUUUUAGAUUUAUGGGCAAUCAAUAGUUAAAUUAGUUGUCAUUAAUACUAAAUAAUUUUUACUUUUUUUGUCUCUUCUAGAGGAUCUUCUAGAAAAAUGCAUCCACAAUUAAAUUUAAUACUUUACAUAAUAAAGAAAGCAUAAAUGUUAAAUUUAAGAAACUGCAUUGUAUUUCAGCUGAAGUUGACUUUAAUAUUUAGGGUAGAAAAAAAUUAAAUCCUUAAUGUGUUUAAUUUCUAUCACUUGUGUCAUUAAAAUUUUCUAGUCACCCUAACCAAUUACAUCUCAACCCACUUUUUUUUGGAUGAUUUUAUUUUUACACUAUUAUUUUCAACAUUUUUUUUUCCUUUUAACACCAACAUUAGUGUAUGUUACGUAACAUAAUCCAUAUUUGGAUAAUUUGAAAUUUGUUUGUGUUUUAUCUCAAAAUAGAGCUUCAAUCAAUUUGUACCUCAUAAAUUCACAAUAUCUGGCAUAUUGUCAAAUGUGCUUAUCCUUUUGCUUGACAUGUCAUUUUAAAAUUGUCAUUCAAUGUCAAAAAAUCACAUCAACUAAUGGCCGACUACUUUAAUUUGAAAGCAUGCGUGCGAUCGCCAAUAAUUAUAACUUAAUUGUUAUAUUGAAAUUUUUUUCUUUAUAAUUUAAGUUUAAUACUGCUACAUGUGUGGCACAUAAGUUGGAAAAUAUAACAUAAAAUUUGAAAAAUGUGUAGUUUUCGUUCCUUUUUUUUCUAAAAAAAUGGGAAAAAAGAAUGUAAUUUUGUUUAAAUUACUGUUGUCAUAACAAUUAUUAUUUUAUUGAUUAAUUGGCAGAGAAUCGUAAUGGUUUCGCAUGGUUGUUAAAACAUUGGAAAGUCCACUACAUCAUCGGUUAAUAACUUUCAGAUUUAUGGUUAAUUAAUAGCUGAGAUUUAUUAUCAUUAAUGCUAAAUAUUUUUUCUCUCUCCUGGAGGAUCAUCCACAGGCAGGUGCUUCCUGACGAUGACAAAAUUUUGGGCAGGCAGGUGCUUCCUGACUUUCACACGGUAAUUCUCAAAUUCUGAUUUCACCAUAUUUUAAUUACUGAUUAGCAUAUAUUCAAGUGCUCUCCAUUAUAAUGGAAGCCGCCGCCUCACUCGUAAUUCCAAACUUUAUCUUUUUUUCCUUUUUUAAAUUAAUGCAAGUAGCCGCUGUCCUUUCUAUUAAUUAAUUAAUUCGGCCGCCCACAUUUCUUUUCCUAAUGUCUUCUACUGUCGAGUUUAUUUUAUUUUCUCUUUAUUAUUAAAAUAUACUUAUAAUAAUAAAAAAAUAAAAAUUAACAUAUCAAAAUAUAAUUUAACAGAAAAUUAAGAUAAAAAAUUAAAAAUAAAUAAAUUAUGAGCAUAUCAAUCAAUAAAUGAAAAAUAAUAAUUUUUAUUUUUAUUAAAUAUAAAUUUUUCAGUAUUAAUCAAUUAUCUGAAUAAAUAAAAUCAUUUAAAAAUAAAUAAAUAAAUUAUUCUUAAAAAAAAAAAAAAAACUUUUUAUAACACUCACUAUGCUGGUUGUAGGGUUGACGCUUUGGGUACUGAAGCUAGUAACUUCUACAAGUAGUCUUAAGUUGACUGGCAACAACUAUAUUGGCAUUUAGAAAUAAUGUACUGCAACCAUAUUGGCAUGUUCAAAUGUUCUUAUUAUUGUAUUGGUGUGUCAAUAUUAUCUCUAACGGUUUUAUAAAUAAAAAAAUAAUCUAAAUUUAUAAUUUAACAUAAAAUAAAAUAAUUGGUAGAAAAACAAUUAUGGUUCAUUUACUUAUCAGUAAUCAGAAUAGACUGAAAUCGAAAUGAGUUGUAUUACUGUUGAUGUGUUUAUGUUGUACUCGAAUCGAAAUGAAUUAUUUUAAAUUACUAAAAUAUCCUUGGUCUGUUAUUCUAAUUAUUAUUAUUAUUUAAUAUUUAUUAUAAUAUUUUUCAUAUCAUUAAAAAAAAAUAAUAAUGAUGAUAAUAUUCUCAUUAUUGUUUGUUACAUUAUUAUUAUUCAAAAAAAUUAUUGUUAAUAACAAUAAUUACUUUAUUUCAAUAAUAAUAAUGAUAAAAUUAAUAAUAAUAAACAUGACAACAACAAUAAUUAUUUAUUAUGCCAAAAAAUAACAAUAAUAAUAAGAAUAAUAAUCAUCAUCAUUUUUUUGCCAAAGAAGCAUUAUCAUCAUCAUUUCAAAAAAAAAAUCAUCAUCAUCAUCAUCAUUUUUGUAGUGGCUACCUAUCGGCUGCUGCUUUCAUGUGAGAUUGACUUGCGACGCUUCAACGGCUAUUAUUUCUGACAAUGUCAGGUGUUGCUAUUUCAAUUUAGGAAGAAGUUGUUUCGGUGUGCUAGCGAUGGGAGAUGUUGUGGCUGCGAUUCGGGGAGCUACUAGUUUAUUGCACUAAUAACGGCAGGUGCUGUUGCUUGAUGCGAGGUCCAUGGCCAGUUGUCAGCAGUUCGACUUUGGUAUGGGUGCUGCUGGUUCGAUUUUAGGUGUUGUCCAAUUUCAUUUUCAGGAUUUUAAUUUUAUUUUUCUUUUAUAUUUUCAUUAAUUAAUCAGGGUAAAAUUGGAUUUUAGAAUUUAGAAUGAAGGUAAUUUUGUUAAUAAUGGAAAUGAGAUUCUGAUUGUCGAGAAUGAGCUUACACAAACAACUAUAAAUUAAGUGAAAACAAAACACUUUUUCUCUUUGUGUGAUUAAAACAUGAUAUGUACCAUAAAUAAAUAAGUAAAAAAUAAAUCAACACAAUCUAAAACAGUAAACAAAUUACAAGAGGCACAGAUUUUUAUGUGAAACACCGAAAAUGGAAAAAACCACAGCAUCUUAGUUUGAUAUAAUCUUCUACUAUAUUAAUGGGAUUAUAGCACAAAUUCUUUCCUAUAUAACACUAGAGAUUAACAACAUCAAGAAUCUCAAUAAUCUUGACUUACAAUACAGCCUAAUAUUUGUCUCUCUAAUAAGUAGAUAUCUAAAAUAACAGUCUCUAAUAAGUAUGUAUCUAAAAUAAUAGUCAACAAGAGGAUAAAACAAAAAUUAAGAUUAGUAGGAUGUGUAUAAGGUGAUGCUAUCAAUUUAUCUUCUAAAUUUGAGAAAAAUAGUUAAAUUCACUUUUUCGAUUGUCCGACCAAAAAUGGAAACCCUUGCCCCAAAACCAAAGGAAUCACCAUUAUGUUUUUCUCUCUCUCUCUCUCUAUCUCGUUCUUUUCUUCUUCUUUUCUUAAUGUUAGCCAUCACUUGCUUUUAUUCUUUAUAGCAUUCAAAAAGCUACUUUUAAUGGUAAAUUUCAUUUAAGUCUGCAACUUAGUGAUAAUUGCACACCAAACAAUCCUUACAUAGUGUUUUGGGCCCUCAAAUGAGAUGAAUACAACAAAUCUCCCCCUUUAAAUCAUGUGGGGGGCACCGCAAGCCCGCUAUUUGCAUAUAGCUUUUCAGCUUCUCCUUGAAUAAUGACUUUGUCAUCAUACAUAAUCCAUUCUUCGUUGUGUAAAUCUUCUCAAGCUGUAACUGUUCCUUCUCAAGCUGUAAUUAUUCCUUCUCAAGCACGUCUCGUAUCUAAUGAUACCUUACAUCAAUAUGCUUAGAUUUCGAAUAGUAUAACAGCACUCUGACUAUCGUAGUACAUAACAUAGCUGUCUUGUUUUACACCCAGCUCUUGUAGGAAAUUCUUCGUCCACAAUAUUUUUUUGCAACCUUCAAUAAUUGUAAUAUCAUUUGCUUUAGUGGUAGAAAAGGCAACUUAUUACUAAAGUUUAGAUUGCGAUGAGACUGUUCCCCCUGCAAAAGUGAGCAAACAUCCUAGUAGGAAUUUUUCGGAAUCAACAGCUCCUGCCAUAUCUACACACUUGUAACACAGGUUUGUCACCACCAAAAUAUAAACAUGCUCUGGAAAUGCAUCUAAGAUAUCUGAGAAUUUUUCACUGUUGUCCAGUGCUCUUUACCGAGGUUGAAGAGAAACCACUGACUACACUAACUGUAUAGGCAAUAUUUGGUCUUGUACAAAUUAUGGCGUACAAUAAACUGCCAACUGCUGAAGCAUAAGGAACUCCUCUCAUGGAGAAAUGGGUUUUACUCUUGAGAUUUUUGGGACCAUGAAGAAUAAAGAUGUAAUUUCUUAUACUGCCAUUGUUUCGGGAUAUAUAAAUAGAGAACAAGUCGAUAUAGCUCGACAGUGUUUUGAUCAGAUGCCAGAACGAGAUUAUGUCUUAUGGACUACCAUGAUUGAUGGGUACCUUCGAGUGAAUAGGUUCAGAGAGGCUUUGACACUUUUUCAGGAGAUACAAACUUCAAAUAUAAUGGGAGACGAGUUUACCAUUGUUAGCAUUCUUACAGCUCGUGCGAAUCUGGGGGCACUAGAACUGGGAGAAUGGAUAAAGACUUAUAUUGACAAAAACAAAGUCAAGAAUGAUAUAUUUGCGGGGAAUGCUUUGAUAGACAUGUACUGUAAAUGUACUGUAAAUGCGGAGAUGUUGAGAAAGCUCAAAAGGUAUUCAGGAAGAUGCUUUGAAAGGUCAAAUUCACAUGGACGACCAUGAUUGUUGGCCUUGCCAUCAGUGGAAAUGGUGAUAAAGCUCUUGAUAUGUUUUCCCAAAUGCUCAGGGCUUCGAUCAAACCAGAUGAGGUAGCUUAUGUUGGUGUUCUGUCUGCCCGUACUCACAAUGGUAACGAAACUUUUGUGAUAAAUAGUUGCAACUUAAGGUGAGAACUGGAGGAAGGGAAAUAGAUUGAAGUUGUUCAAUCAUCAGUAGUUGCUACUUGGUUUUAAGUUGUUCAAUCAUCGGUCGUCUCUAUUUGGUUUUCUCCAAUAUCUCAUCUUCAAUUUUGACUCAGAUUGUAUCUUACCACUAGUAAUUACAUAGACUUGCUGCCAAAGGUAAGAAUGGGAAUAAAUUAAAUAGAUUAUGUCGAAAACGAAAUAAAUUUACUAUUGUUCUGUUCAUUCUAUUUGUUUCCUACAAAAUAUUUCUCCUGCCUAAAAUUUUUUGAAUCAGUAAGUUUUUACCUUAUGGAUGAAUUGUGUUGAGAGUAAUUCCAUUUCUCAGUCUCUUUAUGUUUCAAUGAAGACGUAAAACUUGUGUUCUAGUGCACCAACGUUUAUGCUUCUUACAAUUUGACUUUAAUUUACUUUGUAAAAUUUUUGUCAAAAAGUACUAAAAAGUAGUGCACCAAACACCAACUUUAUUACAGAGAGGACUUUAGUUAAAUUUUAAGAAAACACUCAAAAGAAAGAGUUGUAAAUUAUUAUAAAAAUAUUUCACAUAAAUAAAAGCCAUCCCAUGCUGCAAAGAUCUUGCUAUAAUCACCAAAAACUAUCGGGAGCUUUUAGGGUUUCCAUAAAAAUGCCAUUUCGUUCCAUGUAUAUGAUUCUAUAGUCUCACUGGCAAGUAAACCACAGCCCAACAGCACUGACUGUCCAUGAUGAUUCACCCCAAUGAACGAAACCAGCGUUGCAUCAUAUCUUUCUGUCAAGCAUGUAAUAUCAAUUGAUUUGAGCUAUUAACAUCAUUUCCAAAUACUCCAUUGGCAUCUACAUUACCAUUUCCCUCGGCAUCAAUGAUAAGAGUUCGAAACAGUCUAAUCUUUUGAACUUCUUCAGCACCAUCUAAGAGCAAUGUUCUUUUGGUUCCAAUACCCAUGUGCUUAUGAUAUUUGUAAAAUAAUUAUUUGUAAAAUAAUUAGUUCAAUUUUGACAUAAUACGGAAUAAACACAACCUGCCAAUCUAAGUUACUAUCUUUUCCCGUCAUCAGGUACCUGUUUGAAAAAUAAUUAUAUACAAUUUUAUUUGCGUCGUCCCUCUAAAAAUUUGGGACUCAAAUGUUAUUUCUAAUUGCUAAAAGUACGAAAUUGCCCCCUUUCUCUUCAGCUAAAGGAGUGCAAAGUCAUCUGUAUAAUUGAAUCUGCAUCAUCAGUUUCUAUUGCUGGCUGGUGUUACUGCAUGCUUACAGUUGCUUGACAAAGUGAGCCAGUUUUUUGUUUAUUAAUUUUUUUUCUUGUCGAGACAGUCACAAAGUAUUACUUGUUCUAUUUGAGAAUGAUGUGAAUCAAUUUUUCAAUUAUGCAUUCUGUGGUAAUUAUUGUGAAUUUAGUUUCAUUUGUCUUGUCUCCUGCAAAUUUUGAAGAAAAUGCAGACAUACAAAUUUACAAUAUGUAUUUGCGUUAGUAUAAAAACAAUUGUUAGAUGAUUAAAGCGAUUUAUUUUUUUUUUUACAGCAUUUGAUUGUAUUAGUUAAAAUCAUUUUUUAAGGAUAAAAAUAAAUAGAAAAUUAUUCUCAUGUAGUGUGGAAAUCUUUUCUAAUUUCUUGUUGACUUGUACAUUUAUUUCAGAAUUUCCAUUCAUUAAUUCUACUGUUUUAAUCUUUGACUUAGCUACCGUAGUUGACUUUUUAUAUCAAAGGCUUAAACAGCAUGCAUUUUUGAAUUGACUGAGAAUAAUUUGGUGGACAAAUUACUAGUAAAGGACUUCAAAUGGUUGAAUUGACUGUGGGUUUUUCAUGCCCAAGUCACUCGUCACGUCGUUUCAUCGAAACAAAGUGCCCGGUGCAAAUGGUGUGAUGUAAAACACCUUUUUAAAUUGUCAUUUUUUUUCCUUUGCUUUUGCUUUAAUUUUCUAAAUGCUCAACGCCAUAAAUCCAUGUAUUCUUAAUUUUCGUUUGCUGUAUUGAUUCCCAACCCUCUAUGUCACAAGGUUUUGAAUGCCAGUAAUUAAGUUAAAUUAAACAUAUUUUAAGUCCUACUUUAAAUUAUUGAAAAAUGUAUUAUGGUUGAACUGAAUUUUAACUAAAAAAUAUAUACAAAAUAAAAGAUUAAUCAUAUCUUUUUAUGAGGAAGGUCAGUCAUCAUUCUGACCACAGACACUUAAAAUUAAUUGAGUGGAAUAUUGCAAAAUAUAUAUAAACCAUGCCAAAACUAGAUGUUUGAGUAAUGAAAACGAGAAUUCAUAUGACUCAGAAAUAUGGUCGCUUUCCUUUUUCUGAAAGGCAAAAAAAAAGGGGGAACCAAAAAGGACCAAAAUGAACAAAAAUGGAAGGCGAAGGUAAGCAGACAUGUUAUAUGUUUUACCUAAGAUGCCAAAUGCAACUCCCCAUUGAUGGUGAUCGAACAUUAUGGCCAUUUUCUUAGUAAACAAAAAAUGAAUUUUGAACACUCAACAACGAAACUUGAGCAGAAGAUCAAGCAAGGGCCUCGAUCUCAAAGAAGAUACUAUGAAACCCUACUUAAUGGUUAAAUAACUUUCAUUCAGCUUUGGACCCUAUUUCGUGAUACGGAAAGACAAACCUUUCUUGGCCGGCAGUGUCCCAGAUCUGGGCUUUGAUGAUCUAGAGGUUGAUGGUGACAGUUCUGGUUUGGAACUCGACGCCAAUGGUUUAUUUCGAUUCAAAGCAAAACUCAUUCUUGGUGAAUCUCGAAAGAAUCUGAGACUUGCCCACGGCCGAGUCACCGAUCACCACUACCUUGAAUACAUAGUCUAUUUUGUCAGGAAUCAUAUUCUCUCGUUGUUGAUGACGAUGAUCGGUGCCAUCACCACUCAUUUCUUCGUUCAUUCAUUCUAUGUCCAUUGAUCUUUUUGAAUUAUUGAAGACAAGUGGCUCACCGCUUUUAGUAUUGGUAAAAUUCAGAUAAUCUCUAUUCCGAAAUAAUAAUAUUAAAAAUAUCUCUUAAAUCAUUAUAAACUUCAAAUCUAUUUUAAUUUUAUUUAAAAGAUAAAAGAAAAAUAAGUUAUGUUGGUGAUUUUUUAUUAUCUUUUUAAUAAAAAUAGAAUAAAUUGAUGUUUAUAAUUAUUUAAAGUAUUUUAAAGAUUGCUAUUUUAUGAGAGAAUAAUAUUUCAUUUUUUUUUUCGUGUGAAAGACCGAAAAAGGACAAAGCAAGUUUCCCUAAUUUUUAUUUUAUGUGAAAUUGGUCAUCUCAUAUACUUUACCCUUCAACACUCUAAUUUUUUUGGUUAUAAUUUUAUUAUUUUUUCUCUUUUACACAUGCAUGUGAAUUACUUUUCUUUAAGCUCCUGAAUAUUUAAGACAAAUCAUGGAAGAGAUGAGAGUAUAACAAGAUGAUCAAAAUAUGUAACAAAAAAAUUUUAGAAGUGAAAAAUAUGUUAGAGUCGAAGUAAAACUCUGAGGUGAUGUUUGAUUUGAAGAAAAUGGAGGAGAGAAAAAGAGUGGAAUGGAGAGGAAAAGAGAGAAAAGGAGAGGAGAGGAGAGGAGAGUGAACUUUUUUUCUAAUGUUUGGUUUGUCACAUAAAUAUACAAAGAAAGGAAAUCUCCAAUUUUUUAUUUAGACAAUUUUAACCUUAAUAAGUAUUAAGCUUUCAAUAUUUAUCAUGUGUAUAAUUUAAAAAAAGUAAAUGGUAGAAAGCGGUUUCUGAUUCCGGCCACAUCGCCGGCAAUGGAAGGUACUUAUCAGAACAUCAAGAACCGGCCAUCAUUCCCUAGCCAUCACUGCUGUAGGAACACUGCUAAAAAGCUGCCGAUUGAACCGCGAAAAGUCGUGGAAAUCGUUGCCUCAAAUCGGUGAGUUUCGCCUUUUUCUGGUCAUGCCGUCGCCUUGGCUUUGUCCAUCAACGCUGCCACUUCCAUUUCAACCAUCCAUAGCCACUAUUAACCGCCAAAUCGCCGCCGAUCAGCGGGAUCUGUGGAAGUUAAAAAGUUUCUAAAAUUUUUUAAUUGGAUUUGAACAACAUACAACCAUUUUUUGAUCUCAAUAACGACAUAGUAAUGUUGAUCGUUGGUCGGCAAGUCGAAUGGUAGUGGCGGUGAGUAACACGCGCCAAUGACAUCGGCGGCGGCGGCGGCACUAUCCGGCUACUGUUAAAAUUAAUAUUUUAUAUUUGUAGAUUAAAUAAAUUUAUUUUAUUAAACUUUUUAAAUCAUUAUUUAAAUUUAAUUAAUUUAAAAUUAUCUAUGAUGUUGAAUUGAUAAAAUAAAUUUAUAAAUAAUAAUUAUGUGAUUACAUUAAAUAAGUUAAAAAGUUGAAGGGUUAUUUUUGGAAGAUUUAGUUUCCAACACAAAGGGAAUUUGAAUUCUUCACUUCUUAGUGUGGAAUUCAAAUUCUAUAUUGUAAUGGAUAUUAAAUUCCAAUAGAAAUUAAAUUCUUAUAAGUUAUGUCAAACCAAACAACGGAAAUAAAAAAAAAGAAUUUAAAUUACUUUCCUUUCCUCCACCCUCUCCUUCCAACCAAAUACAUCCUGAAAAUAGAGAUAUUGAUUAAUUUAGAAGAGAUGCAAGCAAAAGAUAUUCCACAAAAAAAAAAAAGCAAUAUGUCCCUUUGGAGGGCAAACUUGUCAGUUUUAAAAAAGUACAUGCUUUGGAUUGAUAGUUGUAGGAUAUUUGUUUUGUCACUAUGUGUUAGUUGGAGAAGUCAAGCCUUGUGAAGAAUGUUAUGAAAGAGCAAAGGAUAUUCCUGAUAGCUGAUAGAGCUCUAUUUGAUUAUGUAUCCAAUGAAUGGAUGUGUUGUUGGAAGAUAUUUGAGUGCAUUAGUUCAUAUGUGUCUAUCAAUGUGAUUUUAAUGAUUUUUCCACUUGUUUGUUGUAAAAGAUUAUUGUAAAUUGAAAUGAACUUGAUGUUGUAAUAUUUUCUCCUUAGUAGAAUUUCACCUAGUAUGUAUUUAGUUGUGUUGUCUAUAAUUUUGCAUUCGAAUAAGUUUCACCUAAAAUAUUAGCAUGAGUAGUGGCCCUUGAAACUUUGGUCAAAAUUAUUGUUAUUAUUUCCGACUAGAUGUAAAUUUUUUAUUAAAUCUCGCUAACACAAUUCUUAAUUAAAAGUAUAGGUUAGUGUUGGUGCAAGACUUGCCACACCAAAUUCUGCCUAACUGUCAAAAGUGCAAAAUAAAUGAAGAGAAAGCACAAAUACACGACUUGAAUAAGGAUACAACGAAACUUAAAUUCAAGAGAAAAUGAUAGCUAUAUCUCAAGAUUUGAAAAAACGGUCAUGUAGAUUUUUAAGAUUUCAAUAAGCGACUGAGAUUCAAAUAAUAUCCUUUAAUUCUAUUAACAAAAAACAAAGACUCAAAUAUUUUAUGAUAAAUAAAAAUAUAAUAUUAAAAUAUAUGUGAUAAUAUACACAUUUUAAAUACUUUCAAUCCAAAAAAAUAGUUAUGUUUUACAAUCUAUUAGACAUAUUUUAUUAAAUUAAUAUAAAUUUUCUAUAAAAUAAGAAUAUAAUAUUAAAAUAAAUUCACAAAAAUUUAAAGAAUUUUGAAUGUAAAAUAAUUUUAAUAUAUCAAUACGUGAGUUUUUUUAUUAAUAUAAAAUUUAUUUAACUUUAAGAUUUUUUAAAAUCUUUACAAUAAGUAUAACUAUAUUAUUUACAUUUAAAAAUAUUUAAAUAUUAUUAACCUACAAUUAUAUUUGCAUUUGUUAGAAAUUUUUUAAGUCAAAUAUUUUGCACUUCUAUAUUAUUAGAAUUAUUGCACAAAAAGAAAGAAACAUACACCUUUAGAAAUUGUUUUCUUUUAAAAUAGAGAUGAUGAUUAGUAUAAGGAUGAAAAAAAGGAUAAAGAAUAUUAAUGAUUAACGAAAUCUCUAUACAAAUUGAUUUUAGUAGGAAAAGAGUGAGAUGAAUGAUUUCUUUUACAGUUAGAAACAUAGAUGAUGAUUAUUAUAACGAAGAAAAAAAGAUAAAGAAUAUUAAUUAUUAAUGGAAUCUCUAUACAAAUUGAUUUUAGUAGGAAAAAAAUGAUUAAAUGAUUUAGAGUGCGUUUGGAAUUGAGAUUGGGCAGCCAUAGAUUUUAAGUUACAACACUGAAGUGUUUAGUAAAUACUAGUUGCUGCAGAUUGAAAGUUAUGUUGAUAUGAUUUUUCACAUGUAUCAUAGAAAAUAUAUUACAUCUUUAAUAUUUUUUAAAAAUUUAUAUUUGCUAUAUAUUAUUAAUUUUUUUUUAUAGUUAUAACUUUUUUUCCACAACAGUUGUAGCUUAAAAGUCACAGCACCUCAAUCUCAAACAAAUCCUUAGACAUUCAUAGUGUGUUUAUUUUUUGGAUUGGUGAAUCAAAAUUAUUGACAACGCUAACUUCAUCUUCACUGUUCGCAAUCCAACAGCAGCAAUUGUCGCCAAUAAUGAUAUCUCCAAUGAUGAUGACAAUUAUUAUUAUUAUUUUUAUUAUUAUUAUUAUUAUUAUUAUUAUUAUUAUUAAUUAAUUAAUUAAUUAAUUAAUUAAUUAAUUAAUAUAUUAAUGUUGAUAUUAUUAUUAUUAAGAUUAACAAUAAUUAUUAGUAAUACAAUUUUUUGAAUAAAAAUAAUCACAAUAAUUAAAAUACAAAUUAAUAAUUAUGACAAUAAUUAAUUAAUGUCUUUUUAGUAAUUUGUAAUAAUCUAACUCAUUUUGGUUCUGAUUAUUACAGCUUAAGUAAACAAAUUAUUAUGAUUCCUAUUCUCCUUUCCCAUUUUAACUCACUUUGAUUCCAGUCUAUUCCGAUUUCUAUUUAAUAAAUGCACCAUUAGUGCUAAAGUAAUAUUUCAUACAUAGAAAAAUAAAAACUACGCCUAAGGUUAAGGGAAAAGACUUCAAAAUUCUCUUUUGAUCAUAAUACAUUUUGUCCUAAUUAACUUAAAGAUUUUGAAUCUAAUAUUUUAUAAUAAAUAAAAAUAUAUUCCUAAAAUAAAUAUAAUAUCAAUAUUUAAAAUAUGUUUUAAUAUUUUACAAUCUAUCAUACACAUUUUAUUAUAUUAAAGUAGAUUUAUAAUAAAUAUAUAAAAAUUUAGAAUAUUUAGAAUAUUAUAUAAAAUAAUUUUAAUAUAAUGCGUGAUAUAUAUUUUAUUAAUUUAAAAUGUCAUUUUACCUAAAAAAUAUGAUAAAUUAAUAAUUACAUAUUUGAAGUUAUUUCAAAUAUUAAAAAAAUUUAAUAUUAUUAAUCUUUUAGAUAGAUUAAAUUAUUUUUUAUAAGAGAGAUUAAAUUAUUUUAAAAUGCCUUAAUUGUUUUUACUUUUAACGUUACGGGCCUUUCUUUUAUUUUAUUGCAAAUUAAUGCUAACUAGAAAAACAAAAACAAAAGUGACAAACACAACCAGCUGGAAUCUUUUAUAAAACUACAAAUUAAAAUGGAUUUUUUUUUUUUGUUGAUAAAUUACACAUGAAAGUGGAUUCUUUUGAAUAUAAGUGGGGUAGGCUCUUUUAUUUUUUUUUUAAUACCGUAUAACAGGACUGUAGACUCUUUUAUUAAGCACAAAUAUAGAGUUGUCGAGACAAUUAGGGUCUUUUAUUAAACUACAAAUUGUAUAGUCUUUUUUAAAUUGUUCAGAUAUUUAUAAAUUGGUGGCCCCUACAAUCCUCAAUAAUUGUACCGAUAUUCACAAGCUGGUGGCCCCUACAAUCCUUAAUAAUUGUUUUUUUUUUUUUCUGCAUUCCCUUUCAUGCUCUUAAUAAUUAAAGAGCAUACUUUUCAAAUGUGGAGCCGCGGCUAAUGUCGCUAAUUUAAUUUGGGAUUAAAUUAGGGGACUAUUAUAUUGCAGUGUGCACUAAUUUUUAUGUUUAUCUAAACUCCUUAAAUUUAAGAUAUAUUAUGGCAUAAAUAAGAAUAUAACAAUAGCAAAAGAGUUAGAAAGUGUAGAGAAGAUCUUGCAGAAAUAUAAAUAAUAUUUAUUUUAAAAUAAUAUCAAUAUUUAAAAUAAUUUUUAUUAUUUUAUGAUCCAUUAGAUAUAUUUUAUUAUAUUAAAGUAAAUUUUAUAAUAAAUAAAAACAUACUAUUAAAAUGAAUAUAUAGAAAAUUUAGAGUAUUUUAAGUAUUAUAUAAAAUAAUUUUAAUAAAAUAUGUGAGAUAUUCAUAUUUUAUUAAUUUAAAAUACCAUUUAACCUAAAGAUUUAUUUAUGAUAAAUUAAUAAUUAUAUUUUUGAAAUUACUUCAAAUAUUAAAAAAAUUAAUAUUACUAAUCUAUUAGAUAGAUUAAAUUAUAUAUAUUAUUUUCUAUUUAUUAAAAAAUUUCAAAUUAUUUUUAAUUACUAUUCAAAAAAUAUGAUGAUAAAAAAAUCUUAACAUCUUUAUUAAAAAAUUAAAAACUUACAUGAUCAAUUCUCUAAAUAUUUAGGGUAUAUGUGAACCACGGUGGACAGAGGUCAUUACUAAAAUUUCUCUUCCACAGGCAAUUACAGCAGCUCCAGUUUAUCAAACUCAACCAAUUUUCUUUCUUAACAAAAUUCCAAAGAUGUGUAGCUUUUUUCAGAUCACAUGCGAUGGUGCUUUUUUCAAUCGUUGCUUGGAUUGCUUUCUUGGAAAAGCAGCAUACAUACGUAACCUCCAAGAUAAUCUUGAUGCCUUGGACACUGAACUGGGAAGACUAAUCGCAGCAAAGAACGAUGUGAUGAUUAGGGUUGUCAAUGCUGAACGGCAAUAAAUGAGAAGGCUGGACGGAGUGCAAGUGUGGGUUUCGAGUGUGGAUGCUGUUAAAACUGGAGCCGAUGAACUUAUCACAGACGGCUCUGAAGAAAUUGGCAAAUUAUGUGUUGGAGGCUACUGUUCCAAGAACUGCAGGUCAAGCUACAAAUUCGGAAAACAAGUGGCUAGAAAGCUACGAGAUGUGGAGACUUUAAUCGCCGAAGGAGUUUUUGAGGCGGUGGCUACUGAGGUGGUGCCUGAGAGAGCUCCAGAGCCUGUAGCAGAUGAAAGACCUACCGAGCGAAAAGUAGUAGGCUUGCAAUCACAACUUGAACAAGUCUGGACGUGUCUUGUGGAAGAAUCAGCGGGAAUCAUUGGCCUAUACGGUAUGGGCGGUGUUGGUAAAACCACACUAUUGACCCAUAUCAACAAUAAAUUUCUCGAGAGUCCAACCAACUUUGAUUGUGUGAUUUGGGUAGUAGUUUCAAAAGACCUGCGACUUGAAAAACUUCAAGAAGAUAUUGGGAAAAAGAUAGGUUUGGUUGGUGAUUCAUGGAAGAGUAGAAGUGCAGAGGAGAAAGCUCUCGACAUCUUCCGGAGUCUAAGAGGGAAGAGAAUUGUAUUGUUGUUAGAUGAUAUAUGGGAGCGGGUUGAUUUAACAAAAGUGGGCGUUCCACUUCCUGGACCACAAAAUACUACCUCAAAAGUCGUAUUCACAACNNNNNNNNNNNNNNNNNNNNNNNNNNNNNNNNNNNNNNNNNNNNNNNNNNNNNNNNNNNNNNNNNNNNNNNNNNNNNNNNNNNNNNNNNNNNNNNNNNNNNNNNNNNNNNNNNNNNNNNNNNNNNNNNNNNNNNNNNNNNNNNNNNNNNNNNNNNNNNNNNNNNNNNNNNNNNNNNNNNNNNNNNNNNNNNNNNNNNNNNNNNNNNNNNNNNNNNNNNNNNNNNNNNNNNNNNNNNNNNNNNNNNNNNNNNNNNNNNNNNNNNNNNNNNNNNNNNNNNNNNNNNNNNNNNNNNNNNNNNNNNNNNNNNNNNNNNNNNNNNNNNNNNNNNNNNNNNNNNNNNNNNNNNNNNNNNNNNNNNNNNNNNNNNNNNNNNNNNNNNNNNNNNNNNNNNNNNNNNNNNNNNNNNNNNNNNNNNNNNNNNNNNNNNNNNNNNNNNNNNNNNNNNNNNNNNNNNNNNNNNNNNCAGGAAGUCCUAGUGCGUGCUAUCAGAAAAGAUGCUGGGAACUGUUUCGCGAAAAUGUUGGGGAAGAAACUCUUGAGAGUGAUCAUGAGAUCGUUGAGCUAGCCCAAACUGUGGCCAAAGAGUGUGGUGGUUUGCCACUCGCACUUAUUACUAUUGGUCGAGCUAUGGCCUACAGAAAGAAAGCGGAGCAGUGGAGACGUGCAAUUGAAGAGUUAAGAAGAUCAGCUUCAGAGUUUGCAGGUUUGGGAAAAGAGGUGUAUCCUCUUUUAAAGUUUAGCUAUGAUAGUUUGCAGAAUGAUACAAUUAGAUCUUGUUUCUUGUAUUGUUGUUUAUAUUCUGAAGAUUAUGGCAUUCUUAAAUGGGACUUGAUUGAUUGUUGGAUUGGUGAGGGAUUUUUGGGGGAAUCUGACAGGUUUGGUGCAGAAAACCAAGGAUAUGACAUUUUGGACACUCUUGUUCGUGCAUGUUUAUUAGAAGAGGUGGAAGAAGAUGAAGUAAAAAUGCAUGACGUUAUUCGUGAUAUGGCUAUAUGGAUAACCAGUGAAAUUGAGAAGGAGAAGAGAAACUUUUUGGUUUGUGCAGGUGCUGGAUUAGAAGAGGCACCGGAUGUUAAAGAAUGGGAAAAUGUGAGAAGAUUGUCAUUGAUGCAAAACCAAAUUGAAACUCUGUUUGGGGUUCCCACAUGCCCUCAUCUCAUCACUUUAUUUAUUGACUUUAAUAGGGAGUUGAAGACUAUCGCGGAUGGCUUCUUCCGAUGUGUGCCUUCUCUCAAAGUUUUGAAGAUGUCAAACUGUGGAAAGCCUUAGAAAGGUUUGGAAUUACCUUUGGGGAUGUCAAAGUUGGGUUCACUACAACUUCUUGAUAUUUCACACACCUGCAUACAAGAAUUACCACAAGAAUUAAAGUUGUUGGUAAAUCUGAAAUGUUUGAAUUUGAGGCGGACAAUUUGGUUAAAUAAAAUUUCAUGGCAACUAAUAUCAAAAUUUUCAAGGUUACGUGUGUUGAGAAUGUUCGCUACUGGCUGGUUCAGUUUUCAUGAAGCACCAGAAGACAGCGUUUUAUUUGGUGGGGGUGAAGUUUUGAUACAGGAAUUGCUCGGUUUGAAAUAUUUAGAGGUAUUGGAGUUGACCUUGGGAAGUUAUCAUGCUCUCCAAAUUCUUUUGAGCUCAAAUAAGUUAAAAAGUUGUAUUCGAUCUCUUUUCCUACAGUUGUUCAGAGAUACAACGUCGAUUAUUGAUGCUACGGCUUUCGCAGAUCUAAACCACCUCAAUCAAUUAUGUAUUAGUAACGGUUCUGAGUUGGAAGAAUUGAAGAUUGAUUAUACGGAGAUAGUACGAAAAAGGCGGGAACCUUUUGUUUUCCGCAGCCUUCAACGUGUUACCAUAGAGGAGUGCCAUAAAUUGAAAGAUUUGACAUUCCUCGUUUUUGCUCCAAACCUCAAGUCUCUUUCGCUAUACGAUUGCGGUGCUAUGGAAGAAAUAAUCAGCGUCGGAAAAUUUGCUGAGACUCCUGAGAUGAUGGGACAUAUAAGCCCUUUUGAAAAUCUCCAAAUGCUUUAUUUAAUGGCAUUGCCGGAGUUGAAGAGCGUCUACUGGAAGCCAUUGCCUUUCACUCAUCUGAAAGAAAUGGAGGUACUUGGGUGUGAUCAGCUUAAAAAGCUUCCACUCGAUUCCAACAGUGCAAAAGAGCGUAAAUUUGUAAUUCUUGGAGACACACAGUGGUGGAACCGUCUUCAAUGGGAGGAUGAAGCCACUCAAAUUGCUUUUCGUUCCUAUUUCCAAACCUGAUUCCUGAGCGGUGGUCGCAAAAUUUGAUUUCUGGUGAGUGCGUUUGUCUUUUAAAAGAAGAAUUUAAAAGAAAUUUAUUCUUGUCGUUUUCUUCUCUGUUUUUAUUUCAGUUUGUUUCUCUCUCUCUCUUUUUGUCUUCUGCAAAUCACAAUUAAAUGUUGAAUUAAUGGAAUUAAUGCUUCAUAAAUUUGCCGGCACUGCCAGUACUUUUUUUUUUUUUUAAUACGAAUUGAUGCUUUAUUUAUUUCUUCUUAGCGAUUUAAUUUCCUGUCAAAAGACGAGCGAGAAGAACAUAUGACUUAAACCAAUUGAUACUUUAUUUAUGUGCAUUGUAUGUAAUAAAAUUUUCUCUGUUUUUUUCAAAUUGAGGCUUUAUUUAUAUUUUCUUCGUGAAGAGUGAUUUAAUUUCCUGCCAAAAGACAAACGAGAAGAACAUUAGAGUCAAACUAAUGCUCACAUAAAUUUCCCGUAAGAAUAUAUAUAUAAUUAGACUGGAAUGCACACCUCUAGAUUGAACAGAAUUAAAGCUGAGAAAAUAUUGAGUAUAGUAGCCCUCUUUACAGAAAAUGACGCGAAAGUUAAUUUAGAAAGAUAUAUUCUUGAUUAAUCCAUUUUCUGAAGUUUUUUAUUUUGUAUGGUCAAUUAUACCUUCAUACUAAAAAAAAAAAAAAAAAAGAGAAAAUAUGUAAUCCAUGAAUGGUUAAUUUUGUUUGUUUGUUUUUUUUUCUUAAAUAUCAUUCUUUUUCGGCCACCCAAGGACAUUUUCACAAAUACCUUUUGUGUGCAGAAGUCUUCCAAACCAUCAAUGGAAAAAUAAAAAAUAAAAAAAACACGGUCCAGUAUACCUCAAAAUAUCAUUGAUGACUUUUCUGGUCUAAUGCUAUGUAAAUAGUAUGUUAAGUAAAACAUAAUCAGUUCAGUACCUCACAAAUAAUUCGCAAUAUCUACAAAAUACUAUAAUGGCUACAAAACAAAUCCUGCUUGCAAAUUGUCAAGGAUACCUAUCCGUUCGCUUGACAAGUCAUUUGAAUAAAUAUUGUUCACAUUCCUUACUCUGUCAAUUAUCCAAAGCACCAUCAACUUUAGUUUGAAUAGUAUACAUGCCAUCACCGUUACCAAGAAUCAAGCAUGGAAGGGUCAUUCUAUAGAGUGCAGAACAUGACUCUAUGCGGUAGUCAAUUUGACACACGACGAACACCAUAUGCUGCAUAACAUACAAAUUAAUUUCCCAUAUGUGAUGCAAUUUUCUCCUCAACAUAUGCGCAAUUCUUUCCAUUCCGGCAUUUACACUCAAAUUUUCCUUCCUUUCUCUUUGUGGUUGAAUCUUACACCACAACUCAUGUGAUGCAAUCUCCUCUCGCUGCCUAAAUUGCACUCUCAGCAAAGCAGCAUAUGUAAGCAAGCUUGAAGAUAAUCUUGCUGCUCUGCAGAAGAACGGCAAAAGUUAAUCGAAGCAAGGAAUGAUGUAUCAGAAAAUAUUUGGUGGAGAAUUCAGCACAAACAUAUUUCGGAUGAUCAGAAUCAAUAAAACCUGGUGGUUGUGCCAUAUAAACAUCUUUGGAAAGCUGACCUUGAAGAAAGGCGUUAUUGAUAUCCAAUUGAUGAAGAGGCCAGCCAUGACUAACAUCAAUACUAAGAACAAGCCGUACUGUGGUGGACUUAACAACUGGACUGAAAGUGUCAUAAUAGUCCACACCAGGCCAUUGAUUGAACCCUUUGGCAACAAGAUGAGCUUUAAACCUGUCAACAGAACCGUUGGAAUGUCUUUUAAUACAAAAAUCCAUUUGCAGCCAACAAUAUUGGAAGGGAUGGGAGGUGGAACAAGCUUCCAUGUCCCGUUACGAACAAGAGCAUCAUACUCUUCUGACAUAGCUGGACGCCAGUGAAGAUUUUUGAUAGCUUGCGUCACAGUUGUAGGUUCACAAUCAGAAGAAGGGCUAAAAUGAGCACGGAGGUUAAGUUUUUGUAACGGCUUGUGAAUCUUAUUUUUAGCUCGGGUAGUCAUAUCAUGAUGACUUGUGGGGCAAUGAUCUAGUGGAGUUUAGGAAGAUGAUUGAACAGGAAGUGAAGAAGUGCUUUGUGUAGAGGUAGAAGUAGGUUGGGAGGAUUGCUGCGGAGAUGUUACCGGUAGAGAAGAAGGAGCAGUACACGGUGGCAACUCCAGAGGGCCCACAAUAGAUGGAGUAGGUGCCGACAAUGGAGUACUAGGAAAUGAAACAGGAAGAAUUGGUGGAACACUUGCAUAAUUAGGAGUGGUAGAUGAGCUUGUAAUGAUUUGCAUGGAAAAACAAACUCUACAAAUUUAACGUGACGUGAAAUAAAAAUUUGAAAGGUGGAUGGGUCAAAACAUAAAUAAGCACUUUGAGAUAAAGGAAUAUCCUAGAAAAACACAAGGCUUAGAGGGUGGUUCGAGUUUAUGUGAUGAAACACAAACAUUCAAAAAAUUUUAAGUUUAUAUUAAUUAGGAGUGGUACCAAAAAUUAAUUAGCUAUGGGGUUGUUGGAUGUGUUUUGGAUAUUUACAGUUAAGUUUGAGUAUCUCAACUUAAAAUUUGUAGUUUUCACUUGAAAAAAUUCAGUUAAAUUUUGCAAUGCAGACUGAUUGAUUUAUCAGUUUAACGUGUGCCAGGAAUGAAGAACUGGAAUAUCACCGUCAAGCAAGCACCCUGUGGAGCAAUACCAAAGAAUGCACAAUCUGGCUUUGCUAGGUAACACUGGAGGCUUUUUGAAAAGUGCUUCACGCUCACUUGCACAGAUUGAGCAUCCCCUCUGGAUAUUGCCCUCUCUGAUCGAGUCUGAGCACUCAAAUUUUGGUCCUCAGAGGGAGCUACAGUUUUCUCUCCACUAACCAACAAUAUUCUAAACUCAGCACCUAGUGUGAUCAGAGUUGUUGAUAUUUGCAAAUGGAGAUCCCCAUAUUUGCAAAUGGAGACAUUUAACAAAUCACCAACAUGCUUCAUCCGGUCCACGAAAUUCUGCAACUGAUGCAAAUCUGGAACCUGAACCAGAGUCGGAGGUAUAUCUUGAGCCAUAUCUAAAGCAGUUUGAAGUUCAAGACCUUGAGCCCUUGACAAUGGUUUUGAAAUUGGAACAUCUUGGAUUACUGCAGACUUGUACCCCUUGGUUUCAAAGGUAAGGAAAGGCAUUGCUUGAGUACAAUUUGGAGGCAGCUUCUUCACCAAUUUUAUUUGGAGGCGAUUGGCAGCGGAUCCAGCUGCACCAAUUUCAGAGCAACUACUGACACUACUUCGAACAGCACACUGAAGAAGUGAUAUGUCUACGGCGAAGGCAAUGCAGUCCUCAUUUUGGCUUGAGACACAGUAAUCAUCGAAGAGAGUUUCCUUGUGAAACUGGGCAACACAUUGAAUCCCUUCGGCACUGAGAAGGUUGUGGAGGAAGUAAGCUUUCUCUCUAGUAAGGAAGAGGUGGCAUACAUUCCCCAUUUUGUCUAGGGCAGGUAGGAAUCUUUUUUCUAAGAGAUUUACUUCAUUCUCUGUGAGAAAUGCUUUGAACUUCAUCCCUCUGUCUCUAUCCUCACUUAUCAGUAAAAUAGUUGAAAGCGCUACAAGGAGAGAAAAGAAGAGUAUUAAGAUAUAUAUAUUAUAUAGACAAGAAAAACAUUAGAUGUCGAUCUUACAAGCUAAUACUUCAAACAAUAUCCUAGAAAGCUAAAAACUGCAAGAUGGCUUGAAAUUUGAAAAGAGCACGUGCUUUUCCUCCUUAACUUGAGAAAAUGUUUAAUAUAGUGCACCUUACAGAAGCAUUUAAGCAAUUAGAACUUUGCACAAAAACAUCAAGAAGACUAAACAAGUCAGAUGCAGUGUAUUUGUCCAAGCACAAAUUGCAUUUUGUCCUCAACUUUAAUAUUUAUUGAUGAGAAUCAAUACAGGUCCCUCAUUUGUUAUAGAAAGCUUUCUUGUAGUCUCACCAGUUAAUAUGGAUAUUAGAUAAGGAAACUUUAUUAGGUUGCGAGGGUAAAAAAGGAAAGAGAUAUCAUUAUUUUAUUAUCGAUAAUUAUUAAAUUUUUUUCCAAAAAAAAGAACAAGCAAGGAUAUUUUAUUGUCAAUUGCAACCUUUAAUUUUUUUAAAUGCUAUUAGAAACACAAGAUAACAAAAAUGUAGUGAGAUGGGAUCUCCUGCAUGCCACUCUGGUUUAGAACACAAAGAAUGUGUCUGCAUAAAUAUCCUCUGAAAUUGAACAACCCACAAACACAAAGCACCUCCAAGUCGGAGGCAUUGUACAAAACAUCAAAAGCCCUUGAAUCCUUCUCGUUGCCACCAACCUCGAAUUCUUCCUUCACUAUGUAUGUUAUAGGUCCAUCAGAACUAAUAUGUUUUGUGCUAUAGUAAGAGUACAUAGCCUCCACCUCCAUCUGAAACUUCCUUAACAUUUCAUUUGUGUACAGUUUUGAGAGUUGAAAUUCAUAGUAACAUCUUGGUUUCCGGAUACAACUUGAAUUUCUUGAAUCCAUAUCUGCCAAGGCUACCAGUUGAUAAUUCGCCUGCAGUGCUUGAUCAUACUUGUCUAAGAAUUCUUUCAAAGGAGUAUUCUUAUCAAGAUAUCCUUCAAAGUAUGAAGUAGAAACCUCAUUCUGCAGGAACGAAAACACUCCUGAUAAAAAAGCUUCCUUCAAAUAAAUAGGAGCCCACCUUUUAUGAUCUUCAUAUAAAGUUUGAAUCCAUCCGUGAUCCUUUAUUCCAUGACAUUGAAUCAUGUCUUCCCAAGCUGCUUCAAAUUUCUCAGGCCUGAGAGAGUGAUAAAUUGCUCUAUGUAAUGCAGCUUUAAUAGCUUCAUAUUCAAACAAUCCUUGGAGUUUCUCUGGAAUUUUUUUGCAUGAUGCAUGACAAUGAAAAGAAAUGAUAAGCUCUUGGGAAAACAUCACCAACAGCAAUUUGCAAGAUUCUACAUUGGUCAGUGAUGAUUGUUUGUGGAGAGCGCCCUAACAUACAUGUAAGCCACGCCGUAAACAACCAUGUAUAUGAUUCUAUGGUCUCACUGGCAAGUAAACCACAACCCAACAACACUGAUUGUCCAUGAUGAUUCACCCCAAUGAAUGAAACCAGUGGUACAUCAUAUCUUUCAGUCAGGCACGUAGUAUCAAUUAAGACCACAUCACCAAAGUACCUAUAUGCAACUCUUGACCUGGUAUCAGUCCAGAAUAGGUUUUUCAAGCAUCCCUUUUCAUUUAGAUCCACUACAUUAAAAAAGUUUGGAUCUGUCAACUGCAAAUGACAAAAGAAACUCUGGACAGCUUGUGCAUCUCCUGGUUUAAGCUUCAAUUGAUUUGAGCUAUUAACAUUAUUUCCAAAUACUCCAUUAACAUCUACCAUUUCCCUUGGUAUCAAUGAUAAGAGUUCGAAACAGUUUAAUUUUUUGAACUUCUUCAGCACUAUCUAAAUGCAAUGUUCUUUUGGUUCCAAUACCUAUGUGCUUAUGUGACUUGUAAAACUUUCCGCUUCUUGGGCUUAACAAGUGGUUAUGCUCAAGCUCGACUUCAAUGAUUCUCCACCUUUUGGUUUCCAUCAACCUAAACUUUAUCAUUGCUGGACAGCCAGUUCUUGUUUCUGGUCUUGGGCGGUUUGCCUCGCUUUUCUUCUUGAAGCCUGCACUACUACAGCUCAGCUUUCCUCUAUACUUUUCUCUACUCUUUCGGUACCAUGGAUUGCUAACUCUAACACCAAAACCCUGUUCCUUGGCAUAGCAAUUGUAAAAGUAAUAUACAUCAUCAUACAUCUCAAACUCCAUUCCAACAGUAGGAGGCAAGGGAUUUUGGAUUAUCCCAGUUUGUCCAACAUAUUCAGUCAUCGCACAAUCUCCUACAACCUCAAAAUCAUCAGUGUCAUCAUCACCUACUGGUUCGGUGUUGAGAGAAACUUCAUCCAUCUACAAUGGAUGUUCAAUGAAGUGAGCUUUAAGGAGAAAAAGCAAAAUCUGUUCAAGGAAUGAUAAUAUAAUCAUACAGUUACUUUCACAAAGCUUCAUAUUUCAUCACUGCUUUACCAACAUGCAACUGCCAGAGAACAAACAGACAUGUCAUAGACGCUUGAAUUAAGUAUUGGUACAAAUGAGCACACAUCAUGUGGGACAAAAUUUCAGUCACUAAACCCAAUACCACUUUUUACAUCAUACCAAGGAACAGAUUAAACCCGACACCUUCUUUUAAACCAUACCAAGGAACAGAUUAAAUCAUCAAUGAAAAAUUAAUCACAUAAUAACUUAACCAGACAAAUGAAGAGCCUGAAACAGCACAAAACUUGAAUCUGAUUAUGAUAAUUGUUGAGUCCUUGUAUCUACAGCUUUCCUUCAAUGAUAAGACAAUGAACAUAAACGAGACACAAAAAAAUUAUUUUAAACUGACAGCCCAUGAUAUAAAUCAAACAAAAUCAACUCCUUUUUUUACACAUUACAUCUCAUAUUCAUUUACAUUGAAACACAAAAAGGAAGCAGGAGUGGGAAAAAAACAACAGCAGAGGAACUUAUUUCCAUAAGGUUUACGAAAUAAGGAAUCUAUUAAAACCCAAAACUUGAGGUCACCACUAAGAAUUUGGUUCUCAUUAUUUUUUUCUUCAUUUUUCACCAAUUGAUGAACUUAAAAUACAAUCAUAAAUGAUAAAACCCCAUCUCCAUCUUUUUGAACUAGAGCUAAAGCAAAGCAUUUUAAGAUGUUUCAUCAUUUUUUUUUUUAAAAAAAACUCAAUAGUACAAUGUUUUUCAAUGCUAAAUGCACAAUUCAAUCUUCUCCUAAUUUACUCUAAUAAUCUCUUAAUUAAGGAAGAUUAAGCUUCAGUUGUAAGCUAAAACAAAUUUCUUAAAUCAAGCCCCAAUGCUUUAUGCUAUUCAACAAGGGCUCAUAAAUGAUAAAACUACUUCUAUAAAGAUACCCAUUUUCUAAAUUAAUUUCACAAACUGAAAUCAAACUCCUGAAACGUAACGAGCAUUAAUAUAAUCAAGCCCGAACAAGAAUUGAAAAAUGAUACAUAAACUCGUUUACACAUUUCGACAGACACUUUGCAAUCAAUGAGCAAAAAAUUAAUGGAGAAGAUAAAAUUCAAACGAAACAUGCCUUACAUUGAUAAAUUAGAAGGGCAAAAGAAAUUUUAGUACGAUAUGCGAUCAGGGUCUUGCCACGGUGAUGUUAUUUGUGAAGUUCGAGCGACUCAGCAGCCUUCGAGGUUGAAAAUUUGAUUGACCAAAAGCUUCCCGUUCGUUGAUUCUCUAAUAGUAGAAACGAGACUGGCAGUAUACACAAGAAGUUCGCCGAUUUUAAAUUCCGUUGUUUGAGAUGGAAAAUUUUUUGAAAAAAUUAAUGUGUUCGAUGAAAAUCAAAAUCUCAAAAACCUCUUGUUUUUCAUUUUUUUGGAAAAAACCAUUGAGAUCCUUACUAUUUUUUCUUAUAUCAUCUUCCUUAAUAAUUUGCAAAGUCUAUCGCAUAGCACCCAUGUAUGAUGUAUGCUGCGUUGUAAUUUACAAAAUUGCACAUGAAUAAAUCCAGCUAAAAUUUGUUAAAAGAAAAUAAUAAUAACAUGUUAAAACUUUAAAAUUUGAUUAUUCGAAGAAAUUUUAAUUUAGUUAAGUAGGUGACAUGAUAAUAAAUAGAUACGUAUAAUGUCCGAGAUUUUUUAUAAGAUUAAUAAAUAUGAUAAAUUUGGAUUAGUUCAAUUUUGACAUAAUUCAUAAUAAACACAGCUUGCUAAUCUAAAUUGCCACCGUUACUCAUCAUCAGGUACCUGUUUGAAAAAUAAUUACAAACAAUUUUAUUUGUGUUGUUUCUCUAAAAGUUUGAGACACAAAUGUUAUUUCAAAUUGAUAAAAGUACGAAAAUUCCCCCUUGCUCUUCAACUAAAAAUGAAACAUGCAAAUAUACACACUAAUUUAGAUGUGUGAAUAACAAAUAUGGAACGACACAUGCAAAGUCAUCUGUAUAAUUGAAACGCCAUGCACUAGUAGUAGGUAAGAGAAACCAAGGUUGAAGUUGCUCCAAUGGUUACUGUUAAUUUAUUUUUAUUUAUGAUUUUUUUUGUAAAAUGUAAGAAAUAUGUAGAAAUGUUGCCAGCAAUGAUUUUGGAACUUUGCAUAAAAUUUUUAUCAUUAUUGUUUUUGGUAUUAAGAAAUCCGAGGCGGUGAUUAGACGUAUGUUGCAACAAUUAAGAAAUUUCUUAUUGGAGAUAAUUUGGUAGGUUUGCAGCAAUUAGAGAAUAAUUUUCCUGCCAGUUAAUCAAUCAAUAAUAAAUUUCAAAUUGCAGAAAAUAAAAUAAUACAGCCUCACUUAGAAUCAUCUUUUCUAUCUCUUUCAAUUGUGGCAAUCAUUUGCAACAAAUAAAUCAAUUUGAUGCACAUCAUUUCCCCAAUUCAAAGUUCAAGUCACUGCUCAAUUACAGAGUAGUUAGUGGACAUGCAUGCAUGUUUAAUUAAGUACUGCAUUGUAGUAUCGAAAAUCAUAACAUCUCACCAAUAUCAGAUUAUUAACCAUGGAAAUCAUAUCACAAUAUCAUAUAGAAUUCACAAAUCUGAAAAUCAUCACCAAACAAGUACCCAGAGAAAUAAUCUCGUCAUAUCCAGACCUCAACGGACGGGCAAUGACGUACUAUUUGGGUAACGUCACACCCUGGAGCUACACGGAUAAAUAGGAAAAUACCAUCUCAUAUCUCAUCAUAUUUGUGCAUGCAUAAUCUAGUCCCCAAGGGACAAAAGCGCCCAAGCACACGGCCCAAAGCCUCUAUGUGUACUCAGACGGGCCCCAAAGGCCUGUAUCUCAUAUGUAUCAUAUGUAUCAUUUGUAUCUCAAUAUCUGUUUGUAUCUCAUUUCCGUAUAUCUAUAAUCAUCAUACCGCAUGCAUAUGCCCCCAAAAGACAAAAGCGCCCAAACACAUGGCCCAAAGCCUUUAUAUGUGUUUAGACGGGUCCCAAAAGCCUCUUAUCUCAUCUUAUCUGUAUCACUGUAUCUGGAGAGAAGGGUACUGUCUAAUGAUUUAAAAAACAAUCAUUAUACUCAUAUUUACAUACCUCUUAAUCAUAUUUGAAAUCAUAUCACAUUUGAAUCCACUUUUCUAAUCUUUAAAAUAUUAUCAUGCUUUAUUCAAAGUCGAUACGCAAAAUCAAUAACCAAACAUUUUAAAUCAAAUUAUUAACCAUGGAAAUCAUAUCACAAUAUCAUAUAGAAUUCACAAAUCUGAAAAUCAUCACCAAAUAAGUACCCAAAGAAAUAAUCUCGUCAUAUCCGGACCUCAACGGACGGGCAAUGACGUACUAUCUGGGUAACGUCACACCUUGGAGCUACACGGAUAAAUAGAGAAAUACCAUCUCAUAUCUCAUCAUAUCUGUGCAUGCAUAAUCUAGUCCCCAAGGGACAAAAGCGCCCAAGCACACAGCCCAAAGCCUCUAUGUGUACUCAGACGGGCUCCAAAGGCCUGUAUCUCAUAUGUAUCAUAUGUAUCAUUUGUAUCUCAAUAUCUGUCUGUAUCUCAUAUCCGUAUAUCUAUAAUCAUCAUACCGCAUGCAUAUGCCCCCAAAAGACAAAAGCGCCCAAACACAUGGCCCAAAGCCUUUAUAUGUGUUCAGACGGACCCCAAAAGCCUCUCAUCUCAUCUUAUCUGUAUCACUGUAUCUGGAGGGAAGGGUACUGUCUAAUGAUUUAAAAAAUAAUCAUUAUACUCAUAUUUACAUACCUCUUAUCAUAUUUGAAAUCAUAUCACAUUUGAAUCCACUUUUCUAAUCUUUAAAAUAUUAUCAUGCUUUAUUCAAAGUCGAUACGCAAAAUCAAUAACCAAACAUUUUAAUAAAAUACCAAUGCAUAAAUAAAAUUCAUUUCGAGAAAUCAUUAAAUCAGAACAUUUAAAAUACUUAUUUCGCAAACAUGCUUUACUAUCAUCGCUAACUAUGAAAAUAAGUUUUGUAUAUUCCACUUUCAGUGAUGGUGUUCACGGUCGGUUAUCGUCCAUAUCUGCAGACCGAUUCUCGCUCGCGAAUCCUCCUAAAUCAAGGAAACGACAUAAUUAUUUUUUGUAAAUCGGAAUUAUGACUAAAUUUUAUGCAAUAAACUCAAAACGAACAUCUAUUCAUAAUUGACAACUCCUAUAUCCAUAAAAUUACUAAAAUAUCCUUGAGUCCGUAGAUCAUUAACAUGCUCCGAAAUCGUAAAUCACUGAAUUACCCUCGGAAUCGUAAUUACACCCGAUCCUCAAUUAUAGGAAUUACUAACAGAUCCACAGGCUUAGAAAUUACAAAAUUGCCCUCGUAGUGUGAAAUUACCAAAAGCCGGAAGUUGGUCAACAAUGGCUAGGAAGCUCAAAUCGUAAAGUUCCAAUCACGCUGAGUUCAAUGGUACCGGCGGUGAGCUCCAACGCGCGACAACGAUGCCAGAAUCUAGCUCGGCAGCCGUGAAUUCCACCAAUCGACCGGCGGCACAACAGUGACUCUCGGUGCCUAUGGAUGGUCGAAAAUGGAAGAGGGAGCCGUGGGGAACAAAAUCCAACCGGUGGUGUCACCAAAACCGGUGAAAAUCCCGGCGGAGCAAAGUGAAACAGUCGCGGGUUUCAUGCUUCGAUCGCCGGUGUUCCGAUUGGUUUUUGGCGAGGAGGAUGGCAAGGGAACGACAGCCGGCUUCUAAGCUUCAGAUUGGUACCAAGCUCGGCCGAAACGAUGGCCGGAAAUGGGAGAUAUGACCGGGUCAAGGUCGCGGGUUCCGGGUCGGGUUUUUUGGUCUGUAGUUGGGUCGGUUUGGUAGCUUCUCUCUCACUCUCUGUUACACGUGCAUAUGUUUCCUCUGUUUCCAGCUUAUUCUUUUGCUUUUACUAACUUCUUAACCGCCUCAUACUUAUUCAUUUUUAAUUCACAUAUGUUACAAUAAUUCCCGAGUAUUAAAUAACCAGUGGUCAUAAUUUUUGUACAAGAUUCUUUUUUUUUUUUGGAGAUCGUUAAAAGUGGUUGACGAUCCAUUUCGUAAUAUCAUAGAGGGAUCAUCAAUUCCUUUUCUUUUCUGUGGCUAGGCAACACUUUUUGGCCAAAGUAAGGAAAUCUAUUUUAGGUAAUGUAAAAACCAGUUGUAGGAUGUAAUAGUUUAUUAUGCACUGACAAUAACUUUUUGUAUAAUUGUCAGUUUAAUGAAUGCAAGAGGAACUCUGUUGGCAAAUUCAUCCAAGAUAGAUGCUAAAAUUAUUUAUGCAUGCCAGUUGCCUUAACUAAGUUUUCUCAGCACUGGUUUUGAACAGGAAAAUGAAUAUGCAAUUUGUAUAUUGUGCCAUAGUGGAGAAUUUGGAUAUUCUUAUUUAAGUAACAAGGAGAUUAUUUGCCUCAUCUUUAAACAAUGAAUCUUUGAGAGAUGAGGAGUGGGUGAUUGGAUGUGUCUUCAUGUAAUUGUUCAUUUAUUUGUAUUUUGAACUGUUAUGAAAAUCUUUAUAUGCCAAAUUAGUAAUACAAGUAUUCAGAUGAUUUUUCCUAUUGAUCAUGCAUUUGUAUCUGCCCACAACCAUUGUAUAUCACUUUAUUCUGAUGCGCAAGCAUCUGUAAUUUAGAAGAAAAGAAAUAAUAAUCAUAUUUUAUUGCUUGGUUCAUGAUUAUUAACGAUUAUGGCUUUAAAAAUCUACAAAUUUCUUGUGUUCAUGUAUGAAUGUGCCAAGUUUGCUGUAUCUUAGAUUACCUUCUUCCAAGGUAACAAGUUCAUAUAUAUAUAUUUUUUAAAUCAUUUUCCAUUACAGUUGAAUUUCAAGUGUUAGUUUUGUUAUUAGUACCUGGUUUCCUGUUAUAAGGAUCUAAUAAACAGUGUACGGAUAUGUGCUCUACUUUUGGAGGGCUUCCACGUGAAAGAAAAUUACAACAAUUGAAUUCUUCCGGAGGAUAUGGUAAUUAAUUUAUUUUCUCAACUUCUUGUAAGACUAAUAUAUUUCCUUCAGUAGGCACAGCAUGGUGGGAAGGGUUUUUAUUGAAAGAAUUCUGAUAUUUCUUAGACUUUGUUUUGGAAGGGGGUGGAGGAAUUUCUCAUCCAUAUAUGGUUACUUGAUUAGCUUUUGACUGUAUUGUCUCUGUCGUGCAAAGGAAAAUCUAAAUACUAACGAUGGGGAAUUGCUUAGGCACCCAAAAGGCAGAAAUGAAUUACAGAAGGAAGUUUUUGCUGCUUUAUUUAGUGCUGCUGAGAAAUCUGAUGAAUUUCCUGAAAUUACGGUGAAGACCGAGUGGAGGUCCAAAGCAUUAGGAAAGGUGGUGAGUGAACUGCCGGAGGAAUUUGUACCAAAAUACAAGGCUAAUGUGGUGCACUUGCAGCAAGAUAACCAGACCGGUAUGUGCUCUUAUAUUAACUAUAUUGACUGGAUUUGUGAGUGUGUGCAUUUUUUUGUGUAUACUCACUUUUGUAUUUAUGCAUAUUAACAUGUGUAGGAUUCUUGAUUUCUGCCACUUACUGGAGAACUAGUGGAAAGCUUUAUAUUGAUAUAUCUGCAAUAACUAAUGGAAACUAUGAUAUGAAUAUUUUCUCUCACCUGGGGAGCUGUGUAACAGAUAUACUUUGUGGCUCUGGAAUGCUGAAGAUUCUGCAAUAACUAAUGGAAAAUAUGAUAUGAAUAUUUUGUCUCACCUGGAGAACUUUGUUACAGAUACCCUUUGUGGCUCUGGAAUGUCUAAAGAAUGCUUUAGUUAGAUCAAAUAUCUUUUAGUUAGAAAAGAUAAAAUUCUCUGAGUCUGAAAGACUGAAACAUUUUGCAUAUUUUGUGAAAGGGAAAUAUCUGUUGAUACUAGCUCAUGCAUUGAGGUAAUAUCGAUGUUAAAGAAAAACAGCAAUGAUUUAUGAUAUAGAAUUGGGUUCACUUGCUUCAAAUGCUGGUCUGAUCAACCAUAUCAACCUGUAAUGAUUCUGCAGAAAUAUAUAUACAUGGAGAAAGUAGCUAAAUUUUUCUUUCAUUUAUGGGUUCGGUCUUUUUUCCCCUUAUUUUUCAGCUUUCCUUCUCCUGAAGUAUGUUAACAAUUGCAGAUAAUGAUGAAGACGACAGCUUCCGGGCUCUCCUUAGAGCCGUGAUGGAAUAUAGGGGCACAAUGAAGGAAUAUUGUAAAGCUGUAGGUACUUUUUCUCCUUUCAUUUAUGUUUUCUCACACAUUUUGUAUAUGCCCUGAACAUGCACCUUUGUAUGUAUCAAUUGACUUUUAAAUUUUAAAAGCCAUAAAGUAAGAAUACGGUUCCUUGUCAGGCUACUGAUGACAUUCGCUCAGGGGGAUCAUGUUCGAGCAGGAAAAUUUCUAGAACAGGUAAGGUUUCCAUCUACAGCCAUCCAUUGACAGCAGAUACAUUUUCAUUCAGCAGACUCUGUUAGCAUUCAAGAUGCUGGCAGAUUCACUUGAUUCUUAUUAGCUUGUUUAGUGGCAAAGCCUAUAACCUGUAUUUCAAAGCCAAGUUGUGCUAUUGAUUAUGUUAACUUUUUUGUUAACAUAAAAUGAUAUGGAGGAAAUAAUCAGUGUUGGAAAAUUAGGUGAAAAGAUGAUGUCAAAUCUUGAACCUCUUACGAAACUCUAAGUUCUUUACUUGAAGAGGCUACGAAAUUUGAACAGCGUCUACUCGAAGGCCUUGCCAUUCCCUGAUGCAUGCAGAAUUUUUGUAUUUAAAUGCCCAGAGCUUAAGAAGCUGCCACUGGAUCUUGAAGGGGCAGACCAAGGUAAAAAUCUUAUCAAGGGAAAGGAAGAUUGGUGGAAACAACUUAAUGGGAGGAUCAAGUAACUCAGAAUGCAUUGCUUCCAUUUUUUAAAUUGACUGACAAGUGAUUGAACGGGGCAUCAUCAACAUCAUCAACAGGGAUGGAGAGAUACCGGAGCAGAUCAGCAGGGUUUGAAUAUGACCUUUGGCGGUUGCUUUUUUUUUGUGAUUUUUUUUUCAUUUUUUCCUUCCUGUCAUUUUAUCAUUUCUUUCUCUGUUUCUAUUGCGGGUGUUACUGCAUGCUUACUGUUGCUUGACAAAGUUUGCUAGCUUUUUGUUUGCAGUGUUGCUAUACACUCCGAGUCAAGCCUCGAAAAUUUAUUAAACGAAGCCGUUUCGACAGUAACAAUUCUUUUCUUUUCCCUUUGCAUGUCUCUUUCAUCUGCUGUUUCUCUAUCACUUUUCAUUUUUGAUUUCCUUGCUUCUCAGCUGCCCCUAAAUUGUUAUUCUAGCAAUAUACUUUCUCAUCUUUGAAUUUUCAUCCUUGAGUACUCCCACAGCCGUAAUUUCAUCAUCAUAGACUUCACUUGGAAUGCUGUAUUUUUUCGAUUCUUGAGCUACUUCAAUUACAUCUUAGUAUAGGAUCCUCAUCUUCCUUUAUUUCUUCAUCUUAUGAGGUAAUAAAUGGAUUUCACAACUCAUCUACUUUUAAGCAAUUACAUAUUAUACCUUGAAUGAUUCAACUGUUCUGACAGUUAAAGAUUUUAUGCUCAACCUGCAGUGCUACGAACAUUGUCCAUGAAAGAUGAGUUUCAGCAUAUAAAAUGAAAUAUAGAUGUUUAAUCUAAAAUAACCCUUCACUGCCAGAAACCUAGGUCACAAAAUUCACAGAUAAUGAUAAAGAGCUAAAAAAUUUGAAAAACUCUACAGAUCACACAUCAAGCAAGAUAUCAUGUUUUUUUCCCUCAUUCAGUGGUGAUUGAUUCGCUUUUUGAUGAUGGAUAUGGUAUAAAAGUGUUGACCCAAUUUCAAGCAAACACAAAUAGAAACACAAACACAAUCGGGACUAGAGUUGUGGGCGAUUAUCUUAGGUGUACAAGUGAAACGGUGGUGGCUGUCGAUGGUGGUAGUGGGGUGGUUGGGUAUGCGUGAUGGCUAGAUUUUAGGACAAUAAUGAUUGGAGUUGACCUCAAUCAACGAAGGAAAGUGACAACAAUUUUGACAUCAAACGGUGCAUUUUUUAGCUUAGUAAAAUGGAGCCGUUUCGAUUUUGGGGUUUAAUCCGGGGUUUGACUCGGUGCAAGUAUCAUUUUCCUUUUGUUUAUUAAAUUUUUUUAUGGUCACAAAGUAUCACUCGUUCUAUUUGAGAGUCAUGUGAAUCAAUUUUUCAAAUUUUCAAUUUUAAAUUUUGUGGUCAAUGUGAAUUCAAUUUCAUUUGUCUCCUGCAAUUAUGAAAAAAUUAAAUAGUCAUAAUAUGGAAAAAUACACCGGUAAAAACUUUGUAAAAGCUUCGGAGUGAUACGGGGAAUUCACUUACUACUAAGGACAAUUGGUGGCAAGCUAUUCCAUUCAUUUUAUGUCCAUCCAUCUAUUUAGUUAUUGAAGAUAAGUGGUCCAUUUGUAAAUUUCAGAUUGUCUCUCUCUCCCUCUUGAAAUAACAAUAUUUAAUAUAUCUCAUAAAUUAUUAUAAAUUUUAAUUUACUCUCGAUUUAAAAUGGAGCAUGUCGAUAAAUUUUUUUUCUUCUUAAUAAAAUUGACGUAAGUUGUGUUUACAGUAGUUUGAAGUUUGAAAUAUUUUAAAGAUUAUUAUUCUAUAAGGGAGUAAUAUGAAAUGAUAUUUACUUUUCAUGUGUGAAAUGAAAAAGGACGAAGCAAGUGUCCCUGCUUUUAUUUUAUUUCAAGGAGGAGUCAUCUCACAUACUUUAGCUCUUAACAUUACAUUUUUUCUGGUUACAUUUUUUAUUUAUUUAUUUUUUUUUUUUUACACAUGCGUGUGGGUUGCUUUUCUGUAAGCUCCUUAAUAUAUAUUUAAGACAAAUCAUGGAAGAGAUGGGAUUAUAUCAAGAUGAUCAAAGAAUGUUAAAAAAGAAAAAAGAAAAAAAAAAGAAGUAAGACACUGAAAAUGGAGAAGAGAUGGAAGCAAAAGAUAUUCCAAAACAAAGCAAUCUAUCCCCUUUCGAGGGCAGACUUAUCAGGUUUAAAAAAGUACACGCUUUGGAUUGGUAGUUGCAAUCAAGGGAAAAUAAAUAGGAUCCAAUGAAAUUUAAAUCUCGGAGAAAAUAAAUAAUCAUGCAGAUUUUCAAGAUUUUAAUAAGGGAUACUAAUAUCUUAUUUUGAUUAAUAAUAUCCUUUCAUUGUGUUAACUCAAAAAAUAUAUAUUUUAAUGUUUUGCAAUAAACAGAAACGUACUAUUAAAAUGAAUAUAUAAAGAAUUUAGAAAAUUUUGAAUGUUAUAUAAAAUAAUUUUAAGAUAAUGCGUGAGAUAUAUUUUAUUAAUUUAAAAUGUUAUUUUACCUAAAAAAUAUGAUAAAUUAAUAAUUACAUAUUUGAAGUUAUUUUAAAUAUUAAAAAAAUUUAAUAUUAUUAAUCUUUUAGAUAGAUUAAAUUAUUUUUUAUAAGAGAUAGAUUAAAUUAUUUUAAAAUACGUUAAUUGUUUUUACUUUUAACGUUACCGGCCUUUCUUUUAUUUUAUUGCAAAUUAAUGCUAACAAGAAAAAGCUAGAUCAUAUUCCACAAAAGCAAAAGUGACAAACACAACCAGCUGGAAUCUUUUAAUUACUAUUCAAUAAUUCGAGACGAUUAGGGUCUUUUAUUAAACUACAAAUUGUAUAGUCUUUUUAAAAUUGUUAUAAAUUGGUGGCACCUACAAUCCUCAAUAAUUGUACCGAUAUUCACAAGUUGGUGGCCCCUACAAUUCUGUUCGGAUAAUUUAACUGUGCAAGUGCUCAUUCACAAUAAUUGUUUUGUUUUUUUUUUCUGCAUUCCCUUUCAUGCUCUUAAUAAUUGAAGAGCAUACUUUUCAUUUUCAAAUGUGGAGCCGCAGCUAAUGUCGCUAAUUUAAUUUGGGAUUAAAUUAGGGGACCAUUAUAUUGCAGUGUGCACUAAUUUUUGUGUUUAUCUAAACUCCUUAAAUUUAAGACAUAUUAUGGCAUAAAUAAGAAUAUAACAAUAGCAAAAGAGUUAAAAAGUGUAGAGAAGAUCUUGCAGAAAUAUAAAUAAUAUCUAUUUUAAAAUAAUAUCAAUAUUUAAAAUAAUUUUUAAUAUUUUAUGAUUCAUUAGAUAUAUUUUAUUAUAUUAAAGUAAAUUUUAUAAUAAAUAAAAACAUACUAUUAAAAUGAAUAUAUAGAAAAUUUAGAGUAUUUUAAGUAUUAUAUAAAAUAAUUUUAAUAAAAUAUGUGAGAUAUUCAUAUUUUAUUAAUUUAAAAUACCAUUUAACCUAAAGAUUUAUUUAUGAUAAAUUAAUAAUUAUAUUUUUGAAGUUACUUCAAAUAUUAAAAAUAUUAAUAUUACUAAUCUAUUAGAUAGAUUAAAUUAUAUAUAUUAUUUUCUAUUUAUUAAAAAAUUUAAAAUUAUUUUUAAUUACUAUUCAAAAAAUAUAAUGAUAAAAAAGAAUCUUAACAUCUUUAUUAAAAAUUUAAAAAUUUACAUGAUCAAUUCUCUAAAUAUUUAGGGUUAUAUGUGAACAACGGUGGAGAAGCUUUAUUUAAUAUUAUUGAUUUAAAUAAUAUGUCAAUUAAAAAUGUACAGAGAAGGAAAUUUCGGUGGGUAUUUUAGUCUUUUCAGCAAUUAUCAUGAUCAGAUCAGCCUUUAGCCUUGAAUCGUCGGUCAGAAAAGUUUUAAAAUUAACGCUAACAAGAAAAAGCUAGGUCAUAUUCCACAAAAGCAAAACUGACAAAACAACCAGCUGGUUUCUUUUACUAAACUACAAAUUAAAAGUGGAUUCUUUUGAAUGCAAGUGGGACAGACGAUUAGGCUCUUUUUAUUAAAGGCAAGUAAAAACUAGUCGAAUAGUCUUUUUCAAAUUGUUGUUUUAUUAUUUUUCCUUCAAAAGUUAGUGUGGCUCAUGUUUGCAGGUGCGAAUGUGGGUCCCGAAUCAUUACUAAAAUUUCUAUUCCACAGCCCACCGCAGCUUCAGUUAAUCAAACUCAAAUCAAUUUUCUUUCUUAACAAAAUAUUCCAAAGAUGUGUAGCAUUUUUCAGAUCACAUGCGAUGGUGCUCUUUUCAAUCGUUGCUUGGAUUGCUUUCUUGGAAAAGCAGCAUACAUACGUAACCUCCAAGAUAAUGUUGAUACCUUGGGCACUGAAUUGGGAAAUCUGAUCGCUAGAAAGAACGAUCUGAUGAGGAGGGUUGUCGAUGCUGAACGGCAACAAAUGAGAAGGCUGGACGGAGUGCAAGUGUGGGUUUCGAGGGUGGAUUCUGUUAAAACUGAAGCUGAUCAAUUUAUAAGAGACGGCUCUCGAGAAAUUGAAAAAUUAUGUGUUGGAGGCUACUGUUCCAAGAAUUGCAUGUCAAGCUACAAGUUCGGGAAAAAAGUGGCUAAAAAGCUACGGGAUGUGCGGACUUUAAUCAGUGAAGGAGUUUUUGAGGUGGUGGCUGACAGAGCUCCAGAGUCUGUAGCAGAUGAAAGACCUACUGAGCGAACAGUAGUAGGCUUGCAAUCACAACUUGAACAAGUCUGGAGAUGUCUUGUAGAAGAAUCAGCGGGAAUCAUUGGCCUAUAUGGUAUGGGCGGUGUUGGUAAAACUACACUACUGACCCAUAUCAACAAUAAAUUUCUCGAGAGUCCAACCAACUUUGAUUGUGCGAUUUGGGUUGUAGUUUCAAAAGACCUGCGACUCGAAAAAAUUCAAGAAGAUAUUGGGAAAAAGAUAGGUUUGGUUGGUGAUUCAUGGAAGAGUAAAAGUGUAGAGGAGAAAGCUGUCGACAUCUUCCGGAGUUUAAGAGAGAAGAGAUUUGUAUUGUUGUUAGAUGAUAUAUGGGAGCGGGUUGAUUUAACAAAGGUGGGCAUUCCACUUCCCGGACCAAAAAAUACUACCUCAAAAGUCGUAUUCACAACCCGUUUCAUCGAUGUUUGUGGUAGCAUGGAAGUUGACAGGAAGUUUCAAGUAGCAUGCUUAUCAGAAAAGGAUGCUUGGGAACUGUUUCGAGAAAAAGUUGGGGAGGAAACUCUUCAGAGUCAUCAU